rnacentral:lncRNA from 1 species
GGACAAAUAACCCACAUGAGAAGAGGCUGCUUCAUAUCCAGAAUCCUUUGAAGAGUAUUGACAACACGGAGAACAUGAUAAACGCCACUAGGUUCAGAAUACAUUUUCAUAAUGACAUAGCUCAUUCCUGCUCGCAUAUCCAACAUGUGGUGUUUCGGGGACUUUCUCCAAGUUCCAUGAAAUGCAGCUUGAAUCUACACGAUGAGCAUAGGACUGACUCAUUAUCAAUAAAUAAAGAAAUGCGAGAUUGCAGCAUCACAAUUUACCCCAUGAAAGAUAAGGUACAAAUGUGAAAACAUCAUUUACACCAAUCGUUGUUCAACCACAGUGAACAUAGACUUGAUUAGCUAGCAGAUGAAAACGGAAAAAAAUAGGCUUAAAAGAAGUAAACAAUUUGCAACAACACUUUCCCCGUUUGUGUUCAGGAACAAAAUUAAUGUUAAUAAAAUUAUGCUGAAAAUGUGAAAUGCCUAAACUACAUAACAGAAAGACGUACUUGUUACUUGAUCAUUGGCAAUAUCCAAUCAGCAAAAUCAGCAACUCGGGAUAGAUUGUGAGGGGGUCAGUUUCAACUUCACUAAUUCAAUAUUGCAAACAUGAGAACUGAGCUUAUCAAAUCAGAAACCUAUAUGACAACAUUCAAAGGAUAAACUGAUAGAAAUGGAGGAGCUUAGUGCAUACCUACCUUUGCAUAGCCUCAUCAAGUUCAGGAGUGAUGUCCCUAGAAUGCAACCACACCAAACAACUCUGCAUCAGGAUAACAUACACAAAAAUGACCAGCUACUCAUUUGAUUAACAAAGAGAUAGAACCUAACGAGCAUACAAACAACAGAUUCAAUUUAAAAAACAACAUUUACUAUCAUUCAGGUACAUGCUGUUGAGACCAGAUCAAGUGCUUUGGAUCUUCACAAGCAUCAAAACUUCCUCAGAACAUUUUGCUUGGCCCACGAUGUCACGCCCCAACCCUCAGGCAUGCACACAUCCCUUACUUAUGGUCGAUUUUAAAAUGCGAUAUCCCAGGACUAUGUAUCGCCAACCCUUUCAAUUAUAUAUGCACAUGCGGAAGCAGUUAUAAAUCCCCAGACAAUAAAGCAAUGGGAUAGAAAAGCAUGCCAUACAUUUUUCUUACUGAAAAUUCACAACUACAUCUUUUUACAUGCAAACAAAGUCUGACAAGACAGGAUAGGAUUUCGGUCCUCAUCCGGGUCGUACUCGAUGUCAUACUCGGGGUCCUCCUCCACGUACUCCUCUUUGGGUUCCUCAACAGGGAUCUCCUCAUCAGAUUCAUGCUCCUUAGGCUCCUCAUCCAGGUCCUGAAAUGGGUAUUCAAUAACCACUGAGACCACGUGUCAGCAAGUUCUACUUCCUAAGACUCGAUUAGUAAACUAAUACACCUUAGGGCUGCCUAUGCACAACAUGAAUUAGAAGACUUACCUUAGCCUCAGAUUCCACCUGCAUAUUAGUACAGAUCGAAUAGGCACACAAGCAAUCACAUCACAGAUCGAAGCAUCGAUUUAAUCGACUUAGUCGAUUUCACAACAGGAAGACCACUCACGAUCAUCUCCCUUCAAUCAUUCAAUUCACAACAUCAAAUCAAGGCAAUGCAUCACAUCAAAACACACUCAGAUCGAAUCAUCGAUCAAUCGACCUAGUCGAUUACAAGCCAGACGGAUCAUUUCUAGGUCCUUCAUCCAACACCAAGCAAUUCCUUAGAUUUAGUGGCUUUACGGUCCCACCUGACCCUCUCAAGAACUAGUGGCUUUUCGGUCCCACCCGACCCUCUCGAGAACUAGUGGCUUUACGGUCCCACCCGACCCUCUCGAGAACUAGUGGCUUUUCGGUCCCACCCGACCCUCUCGAGAACUAAUGGCUUUACGGUCCCACCCGACCCUCUCGAGAACUAGUGGCUUUACGGUCCCACCCGACCCUCUCAAGAUGCCAUACUAUGUCACCGAGCCACGUGCAUUCUCCAGGAAGACAUACCGAGUCUCCGAGCCACGUGCAUUCUCUAAGGCUACCUUUUCGCCAAGAUGACAUAUCUAAUCACCGAGCCACGUGUCUUUCCCAAGUAACAUUCCAAUUCACUGGGCCACAUGCAUCCUCAAGGUGAUUUACCAACUCACUUUCGAUACUAACAACCGAUAUCUGACCAAUUCUCAAUAACAAGGCCAAAAUUGCAUUAUUUAAUAACAUACUUAGAAAUGCACCAUUAAAUCAAUUCGACACGAAUUAAAGCUCAAAUAAAUAAACGGACUGCUCCACGACAAUCAGUACGAAAUUCCAGUCACUGGCCAUCCCAGUUGAAUUUCCGGAAAAUAAAUAAUUAAAUAAUUAAUUUCGAAAAUUAAAUAAAUAAAUACAAUAAAUUCAAUUUAGCACAAUAUAAAGCUCAAUUAAAUAAAUGGACUGCGCCACGAUCAUCAGCAUAAAAUCCCGGUAACUAGCCAUCCCAGUUGAAUUUCCGAGAAAUAAAUAUUAAAUAAUUAAUUUCGAAAAUUAAUAUUUAAUUCCUAAAAAUACCACCUAGGCCCGAAUUGCUUAAUUAACACCCGAUAAGGGACGGGAAAAAUCCCAAGAAGCAUCCAAUAAAUACUACAUGCAAUUCUCUAUCUAAUUACACUAAUUACAUCACUAAUAUACAAAGCAAUUAACUAAUAAUCCCUAAUCCAUUCUAAUCUAACAACCUAAUUACACUUAAUUAACACUAAUCAACCGUUAAGUAUAAUUAGCACACCAAGAAGGCAUUAGUGAGUAAAACUCACACAAAACGACGGGCUCGACGCGAGGAUCAACUUUCCUCAAAGCGGGCCGAGCAUCCGGGCUCGGGAAGGCGGCCAAAACGGGCCAAAACCUCACUGCAAACCCAUUUCUACAAUCCUCUGAUCGCUGCUGGUCGGGGCAGAUUUGGGGCCGGUUGAGGCGGCCAAGGGCGGCUGAGGGCGAGGCGGAGCUCCGGCGAGGCUGACGGUGGCCGGAGGAGGUCAGGCGGUGGCCGGAGGCGGCUGAUCGGGACUUAACAGAGGCGGAACAGGGGUUGGGUCGCAUAGCGGGGACGGGAGGCGCGAGCGUGAGGCGGUGGAGCGCGCGGCGUUGCGCGGGCGGCGGUGCGGCAACUCCGGUGCGACGGCGUCCAAGCAGCUGGUCGCGGCUCCUUCCGACGACGCUGGAAGCUGCUUCUGCUUCUGCUAUUCGAUUCUGUUCGAACCAGAGGAGGAGAGGGGGCGGAGAUGCGCAGAUGGCAGCACGGCGGUGGGCUCGGGUUCGCGAGCAGCUCCGAUGCUUGUGGGCGUGCGACAACUUCAGGCGACAUACGACGCUACUGGUUGUCUCGGCGUCCUCCCAGAUCUGCGGGGCGUCGAGCAACCACCGAAGAAGAAGAAGAAGUAAUCGACGGUAGUAGAAGGGGGAAGAGGAAGGCGGAGGGCGGAGCAACGGCGAGAGCGAGGCAAAGCGGCGGCGGCGACUCCAGCUUCAGCUGCUGGCUGCAACGGCGAGCUGCUUCUGCUUCGCUGGUCUUUGGCUUCCAUGGUGUUGAGCAGCCGAAGAGGAAGAUGGGGGGGUGUUUUGGUCGACGGAGGAGAGAGGAGGAAGAAGAAAUCAAUUUCCCCUCUUCCUCUCACACACUCUCUCUCUUAGGUCAUCACACAUGGGCUACCAUGACAUCAUGUGAUGUCACCUUCCACUCACAAUUUCUUGUCAAUUCUACCCCUUCUAGAAGCCUUUAGAUAGGCCAAAAUGUGGGGGCAUGUGUGGCAUACGAAUUUGCUAGGUUUUCUUUCCAAUUGGGCCUUAAUUCCUCUUGAAUUAAACCAUUAAUUUAUGCAACACCUCAUCAUUCCAAUUGGUAUUUUUCCUUACCAAUGUAGCCCCACUUGCAUCCCAAUUUCACAAUCAUUGGCUUCAACCGAACAAAAGCGGCCCUAUUAUCCAGUCGAAUUUAGAAUUCGAAAAUCAGGAUGUCACACACGAGCCUCUUCAAGUUUGGCAUCUCAGCUGUUGCCGAUGCUUUCUCUGCAAAAUUGGUCUCAGGUAUGGAAUUUGAAGUUCCUCAGCUAAGUGAGCCACACCCAUUUCAGUCAUGUGAUAAAAUAAUUCCAUGACAACAAUAUGAUCAAAUGGGAUGUAAACUAAUCAGCAAAUUAUUGUGCUCCUCACCCCAGCUUGUUUCACAGAUGGGCAAAAAAUUGUCCAGUUAUGCAAAAGGUCAUCAAUACAGCUGAUUGAAUUUAUGUCCCAAAGUAAGCCUUGAUCAUUACAUAGACCAACCAAACCUGUAAUAGAAGCAACACCGGUUUACCUUGCUUGAUAAUAUUUCAAGACAACAUUUUGAUUACCGGUAAUUUUAAGAAAGGCAUACAUUCAUAUAUGACAGACUAGCCAAAACUACUUUAACAUUUCUUAAUCACCAACCAAAAAUACACCGAUUCUCGUUCAAGAAAAAGACCCUAUAUAAACUCCAUCCACACUAGAGACUCGGACAAACCUUUGAUCGAGAAUCUGCAUAAAACAACUCACUACUCCACUCCAGAACCCAGUACUUCAUUGAGAAUUUGCCAAGCGACGCGAGCUUGGAAGGGGAAAAGUAAUGCUGCUCUUCAAGAAUGAAUUGGUCUCUCUACAUGUUUUAGGUAUGAAAAUGUACAUGGCUGUGUCUCUUCUGCUUUUAGAUUCAUGCUUAAAUAGAUCAAGUUUGAGAUAAUAAGACCAAAGCGAUUGCAAAAUGCCUACAUAUGAAUUUUCUGACGUAACCAGCCUAGAGAGAUCAUUUUACACUAAUGAACGCCUGUAUUUUGUGUUCUAAAUUCUUCCAAAUGAGAAACUACUGUCUUCUUGAAAACAUUUUCUUUGAAACUCUUGUCUGCAAUUGACAGAUUAUUUGCUGAUUCCACCGCAUUUGCUUUUUCAAGAAAAAAGCCUCUCCCAGUCACAAAACUAUAGCUUGAAGUGGACAUCUAAAUGGUACUCUUGUUAACAAAUCUCAUUUUUUGCUUGACUUCACAUAUAGCACCACUUGCACAUGCGGUCUUCCUCCAAGCGAUUAGUGAUGGGGCCUUGGUUAAAGAAUAGCAUGUUUUCAAAGCUUGCAAAGGACUAAUACACCACAUGAGAAGAGGUCACCUUUAUCAAGAAUCCUUCGAAGAGUAUUAACAACAUGGAGCAAAUGAUAAACGCCAAUUGCAAAUAACUUUGGAAUGCCUUUCCAUACUGACAUAGCUCAUUCUUGCCCAUACCUCCAACCCGUAGUGUUUGGGGAGUUUCUCCGAGUUUCAUCAAAUGCAGCUUUCAUCUGCAUAAGGAGGAUAGCACCGACUAAUUAUAAUUAAAUAAAGAUAUCCAAGAUCAUAGCAUCAGAAUUUACCACAUAACGGAUAAGGUAAAAAUGUGUAAACAUUGACACCAAUCGGAGUUGGACCACAAUGAACAGAGACUUCAUUAGCUGGCCGAUGACAAAGAAACCAACAGACUUAAAAGAAGUAAACAUUUAGCUACACUUUCCCGGUUUGUGUUUAGGAACAGAAUUGAGGCUAAAAAAAUUAUGCUGAAAAGGUGGAGUGCCUAAACUACAGAACAAAAAGAUGCAUUUGCUACUGUGUUAUUUUGCAAGUUCCAAUUAGCAAAAUCAGCAAUGCGGAAUAGUUUGUGAGGAGGCCAAUUUCAACUUUACAAAUCUAAUGCCACAUACAUCAGAACUGAGCUUAUCAAAUCAGAAACCUAUAUGACAACAUUCAAAGGAUAUCAUCACACGAAUAAACUAAUAGAAAUGGAGGAGCCUAGCAGUGCAUACCUCCCUUUGCAGGGCCUCAUCAAUUUCGAAGUGAUAUCAUUAGAAUGCAACCGUGUCGAACAACUGUGCAUCAGGGUAACAUACAAAAAAUCAGUAGCUUAGUAUUUGAUUAAAGGAGAGCUAGAACCUAAUGAGCAUACAGAAAGCAUAUUUAAUUGAAAAAAAAAAUACAUUUACAAUUAUUUAGGGAUGUGAUGUUGAGAUCAGAUCAAGUAUUUGAAUAUGCAGAAGCAUCAAAACUUCCUUGGGACACUCCAGCCAGCCCCAAAUUGUCUUUAAGUUUGGCAUGCAAGAUGGUCCUCAGCUGUUGCUGAUGCUUCCUCUGCAAAAUCCCUUUUCUUUAUUUUGAUCGGUCUCAAGUAUGGAAUUUGAAGUUCCUCAGCCCACUUAGCCACACCCAAAUCAAUCAUGUGAUAAAGCAAUUCCAUGACAACAAUUGGAUCAAACGGGAUACAAACUAAUUAGCAAAUUCUUGAGCUCCUCAUCCCAGCUUGUUUCACAGACAGGCAAAAAAUUGUCCUUUAAUGCAAAAGGUCAUCGAUACUGUUGAUUAAAUUGAAGUCCUAAAGUAAGCCUAGAUCGUUAUGUAGACCAACCAAACCUGACAUAGAAGCAGCACCAAUUUACCUUGCUCAAUAAUCUUUCAAAACAAUAGUUUGCCAACUGGUAAUGUUAAGGUGGUCAACAUUCAUACAUGACAAACUAGCCAAAACUACUUUUAACAUUUUUUUGUCACCAACUAGAAACACUUGAACCUUGAAUUUUAUUUUAGCUCAAUUCUCCAUAUAUACUGAGAAGUGAUGUUCUUCUUAGAGGGUUAAUGAGGGCCAUCAAGGCAACAAUAAGAAACUUGACAGGGUUUUUGUUCAUCACAGAAAAUCAGAAGGCAUUUGUCCUAAACAGGUUACCUGCCAUUAGUCAAAUUUGACAUACAAAAGAACUAAAGGAACUCAAAUGGCCAAGGAUUCUGAAAAGAAAAUAUGAACUUUGGACACGGGGAAAUUCCAGGCGUAGUAUACUAUAAUACAAUAAUGAGUAGCAGGAGUUCAUUGGCCUCUAGAUGAAAAUUUCAAAUCCCGAGUUUGCCGAUAGAGGAACUGUAAAUCACUAGGUAAUUCUUGUUUACCUUUGUUAUAUUUUCAUUCUUGCCUCGCAAGCUGCCAUUUGUUUGCAGUCUACAGAAGCUGCCAAUAGGAUAAAUGAAAAACAUUGCUAUAACGUAAUCAACAACAAUUAUACAGAGGCAAAUCCAUUGUUUCCAAAUUCAAUCAAAUAGAUAUCCAGUGUGGAGCAAAUCAUUCUUAAAAUAUAGAACUUCGAGAAAAGUAUUACUCUAUUUGCUCACGCUGGCUGUUCAAGGAUGAAGAAUCUUACUAUGCCUUCUAUUGACAUUUGGGUCUACAUUUUGAUCUUGGCUGAACCAUCAUGUGAGCUUCUAUGACCAACUCUUCCACUCCUUCAAUUGUGCAAGACCAGCAAUUUAGGAAAGUACAGAAUCCUGUCAUGGAAAACCUUCUUGUCAAAAGAAGAUAAUGAUGAAAAGCAAGUCAUGAAUCUCAGAGGAAAAAUGAUUGGUCACUGCUUAUUUACCUCUGUUGAAGAAACAUGACUAGUCUCACUGUUGUAAUAUGGGUAUAAGAUUCCUCACAUCAUUAUCACUGCAAGAUAAUAUUUCCAUAGAAAACUCAAAACAGUUCCUAAUUUCUAAAGACGCGCACUCCAGAUAAUUUCAGUAUUGCUUCCAAUGAGUCACAACCAGAAAUAUCCAAAACAAUUAAAUUCAACAUUUCAAGUCCCUGAAGCUGAGUAAGUUUCUUGCAGUCAUGAAGUCUUAGAAAUCGUAACUUCUCAAAUCCUCUCAAAUCUGGCAAAGUCUCCAUUGAUUUGCAUCCUGAAAAAAUCAACUCUUCUAAGGAAUUCGCACCGUCAAGACCUUGAAUUUCAAUUAGAUUGUCGCACCCAGAAGCCUUGAAUUUCUUCAAACGCUUGCAUUCAUCUAAAAAUAUGACCUCCAAGGACUCCAAGUUACCAUAGCCCAUAAUUUCAACUAGGCUAUCGCAAUGCUCAAUGCGUAAUCGUUUCAAAUGAAUAAAUCCUGAAAGGCUUAAUCUUUCAAUGGAACUGCACUUUUUUAUUGAAAGCUCUUCCAAGUGCGUGAGUCCGCUGAGCGAAAGUGAUGUCAGCUUAUCCCACUCCUCAAAACAGAGUUUCAAUGUUAUUGAGGAAAGCUCGCGGAUGUCUUCAAGUAAAUGGCGUACCUCAAGAUCGAGUAUUUCUAGGUGGAUGAGGCGAAGGAGCUGUGGCAGUCCAAGACUCUGACAAGUAACCGACAGACAUGUUAGGCCAGAAGGAAGCUCUGGCAGCGACUGGAGCUUGUUACAGCCCUCUAGGUGAAGGCUUUGGAGAGAAGAAGGAAGCUUUGGCAGCGACCGGAGCUCCUUGCAGGCCCUUAGUUCAAGGGUUUGGAGAGAAGAAAGAUUCCAGAUGCUUUCUGGCAGGUUAGAUAUCGGUGUGAGAUUGAGAUAGAUAGUCUUGAGGGAAGGCAAGUCACCGAUUUCACUUGGAAUUGCCCCUUUCAGACUACUGCACUUGAUGAGACUUAGAAACUGCAGAUUUUUCAACCCUCCAAUAGCAUUGGGGAAGCUUUUCAAUCGUAGAAAAACUCAAUUCAAGAUGUUGCAAAUUCUGUAAAUCCCCAAUUGAGCUGGAGAUUUCUCUCAGUGGCUCACAUGAGGCGGCACUCAGUGUCUUCAAUUUCCUCAAAGAACCAAUAGAUGAAGGAAUUGCUAUAAUACCAGAUUCAUCUAAAAGAAGUUCUUCUAAAUCUUUUAAUCCACCCACCUCCUCUGGUAGCUCCUUGAGACCUUUACAGGAAUACAAGUCCAAGGUAACAAGGCUUGUGAGUUCGCCAAUAGAAGGGUGGAGAUGCUCCAAUCCAUCACAGCUCAAUAUGAGAAUUUUCAACUGCGUGAAAGCUGAGAGUUCAGGAGUACAUCUUAAAUUAAGACAACCUUGAACGGUGAGAACUUUAAGCUGCUUUGACGCCUAAUACAAAAGGAGAAUAAUCCGUCAAAUGAGGAGUUGAUUGGCUAAACAAAAAACAAACCUCAAGAUCGCAGAGAGGAUGUAUUCUUUUCCUAAUCUUACCAUUAAUGAAUUCCAUCCUUCCCAAUUCUCUGUGAUUUCUCCCCAUAAGCUCAGCACCGAUAAUUUUGGCAAAUGUAAGUUGAACGUCGAAAGAGACGCAUCGUUUCCAAGAACGACCCACUGAAGCCAUCUCACUUCAGAAAACUUGGAAUCUCCGCUAGAAGCUGCCCCCAAAAACUUGUGGAACCAGGGGCGUCUUUGCAAGUUUUUUCACUUUUUAGUUUUUGCUUUUUUUAAAUCUUGAAUUUGCACGAUUACCUUUUUAUCCUUCCCCUAUACAUGUAUGGAUAUGUAAACUCACAUUUAUUUCUUUCUUUUUUUUACGACCUUUUGAAAGUUAAACAAAUGACGCAAAGAUAAAGAAAAAAAUAAUUAUUGCUUUAAAACAACUAAGGCAAAUGCACCUCAAUGUUUUAUCUCUUGCUUCUUCUUCUUUUUCAAAAUUUUGUAGCGAAUGGAUUUUCACUUUCAUUUAAGAAGAAAUACAUAAAACUAGUUUACAACGUACAAAUGUUAACUUGUAAAUUUUUAAAUGACUUAUAAUUUUUAAAAGAAUUUGUUAAAGAGUGUCGACGGGCCACCUGUAAGUAGCUAAGGAAGCAUCCUAUUUUCAUUUCAUUAGUUAAAUGUAAUAAUGUGGAAGAGAAAAAAAAAGGGGGGGGAAUUUUUAAUAUAUUCAGAUAUAUAGAAAAGUUUACGUGGAGGGAAAUUAAAAGAAAUCAAAUAUGAUAUGCAUUAUCAAAAUAGAUAUAGAAAAUUAAAAGAAAUAUCCUUAUCUCUAGAAGGUAUCUAAAUAUCUUUAACGUCAUUAACUAUUUGCGUGAAGUGUUUACUCAUUUCUUUGACAAUCGAAACGUUUUUUUUUUCAGCAAAGUUUGUUUAAAAAGUGGCAUGGCGACAUUGGUUAGUAGUUUUGACCAGGAUUGAAAAAAAUUAGUCGCUUUCAGAAUAACUAGAAAAUGAACCGAUUAACUGAAAAGUGCCGUGGUAACAUUGUUUAAUCAUCAUACGUUGGUUUCCAUAAGAAUAACAUCGUUUCUUUUUCCAUCUUAUAAAUCAAAAAACAUACUGUUUAACUUUCCUGCUAAAACAGAUCAUUUAAUUAGUUGCAGACGGUGAAAGAAAUUUCCUUAUGGCUUUAUUUGACUUUUAUAAUAAUACCUAUAUUUUCCCCCAAAAGUUUAAUUGGUUAGAAAUUCACUUUUAUGGUUAGACACGUUUGUCGUUAUAUCUGCUUUAAAUAUUAACCAGUGAAAUGCAAUGGGUAUAAAUUCUCUUAAGUCUAUUUGUCUGAAAAGUAGCUAAAUUGUUGUAAUCAUAUCCCACACUAUCUUUAAUAAUUUUCGCUUGUAUAUCGAUCUAUACUAUGUAUUACAUUAAAAAAAAUCUACUGUAUGGAAAGGGGAUUUCAAACCUCAAACUUUUGUCAAAAGUUUCCACACAAUUCGCAUAUAUCUCACCAAAAUGAACUAAAGAAAUAGGAUAUAACAAAAUAGGCAUAAUCAUAUUUGAAAUAGUCAAGACAAUUGGAAAUUAGUCCUACAAGCAUUUCAAUUUCCAAAGUUAAAUCAAAAUCUCUCAAAUCGUACAAUCAUUUCAUUUUUUUUCGAUACUAUUUAUCAUCUUUCAGCAUUUUUGUCCAUUCAAAACAGAAUUGACCUUUCUUUUUCAUUGUUCCAAACACCUGUAUAGUGUGGUUUUUUUGCUAAUGCUAAGAAGUUAUUGGAUCAACAAAAGAGUGUGAUAUUAAAUUGUAGGAAUGAACUAUUUGAAAUUAUAUCAAGAAUAUAAGGCUGCUUUGUUUGCCCAACAUUCCUUGGUCAAUUUCUGGGGUUAAUUCCUUGCCGUUGAUCAGCCAUGAAACUGUAAAGCUUUUCAAAUGGACAAUAUAUAAUAAAAUGACAUGAACAUUGACAAUUUAAGUUAAAGAUAAAACAUAGUUGAAAAAAUUUGCUUCAUGCUGAAAACAUAUAUAAUGAAUACAAGGUUAUGGAUAUAAUAAUAAGCAUGACAUUUCCUCCGAUUAGUCAAGUUUUCUUUUUUUAUCUUAAAAAUAAUCAAGUUAGUCUAGCGAAUUCUGACGCAAAAGAGGCAGCGCCCAAAAAAUAUAAAUAAUAUAAAACAACUUAUAGCAGAUAGAGAUGUUUGUUAUAAGGAAAUCCACUCUUUAUUAUACGCCUAACCUAAUCCAUGAAAUAAGCAAGGUCAAUGGGAUAAAACCCUAAAAAAUGGUAAGAUUUGCAUGUACGUAUUUUUAAGGGAUUAAGAGGAGUUAACAAUGAAAAGAGAUAGAUAUAAAUAACUAGUUGAGGGACCGGUAUCUUCAAAAUCAAAACAGAAAAAAAAAUAUAUCAAACAUCCGAUUUCUAAAUCACAAGAGCACCACAAUACAUUUGGCCGUACUAGAAAGCAAACAUAUGUGAUAAGUGUGAAAAAAAAUUCCAAUCUUAUUGCUUUGAAUUAUUUAUCGGUUAUUAUACUAUCUCCUUUUUUCUUAACCAGGAAAUCUUCAUUUAUUUGAUCUAUGAUGUUUAUACUUCGUCUUCAUUCAUAAUUAUAGUCCUUCUGAUUAUCAAUAUUUUCAAGACAAUUUCAUGCUUUAACUAAAUGAGAUUUAUAGUCUAAAAUUGUAGUUAAAGGAUUUUGAAUUGAUUGCCAAACAAAUUUUUACAUAUGUAAUUUACAUCGAUGAAAUUGAAUCAAUGAUAUAAAUUUUUCAUUCUUGAGAUACUUAUGAUUUAUUUAGUGUCACAAUUAAUCUACGAUGUACAUAAAUGAAUGUUUAAAUAGAUUUUUUUUCCUAGAAAGUAAGAGCAUCUUUUCAUGCUCAAUGAAAUAUUAGAAUAGAUCGGAUUAAAUAUAUUAAAUAAGAGGGAGAGAGAAAAAAAAAAAAGAGUGCCAUGUUUUACCUCUCGAUAUCUUACUACUCUUGGGACUCCCUCAUAGUUGUCGUCCCAUGGUCCACUACGUUUCUCAAGCGGUUGUCCUUGGCAAAAAAUGCUCCUUCCAAGAUCUCUCAGUUGAUCAUGCACCAUAAAUUUACCAUCAUCUCCAAUUUUAAUUAAGCACCUCAACUUCAACUCUUCAAUUCCUUGAUUUGGAUAAAACCCACAACCCUCCCACAUGUACAUGGCGAAUUGUGCAACUUCGCCAUCAUAAUGUAUGCCAAUAAAGAAACAAACAAUAUCGAGAAAAAUCUGCUUAUGUCCUUCUUCUAAUGCAUCAUAACUUAUUUGCAAUAUUUUUUGGACAUCUCUGUGUGGUUGAUUUUUUAAUUGCUUCCGCACAUCUUCCCAUACUCUAUUCUUUUUUUUAUACAAGUAUGAACCUACGACUUUAAGUGCCAAGGGAAGCCCACCCAUGGUAGAUAUGAUAUCACGAGAUAUACCAUCAAAGUCCUUCGGAGAAUGGUCCAUACGAAAUGCAUGUCUAUUAAACAAAAGCAAAGCAUGCACCGUAUCCAAUCCAUUCAAUUCAUACUUGUAGUCCACCUCAAAUUCAGAUUGAUCAAGAAUAGCUUCAUUUCUAGUUGUAACAAUGAUCAAACUUCCUACAAUAAACCAAUUACGUUCCCCAGCCAAUGCAUCUAGUUGAUUCUUGUCAUCUAUAUCAUCCAAAAGAAUGAGAACCUUUUUUCCUUUGAAUCUAGAUUUGAUUAUAUUAAUUCCAUCAUCAAUUCUAGACACUUCAUUUUUGCUUUGUAGUAUAUCCGAUAUUAGUUGACUUUGUAAAUACGUAAUACCGUGGCGCUUGGUAGUUUCUUGAACAUCUGGAAGGAAGCUGACAUGCACAAAUUUGUUCGAGAGUUGAUUGUGAAUGAUCUUGGCAAGAGUUGUCUUGCCUAUCCCACCCAUGCCAUAAAUUCCAAUCAUUCGAGCACUAAAGGAAGGACUGUCUAUCCAAUUCAUAAUGUUCUUUAGACAAUCAUCAAGUCCAACUAGUUGCUUAGGCACAUUUAGUUGAAAAUCUUCUUGUAACUUGCUUAGAAUAGUUCCAACCACAUGUUCUAUUAGUUCUCCCUCAUGCCUGUCAAACAACGAAAACAAUGAGAGAUUAUGAACCUAGACAUAGUUUAUGUGAAGUAAUUGAUCCUUAUCAACUGCGCUAACCCUUGUUGGCUAUAGGAGGGUGAUUUUAUCUAGUGGUGAUCAAGCUUUGGAAGACCGAGCAUUGGAGUCAUUUGUAACCUAUUGUUUAGUGAUUGAUACUACUGGCUGGAGGUAUUGUCAUUUCCUUGUUUUUUGCUCUAUACCGGAGGAAAAUGUAAAAUUCUUGGGCACUAUGGGAUGCUUUGGUUUUUGUUGUUGUUGGUUUAGUUUUCAGAGACAUCUUGGUGAGUACUGGUGUUUGUUGUCCUCGACGCCGUAUGGUUGUUUAUUGGGACAGUUUGGGAAUCUUUUCUGAGUUUGCAGUGAUAGUAAUUGAUCUGCAUUUCAUUGGUUUUGCUUGAAGAAGAAAACAAACUUAUCAAAACAAGAAAAGUUCAGUGAAGUACCCGUCCUCAAAUUUAUCAGAUUCCCAUCCAUGUAAGUAACUGACUUCAUUAAGUGCUUGUUGCCAUUCCUGGAUAUCCUUCUCAUCAUAACGCUCCCGCCUCAAAUGGAAGGCAUUUCCAAAAUUUCCCUUUAGAUGCCGCACAUCCGAUGGGGCAACUUUGUAAAAUAUAGGCAACACUAUGUGUUGCAUGCUCUUCUUGCAUUCCAUGAUAUGAACGAGCUCACGGAGGCACCAUUUGCUCGAAGCAUAAUUUUCGGAGAUGACGGGGAUCGAAAUCUUAGACUGUACGAUGGCAUCAAGAAUCUCUGAACCAAAUUCCUCACCAAUUGGGAUGCUGUUCUCGUCCCUAAACACGCAAAACGGUACAGUCCCUGCCUUGACCAGAUUGCGAUAGAGGUGAUCGGUGAAUGUCUUGCGGGUAUCCGAGCCUCUAAAGUUCAAGAACACAUCGUAUUGACCGCUACGUAAACCUGUGGCUUCUGGAGAGAUGGAUGAAGAAGAGGACGCUCCCCGAGUGCUCUCUUCCUCUGGUUUCUUUCUCUUCCUCUGCUCUUUGUCCAUGGCGAUCUGAGAGGGAAAAGUUGAAACAAAAGAUGCUUUUUAUGCUUCUUAAAAGGAUCAAUGAACAACGAAAGAUGCUUUUGCAAAUGCUUUUUGGCUUACGAAAUAUGCUUUCUUCUUUAUGCUUAAAAGGAUUGAUGAACAACGAAAGUUGCUUUUUGCAAAUGCUUGUUGGCUUGGUUCUCUCUCUCGUCCCCUUCCGCCCCCCCCCCCCAUAUGAUAUAUUCUCUUUUUGUGUGAAUGUUGUUUCUCUAUUCGUUUUAGGUCCGUUGCUUCGCUUCUUUUAUGUUUUGGUUCAAAUUUGAUGAUUACAUGUUUUAAAUUUCUUUAAAAUUGGCAUAUUCUUAACGAAGUUGGAAAUGCGAGGUAGAGAUUAGCAAAUUGUUGUUGUCAUUUCUCUCUUACUUAUUUCAUGCUCGCCCCACAUUCCAGUAAUUCUAUAUAAGACGAAUUUAUGAUAUGAUGUUACCGAGCUAUUCACUUCUAACUUUUAAAUUUAAAUUAUUGAUUGAUAUAUUGUCUGCAAAAUAGAGCUAUAAUUUGUUAAAUGACACCAAAUGAACAUAAUGCGUUAGUAUUAAGUUAUUAAUGAUAUAUGAAAUACUUGUACAUUGUCCUUGAGUUCUUUUCCGGGUCAUUUUUUUUUAUUACUAUUUUGUUGGCAUAUCGUUCAGCUCUUGAAAAGUCAGUAAAUCACUGAAAAAAUAAGUACGUGAAAUAUUCAUAAAAAUAAAGCAUGAUUUAGGAAAAAGCAUAGAAAAGAAGGGAAUGAAGUGUUUGGGCCUACUUUUAGAUGCAAACAGUGACAUUUAGAGUUAAUGUCCAAAAGGCUUUUAAAUUAUGGAUUCAUGACACAUGAAAACCUUCACGAAAUGAAUUGAAAGUAAAAAUGGGAAUGAAAGAUGCAUGGCAAUCUGAGGGUGAAAGUUGGAAUGAAAGAUGCUUUUUUUCCGUAAAAGGAUCGAUGAACUAAUCUCUACAAACGAACAUGAAUAUGUUACCACGCAAGAAAAAAUGAACGUGAAAUCUUUAAUUAAAUGGUAAUUGAUUGACUAGGAGCAGUUGCAGCCGCUUUUAGCCCACACCUAUCUUGUUUUUGACCUCACCCUAUUCAAGUCGAACUUGUUGGCUUGAUCCCAAACGAGUAACGUGGACGUUAAUUUUUUAAUUGGGCUAUGAAGUACUAGAAUCUGCAUACAAGUAUAUUGCAUUCAACAAAAAAUAUAAGCAUACGUUCGGUUUUUUAUUUGGUUAUUGAAAAUCGGAAUUUAAUAAAUCAUUUAAAAGAAAAUAAUUGAGUUGAAACAUAAUUAGAAAUGUGUGAAAGAUGUCAAGAAAGGACGGAGCUAGUGAUUAGGAAUGUGAUUUUAUAUUUUAAAUUUGUUUAAAAUUGUCACAUUCUUAAUGAAGCUGGAAAUGUGAGGUAGAGAAAAACCAAUACUCAUGGUUAUUUAUCUUUCAUCUAUUCUAUGCUAGCACCACAUGCUACAAUUCCAUGUAAAAUGAAUUUAUUUUGAAUUGGUGUGUUAUCACCAAGCCUUUCAUUUCAAAUUUUCAAAUCUAAAAAGUUGAUUGAUAUCUUCUGUAAAAUAGAGAUAUAAUUUGUUAGAUGGCACCAAACGGAGAAGCAGAUGCUACCUCAGUGCCCUUGAUGGUUUUAUUAAUGUGAUGGGCCUAAGUUGGCCCGUCCGCCCAUGUUGGGCCUAAAAGUCCGGCCCACAAGAUUAUGACCCAUGGAUGGAGGGAUAUGAUGAAGAGGUACAUUUCUUUUUGGAGGGGACGUAUAUAAAGGGAAAUAAAGAGGGAGGAACGCACCUUUUGGCAUAACGUACAUUCCUCCCCCUUCUCUCCCUCAAAAACACUCCAAAAGAAAUAAUAGUGCGCAAGAGGCAACACCCAUCUUCCCUUCAAGGCCAAUUGACGUUAUCAAAUUGAAUGGGAUUGUUUUUUCUUUCUCAUAUCGGUGUUGGUGUUUAAUCUGUGGCUAACAAGGUACGCUCGAUUCCGUGGUGUGUUUUAGGAUCGGUGAUACAUGUUUUUUCCCGGGCUCAUCUUCCGCAUUCUUUUAGGGGUUCGAUUUAGUGUCAAAUCCGUUUUUGAGAAUCCGACAAUCCCAACAUUGGUAUCAGAGCCGUAAUUCUUGUUUCCCGAUCCUUUUCCAUAUUUUUCCUGACCCCUUUCUUGUUUAUGGAUGAUUUCUUAUUGUUUUUUCGCGAAAUUAAUCGGCCGACACCGAUCGGGGCGAAAAAUCCCGACAGCCCAACACUGUUCAUCCAUUUUUUCAAGUUUUUGUAACUCAAAAUCAAUUUCUGAUGGCAUUGGAUGGAAGGUUUUGUUGAGACGAUCGCGACGAGUGGCGGAACGCCGCCAACGGCCGCUGGACGCGCCCCCACGCGCAGCCGGAACAAACCGGCGUUGCACGCGCCGAUUCGCAGGGGAAGGCGCAUGCGUCGCUGGCGCGUGCGAGGCAGGCGCCAGCUGAAGUCAUCAUGACGUCAGCUGCACGCGUGCCGCACGUGCCGGGUCGGUCCGUCCGACCCGGCCCGACUGGCCGACCGGCCGACCGGUCCAACCGGUUCGAUCGGCCAGCCCGACCUGGCAACCGUCGACCGUUGACCGACGACUGUUGACCGUUGACUUUGACCGUUGACAAAAAAAAAAGAAUGAAUGUGUUUCUUUUUCCAAUUAAGUCUAUGUGGAUUAUAUGUGAUCCCUUAUUUGUUCUGUAUUUGUUGCAGGAACAAUGCCUCCCCUUAGGUUGCGCACACCUAUUCACGCAAUUACUGAUGAACAAAAGGAAAGGCUUUCUAUGUUGAUAGCUGAGCUGACUAAUCAUCGAUGGGAGAGUGGUGACUUAAUUGAUCACGUUCUUGAAGUCAACGGGAAAAUUCAAAAGGUCAUAUGGAAUGGUCGUCCCUUGCCACAGUCUGAGGUGGUGCGAUUUUCGUGAACCUUCCACCAGAAUGGCAAGGAGUGUUGAAUCGCAUAUGUGAUGUCAAUAGAGCCGCUUCAUAUAGGAAAAUUAUUAUGGAUUUUAUAGAUGAAUAUUACUGGAUUGUUACAAGGGAAAAGAUCAAGAAAUUGAACAAAAGAGGAUCUUUCCCAGUUCAUGUAUUGACUUGGUGUUAGAUGUAUUGGCUGGCCUUUGUUAAGUGUGCUUUGUGAAUGUCUUAUGUAAUGUUUACUACCUGAUUGUUGUUGAUGAAGCAACUUAUAUGUUAGUUGUAUUAUGUGAAAGCAUUAUUAUUCUAUUGGAUGUCGAAUAUUAUUUGCUUUCUGUUAUUGUUGAUUGUUGUGGGUAGUUCAUAGAAGUUUUUGUAGCUUCAUAGAAUUUAUUUUGUAUAAGACAAUUAUAUUAAUGAUAGUUUUAAGUUAGAAUUUUGGAGAAUGAUUGGAAACAUGGUAACAUUUUGAUUCUGAAACCUUACUUGAAAUUGUUCAUUAAUAUGAUGGGUCUGUGCAAAAUGGAUGCAUAAAUGAUAGGCAUUAGUAAUUCGUGCAUAUAUGUCUAAUAUGUUCAGAUUAAUGGCUUCAUCUACAAAGAGCAUAGUUGCUGAGCUGAACAAAGGUGAAAAGCUCAAUGGCGACAACUAUGAAAUAUUGAAUAUGAAAAUUCAAUGUGUGCUUGAAAAACAAGAAGCACUAGAAGCUCUUGAUCAUGUUAUGAAAAAAAUUGAGAAUGCUGUGCACCACCUUAAGCUAGCAAAGGACUGCCUCAAGGUAUUUGAGAAGGAAACACAUAUUUGCUAUAUUGCUUCUAGCUUAGAAGGAGCUUCGAGCUCUAAGCACAAGCGCAUCGAUUUGUUCAAUAUGUGGAAAUGCAAAUGAUCAAGUCCUUAUUGCAAGAAAUCAAGAGUUAACCAACAUAAGAGAGGAAAACGUCCUCAAGUGAAGAAAAUGUCAAGAGUGAGGUGUUACAAUUGUGACAAGAAAGGUCACUAUGCUCGCAACUGUUGUGAGCCGAAAAAGGUAAACACCUCUUGUACAUUUGAAGAACUUUGCUUAUGUGUCAAGUUCUGCAUUAUUGGCUGAAUCCAAUCCUUUGUGGACUGUAGAUUUAGGAGCGACAUACCAUGUAGCGAAGGAUAGAGAAUCCUUCGUGGAAUUCCGACGAGUAUCAACUGGAACUAAGUGGACCUAUGUAGGAAAUAACUCCAGAGCUGAAGUUAAAGGGAUUGGCACCUGCCAAUUGAACAUGCGUGGUGGACACACCUUGUUCCUACAUGAUGUUCUAUAUGCUACGGAGAUUCGUCGAAAUUUAGUGUCUGUUUUGGUGUUGGUUAAGCUUGGUUUUAGUGUGAACUUUCGUAAUAGCGGUGUAGAUUUGUAUUUGGAUACAAACUACUAUGGUUGUGGUUAUUUUCUAUAUGGUUUCAUUGUAUUAGAUAUUAACUAUGUUAAUGCAAAUGUUUGUUAUUCCCUUCUCACGUCUCCUAAUUCAUAUGAUAAUGAUGUGAAUGUGUGGCAUGCUAGACUUGGUCAUAUUGGCCAACAACGUAUGAAUAGACUAACUUAAGAGGGCUUGUUGGGCAAUAUUGAAAAAGUCGAUUUGCCCAUAUGUGAGCAUUGCCUAGUAGGGAAAAAUGACAAUGAAACCAUUUGAAAAAUGUAAAAGAGCUGAAUUUCCUCUGCAUUUAAUCCAUUCUGACGUCUGUGGUCCAAUGAAUGUGAAAGGAAGACAUGGGGCUGUUUAUUUCAUCACUUUUAUAGAUGAUUAUACUCGAUUCGGAUAUGUCUAUUUGAUUUCUCAUAAAUCUGAAGCAUUAAGUUGUUUCAAAAGGUUUAUGAAUUUGGUAGAAAAUCAAUUAGACAAGAAAAUAAAAGUAUUAAGAUCCGAUCGAGGUCGAGAAUAUUUAUCUGAUGAGUUCAGAAAAUUAUGUGAUGAAAAAAAAAUAGAAAGACAGUUGUCUAUUCCAUAUACUCCUCAACAAAAUGGUGUUGCGGAGAGAAGAAACAGAACCCUAUUGGAAAUGGUUAGGUCCAUGAUGGCGCAUGCUAACUUACCUAUCACUUUUUGGAGUGAUGCGUUGUUAACUGCUACCUAUAUACUUAACCGGGUGCCUUCCAAAUCAGUUACUUUCACUCCAUAUGAGUUAUGGACAAGUAGAAAACCGGACUUAAGUUUCUUAAGCCAUGGGGUUGUGCUGCCUAUACUCAUGAGUCCUCUCACAAGUUUAGGAAAUUAGGUCCCAGAGGAAAGAAGAGUACUUUCAUAAGAUACUCCGAGCACUCGAAAGGAUAUGUGUUCAUAGGUGAGCAGGAAAGUGGGAGUAUAACUGAAUUUGAAUCACGGGAUGUCACAUUCUUAGAGGAUGAAUUUCCUAAGAAAGGCGAAAUAGGGGAAGAUUACUCCCUAUUUGAAACCUUGGAUCAAGAUAAUGAUAUUAGUGGAGUUUGUCCAAGUGGGAGUAAUCUGAGAAGUGAUGAAUUGAAUUCAACUCAUUCUCAAUUACAACCACAUGAUGAGACAACAUCAUCAUUAUCUAAUCCUAGUGGGAGCAUAAUAGGGAAUGAUGUGCAAAGUGUACAAUCUCCCAUACGGCAAACAAGUCGCCAAAGUAUUCCCCGUCAACGUUUUGACAUUGAAGGGGAAACUUUUAUGAUUGCUCCACAAGAUGAGAAUGAGCCAAGAAAUAUUAAUGAGGCUUUAAAUUGCCCUAGUAAGGAAAAAUGGAUUCAUGCAAUGGAAGAGGAAAUGGAGUCAAUGAAGUCAAACCAAGUUUGGGAACUGGUUAAUCUUCCAAAAGGACGCAAAGUUAUUGGAAACAAGUGGGUUCUCAAAAUAAAGCGAAAAGCUGAUGGCUCGAUAGAAAGGCAUAAGGCUCGCCUUGUGACGAAGGGGUAUAAUCAACAGGAAUGAAUUGAUUAUGAAGAAACAUUUUCUCCUGUAGUGAGAUUUACCUCGAUUCGCAUUAUUCUGGCAAUUGUGGCUAGUAUGGAUCUUGAGUUACAUCAAAUGGAUGUAAAGACUACUUUCCUUAAUGGAGAAUUAGAUUAAGAAAUAUAUAUGGAACAACCUGCUGGUUUCAUUAUAUAAGACCAAGAAGGAAAGGUAUGUCGACUUUUGAGAUCGAUAUACGGCAUUAAGUAAUUAUUGAGACAAUAGUAUAUACGCUUUCAUAAUGCCAUCAUGGCAUAUGACUUUACAAUGGUAGAUGAGGAUCAUUGUGUAUAUAUCAAAAGAUCCAAAUAUCAAUUUAUGAUCAUAUCAUUAUAUGUUGAUGAUAUACUAAUUGCGGGGAGCAAUAUGGAGUUUGUUAGUACUGUGAAGAGUUAGUUAUCUUCCAACGUUGAGAUGAAAGACAUGGGUGAUACUGCAUACAUUCUUGGAGUUAAGAUUUCAAGAAAUCGUUCGAAGAAAUCAUUGUCUCUUUCGCAAGAAAUAUACAUAAAUAGGGUUCUUGAACGAUUUCGUAUGCAAGACUGUAAACCUAUAGACACUCCUAUUGCAAAAGGUGAAGGACUGAGCCAUAGACUAUGUCCAAGGACUCCACGAGAGAAGGAACAAAUGAAACAUGUUCCUUAUGCUAGUGCUGUUGGGAGCUUGAUGUAUGCUAUGAUGUGUACAAAACCUAACAUAUGUUUUGUAGUUGGAAUGGUGAGUAGAUACCAAUCCAAUCCAGGUCAAGCACGUUGGAAAGCCGUUAAAAGAAUACUAAGGUAUCUAAAGGGAACUGUUGAUUAUACGCUGAGUUAUCAAGGAAAGGAUCUGCGACUUGAGGGCUAUUCAGAUGCUGAUUGAAAAGGAGAUUUAGAUGAAAGGAAAUCUACCUCUGGAUUUGUUUUUCUUACUAAAUAAUGGUGCCAUAUGUUGGAGCAGUAAGAAACAAACGUGUAUAGCAUUGUCCACGAUGGAAGCUGAGUUCAUGGCAUUAUCAGCAGCAGUAUAAGAAGGUGUUUGGCUUAAGAGAUUUUUUGGAUCAUUUAGGUGUUAUUGAGAAAGCUGCAAAUCCAUUAUUGGUUAACUGUGAUAACCAAGCAGCUAUAACGUACACCAAAAAUCCAAAAUAUCAUGGCAAGACCAAACAUAUAGAUACCAAGUAUAACUUUAUCAAAGAUAUGGUUGCACGAAAGGUUGUGAACUUACAGUACAUAUCUACGCAUAGAAUGGUAGCAGAUCCUAUGACAAAGCCAAUACCUAGAGAUGUGUUUUGUGGUCAUGUAAAAUUUCUAGGAUUGCAUAGAGUCUGAUGUACUGGAUUAUAAUUUCCCUGAUUUGUUCACAUUUAUGAACUUGUGUUUUUUCAUUGUUAAUGCCUAUGAAUCUUUGUUUGAUCUUUAUGCAUCUUAAUGCUCUGUGCAUUACUUUAAGUUGAGAAAGUAUGUCGGACAGAUAUAAGAUUGGCACACUCACAUGGGUAAUCGCAUUUAUUUACUAUGUGAUAAAUAGAGAUGAGACGAUUUUUAAGCUUAUUAUCUAAGUGAUAAUUGAGAGCUCAAGCUUAAAAUAUAUUUGUCGCCUUAACUAGGUGUUAAGAUGAUGACAUAAUAUUUACUAUGUCCGAAAGUAAAAUAACCCACUUAUUUUACUUUAUCUGUCUAUGAUGCCAGAUGUGAGUUCUGAUGAAUUUUGUGGAUGAGUAGAUACGUGAACUCAAGUUAGACAUUGGGUAUGUCUGAAUUAUCAUCUGUACGGUAUUGAAGGUGUAGACAUACGCUCCAUGGGAAAGGAGUUAAUACCGUAAUACAUAUUUCAUACUACGUAUGCAUGAGAUUACUAAUAAUAGUGGCAAAAGUUUGAUCUCAACUUUUAUGCCAUGUGAGACUCUUGAGGAAAAGAAUUCCUCAAUUUUAGUGUCCUCAUGACUUUUACUUAUUCUCAAAAUUUCUAUUUAGUGUUUGCUAUUUUAGGAUGUUGCCAAUGGUCAUGAGUUGAUUCGAUCUAAUGGGACAUUUCUAGAAAAGCAAGCUAAACUGAAAUUGAGAGUUUUGAAGGAAAGAGGAAGAUCGAAUUUGGAGAAUCACAUUGUAGUUUUGUAUUCACUGGUCGACCAAUUAUGACUGUCUUUGGGAUAAUCAUAAUUGUGAAUACAAUAUAUAUAUAUAUAUAUAUAUCAUUGUUUAAAAGAGAUCAAGAGAGAUAUAAAUGUGAUUAAUCGAUCUAGGGUACUGCAUACUAAAUCUACUCAGAGUGUAAUGCCCAUUAUGAGCUGCUAUAUAUUCCUAACAGAUGUAUAGCAACGAGCUCUCAAAGUAUGCUGGUCACACGGAUUAUUCACUGGUAUGAAUGUUGAAGAGAGGUAAAGAGAAUCCUGUUCGGCCCACCAUGUGCGAGUGGGAAAUGAUGGUUUUAUUAAUGUGAUGGGCCUAAGUUGGCCCGUCCGCCCAUGUUGAGCCUAAAAGCCCGGCUCACAAGAUUAGGGCCCAUGGAUGGAGGGAUAUGAUGAAGGGGUACGUUUUUUUUUUGGAGGGGACGUAUAUAAAGGGAAAUAAAGAGGGAGGAACGCACCUUUUUGCAUAACGUACGUUCCUCCCCCUUCUCUCCCUCAAAAACACUCCAAAAGAAAGAACAGUGCGCAAGAGGCAACACCCAUCUUCCUUUCAAGGCCAAUUGACGUUAUCGGAUUGAACGGGAUCAUUUUCUCUUUCUCAUAUCGGCGUCGGUGUUUAAUCUGUGGCUAACAAGGUACGCUCGAUUCCGUGGUAUGCUUUAGGAUCGGUCAUACAUGUUUUUUCCUGGGCUCGUCUUCCGCAUUCGUUUUAGGGGUUCGAUUUAGUGUCGAAUCUGUUUUUGGGAAUCCGACAAUUCCAAUAGCCCUCUUUUUAUGCACUCUUUUCUUUCUCUGUGUUAGUCUGAACGAUUAGAAACUAGGUACUGAUUCAAUGGAAGAAGGAGAAGAAGAGAAGAAAGAAAGUAAAAGGAAGCUGCAGAGGAAAACCCAGAGACGACCAAGGUUUGCAACAAUGGCCUUGAGUGCUUGUCCCCAUUUAUGUUGGAGGGCGCACCUUGAGAAUAUCACCGCAAAGAUUUUUUUUAUCCAAUUAAAUGGAAAUAGAAUAGGAUCAUCGGCCAAAAUUUAUGAUAAGUCAGGUUAAAUUGAUUAAUCACAUUUGAAGAACAAAUUAGUUGUUUGUAACAAAAAGAGGUGUAAGAAAUGAGUGAUAUAAAGCUAGGUGAAUCUCCUAAUAUGCCCGUAUGGCUCGAUUUAUCCGAUCGUUUUCGUGUGUGUCAAAAGAUCAACCAGGUUUUUUUUCUUACUAUUAAAAGGGAAUAUCCUUUCUACUAUUAAUGGUCCAACAAUUCGAGGAAAACAGAAUAUCACUCAUUUGGAAUGUUCUAUAGGGUGGUAAAAUUGUCAAACAAAAUCUCCUUCAGACAAGACUGACUCUUAGGAUGAUCGGCUUCGGAAUGAGUAGGUUCUAAAUCAAGAAUUAGGAACUUAUUCCGCAAUAAUCAGUUCUCCGUUUUUGUAUUAAGAACCAAACUAGUUGACCCAAGAACCAGCCUACUACUAUUUUUCUGAUUUAUUUUUCUAUAAAUUGAUCUAGGACCUUCAAACACAGAAAAACCUCACAAUGCAUAAAAAAAAAUGGUCUAUGGGUUCAAGCGAAAUGCGGCAAUUUUGCGUGCAAUAGAGUCUAGCGUGCUUGUAGGCCUACUCGUUCUAGUUCAACAAAAGAUCAAUACUGAAUUACAAUGCAACAAUCAGACAGCAAGGCUAUUUAUAGGAUUAGCCAUGUCUAUAGUCGAAAACAAAGGCUUUCUUUUUUCAACGAAGUCAAAUCUGAGCUGGGUACAUACCUCGUUAACAGGUGACAACGACUCCAAAGAGAGAAUAAAAGACCCUCCUCCUCCUCUGCUAUUUAACGACCACCCCACAUCCCCAAUCGACAAAAAGGGGCCCAGAAUACACUUAGUGCAGCCGAUUAUUCCAAUAACAAAGCGACGAAUCCAUAGAAAUGACACACUAAUAAGACAUGAAAAAGCAAUUACCUCCUGCAAGCUGAGAUGCGAAGAGAGGUGCGAGAUUGGAGAGAGGAGAACUUAAACAAGCCCGGGUGAAAACUUUCGAGGGGGAAAAGAUCAAAGAAAGCAAGUGAGGACAAUAAUUCCGAAUUGUUCUGCAAGAGAAAGGCCGAACGUGAGAAAGCACGAUUUGGACCAGAGUACAGAAUGACCAAUUCUGUUCAUAUCUACUCAUAAACCAUACUAUUAAACAGAUAAAUGUGGCUACUGCUAAUAUUUCAGUAUGAUAUUAUCAAAGACGUUCUUCCUCCUGUAAACGCUACAUUCUCUCCCACCCUACACAUGCAUAAAUCAUAUUGUCAAAUCUAUCGUAGGUCAGUAACUUUCUACACUAUAUCACGACUAUGCUGUAAGCAAUUAAAUCUCAUGAAAACCGCACUUUAUGACAAGUUUCUCUAGUUUAACCCGCAUAAUGCACAUUAAAUAUGUGUGAGUGCAUUGAAACCGGCAGCUUUGCCCACUUUCAAGUUUCCCAUUGUAACCAGCACCCAAAAAAAAAAAAAAUAGUACAAUUGUGUAUUUUUCAUGACUUCCAGAAAACAUUUGAAUAUUCUAUCAUUUUCCACAAAUUAUUAUUAUUGCCAAUACAAUGGAAACGGGUUUUAUGGACAUUCAAAAAUUCUCUAGUUGAUCUGAUCUAUUCAGAUAAAUUUUUGUUUUUGACAAUUUUGAUCAAUAGGCUUUGAAAGGUUUUGUGCGAUUAUUGAAGAGAAUAGACCAGCACAAUCGACAUUUGGAAAAAAAAUAUAGUUUUUAACUGUUUUCAAGAGAGAAAAAAAGAGAAUUGUUUCUACAAAAACUGAUUAUUUUGGAUGCUUCAGGCUUUAAGUGCUUUUGGACAAUUGGGGUACGUAUAGGACCAAUGGACCCAAAAUCGGGUCUAGAAGGGUAUUUUCAUAAUAUCAUGGAGCGGGCCUUUUGUCCCAAGCGAGUUCAGUCAACCAUUAAUGUUUUGCAAACAAUAUUUGGAUAAGGGCCAGCAUGCAAUUCCACCAUAUUCAACUGGUCUAAGUAAUUUUUCAAUAUAUAUGUAGUGAUGAUUUUGAAAAAGCCUAAGGAAUUUCACAUGUAAUAUUUUGUACACCUUAAAGGAUGUCAGGCGCUAUGCAAUGAGUAAUGAUCGAAUGUAUUUUGCGCUAUCAAUUGAAAUAGACCAGAGAAUGGUCGGGAUGUCAGGCGUUAUGCAAUGAGAAAUGAUCGAAUGUAUUUUGCGCUAUUAAUUGAAAUAGACAGGAGAAUGAAGGUCGGGCUUACCUGAAGGAGGAGGUAUGUAGAGAUGAAAUAACUGUGACGGUUUUCAGUGUUUGAGAAGAAGUCGCCUCGAAGCAGAUCGAGUUGGGUCCAAGUCCCGAAAGGCCGCGCAGUCCCGAGGAUCACCUUCACACCUCGACUUAGACCGGCUUGGUUUGGAAAGACACGGAGGUAAAUUUGCAGAUCAUCUCAGGUCAGAAUGUCGCGAGAAAGGACGAGUAGUGGCUACGAAAUCACCAACUACAGACGGGGAACUUACUGUCUUUCGAUAAAAUCCAGAAACGACCCUCGUAUUCCGCCGAAGACCCCCCAAAUCCAAGAACCCUACUCACCUCAGCGGAGUCCAUUAUCAGAAAUCAUAGCAAGCGGAACACUAAACAGUUCGAAACUUGACACGAUUCAAGUUGAUUUUACCUGCCGAUUGGUGCCCGCCGAAAAACCAGUCCUUUGAAGCCGGUGGUUAGGAGGGAGCGACUGCAGGUGCUCUUCGCGACGGCCUCGGGUGUACUGCUCGGUGGAUUCGCGAGAAAGAGGAUCACUGCUUCCUCCGCCGGUUCAAGCUGAAGCUCUCGCUCUGGUCGUAGAGGCUUCGAUGUGCUUCAGACCUGGAAGUAGAGAGAACUUGUCCGUGGGGGUCGGACAACGCGGUUCUGUGUUGACUCAGUCUCUCUGCUGGAACAUGGUCACGUGCCAUGGUUAGGUGGAGGCACGUGUCUUGGCUGCCCGAGCCAAAGUUGGCUAAAUUUCAAAAGAAUAUCGGUGGCCCACCGUGGAAGAAUGGUGAAUCAAAUAGCUGAUUGGCAGGUGAAGGGCGAGGGCUCGCUGCCCUCAUACGCGGCAAGCAGGAGCCGAGAGCCCUCUAUGGUUAGGCCAUUGUCGAAAUCAAUAAUUUCCGAUUAAAUUAUCCAAAUAAAUUACAUUGGAAAAUUGUUAAUAAGUUGAAGAUUAAAUUGGCUAAAUUAAAAGAUUCAUAACUGAAUUGGUACAAGUAUAAUAAAUUUAGAACUUCUUAAAUAAUUAUCCCCUAUUAAAAUCAUAUGGGAACCACACUAAAUGAUGAGUUUCUCUAAUACAAUCCACAUAUGUCUUCUUAGAAAUUUCCUACACAUUAAGUUAUUUUAGAAUGAAAGAAGGUCACCUUCCUCCCAUGAAGUUCACGAUGGGUUCUAAAAAACAAACAAUACACUAAGGACCACCUCAUGGUUAGAAUAGUUUACAAUAGAGCAUUUUAAUAUAAUAUUUUAAAUAUAAUUUGUGGAAGAAGAAUUUUAACCAAACUAAAUUAAUGGAGGACUGGAGAGACGUUUCUGUCAUUCACAAGUAAUGACAGAUUUAAAUUGCAAUUGUCAAAUAUGGUGUGCCACCUAAGUCAAGAAUGGUGGGUGCCUUCUUUUUCAAAAUGGUCUCAUGCAAUCAUCCAAACCACUACAAUUGUCAAAUAUGGUGUGCCACCUAAGUCAAGAAUGGUGGGUGCCUUCUUUUUCAAAAUGGUCUCAUGCAAUAAUCCAAACCACACAACGAUUAACCUUUAUCGCGAUGGGAUUUAAUUAAUUAGCAAUUGAGGGACAAUGAGCAGUUGCAAAUGCUUUUAGUCCUUAUCUUUAUCUUCUUUGAGACCUCACCCUCAAGUCAAUUCAAACUUGUUGGCUUGGUCCACUUCUGAUUAACGUGUACGUUAAUUUCUAAGUUGGGCUGUAGAAGAAUUAGAAUAUGUUUUCAAACAUAUUCCAUUCGUUUAAAAAUAUAAGCACGAAUUCAGUUGUUAUCGAUUAUUGAAGAUCAUAAUUUCAUAAAUCAUAUCAAGUUAAAAUAGAUGGAAGAUGUGAACAAAGGAUCUUGUGAGUACCUGAGCCGCUAAAACUCAAGAAUACAUCAUAGGUAUCACUUUCCUAGUCCUGUUGGUGUCGAAUAGAUGAACAAAUAUGUAGAUACUCCAUCGAUGCUCUUACUUGCUUGAUUUGUAUCGCUUCAACUCUUUUUCCUCUUCUUGAAAAGAUUACAAGUGAAUUUAGAGAGAAGAAUGGGUGCAACAAGCACCCCAAAAGAAUGCCCUAAAAUGAACUGAUUUCAUUAUUUGAUUUACUAUGGCUCUUUCCUUUAUUUGAAAUAUUCAAGUAGCUAAUUGGCUUGCUACCCUCACACGUUGCAGGUGAAGGCCACAUACCCUCGUGGACCACUAGGCGAGGGCUUGCUGCCCUCACACGUAGCAAGCAAGAGCUGAGAGCCUUCCCCGAUAAGUGGGCAACAACUAUGAGUCCUUGCUAGCCAUGCCACAUAGGAUGUAUGUUGUCAACGUCAGCAAUUUUCAAUCAAAAUUAGCUGAAUAAAUUAUAUUGAUAAAUCAUUAAUAAAUUGAGGACUAAACUAGCCAAAUUAAAAGGUUUAUGACUGAAUUGGCACAGAUGCAAUAAAUUUAAGACUUUUUUUUUAUCAUUUUCCCCAUUAAAUCACAUGAAAACCAUACUAAAUGAUGAGUUUCUCUAAUCCAAUCCACAUACGUCUUCCUAGAAAUUUCCUGCACGUUAAACUAUUUUAGAAUGAAAGAAGGUCACCUUCCUCCCAUGAAGUUCAUGAUGGGUUCUAGAAAAGAAACGAUACACUGGGGACCACGUCAUGGCUAGAACAGUUUACAAUAGAGCAUUUUAAUAUAAUGCUUAAAUAUAAUUUGUGGAAGAAGAAAUUGAACCAAGCUAAAUUAGUGAAGACUGGAGAGACAUUGCUGUUAUUCACAACUAAUUAUAAAUUUAAACUGCAAUUGUCAUAUGGUGUGCCACUUAAGUCAAGAAUGGUGGGAGCCUUCUUUUUCCAAAGGGUCUCAUGCAAUCAUCCAAACCACACAACGAUUAACAAUUAUCGCGAUGGGAUUUAAUUAAUUAGCAAUUGAGGGACAAUGAGCAGUUGCAGAUGCUUUUAGUCCUUGUCUUUAUCUUCUUUGAGGCCUCACCCUCUAGUCAAUUCAAACUUGUUGGCUUGGUCCACUUCCAAUUAAUGUGUAUGUUAAUUUCUAAGUUGGGCUAUAGAAGAAUUAGAAUCUGUUUUCAAACAUAUUCCAUUCAUUUAAAAAUAUAAGCAUAAAUUCGAUGGUUAUCAAUUAUUGAAGAUCAAAAUUUCAUAAAUCAUAUUGAGUUAAAACAGAUUUGGAAAUGGAUGGAAGACGUGAAGAAAGGAUCUUGUGAGUACCUAAGCUGCCAAAACUUAAGAAUACUCAUAGGGAUCACUUUCCCACUCCUAUUGGUGUUGGAUAGAUGAACAAAUAUGUAGAUGCUCUGUCAGUGCUCUUAUCUACUUGAAUUGUAUCGCUUCUACUCUUUUUCCUCAUCUUGAGAAGAUUACAGGCGAAUUCAGAGAGAAGAAUGGGUGCAACAAGCACCGCAGAAGAAUGCCCUAAAAAUGAACUGAUUUUGCUCUGGCUCUUUUCUUUAUUUGAAAUAUUCAAGCUCAACUUGAGUGCUUCUUGUGAAGAAAAGUCAUGAAAUGGAUACGUAUGUGGUAACUUACUAUGUGGAAAAUUAGUAGGAAAUUUGUGAAUACCAAAAAUGAAUCACCAUUAAUUAGACCGGAUCUGGUCUCAUUUUCCCUUGCCAAUCUUUAGGUGGCUUUGGGUUGCGAAAAACAUAUGGAGGGAUUUGUUCCAGUCAAAGUACCAUGUCAUAACUCUCUUUCUUUGCUUUUUUUUUAUUUUUUUAUUUUUUAUUUUUAUCUCUGUAUAGACGUGGUGUAUGCUUAGCAUUAGUGAUUUUUCACAUGAAGUAACUGCCGUAUGAUCAGCUUAUGUGAUUUUAUGGCUAAAUUUGCUCACUCUUGCAUAACAACCACUCGAUGGGAGGAGUCAUUGCUUAAGAAAUCUGUUACUUUCAAGGUUGUCAUCAUAAGUUAUAUAGGUCAUAUGAUUUGUAAUAUUCCCCAAAAUAUAGUAAUCUGCCAAAGUUUUGGGUAAAUUUCUUUUUCCUUGAUUAGUAAAUUAUCUGAUGGAUCGUAACUUUCCUUUGGCGACGAAAUUGUCCUCGUUAACAGUAGUUUUACCCAUAAAACAUCCUUUCACAGGUUUUCUUUGGAGUUUGGAGGGUGUACUUUUUCUUUGGAGGUCAUAAAUUCUCCGAAACCUUUGUUUGGUAAAAAACCACAAAAAUAAUAUAUAUUCAGUUAAUAGUAAACUUCUUUCAUGUAUUUUUACUAAAAUAUGUAAAUUGAUCGUAACUCUCCUUUGCACUCAGUAAAGUUUUGAGACCUAUGUUUUAGUAAUUUUCCUCACUCAUGGUAACUUUUCUCCAUCAAAUGAUAAUUUGAUCAUGCUUGCAUAUCUGACUUUCCUUUAAUGUUCGGAAGUGAUGAUAGAACAUCAAUUUUGCAAGACAAAUUUCAGGGAUCACCUUUUUUUCUCUAUUAUCCAACGGUCCACGUUGAAUGCAGGACCAAUCCUAUAAAAGAGAACUUUGGUUUGUGAGAUGUCCAUCACAAUCAGGACGUGUUGGCCAUAAUAAAGUAGUUCGUUAUUUUUUGCCAAACAGUAAAGUAGUCUUGGAAAUGCUAUUUUUUAAAAAAUUUGUAAAUCGUUCCAUUAAAACAUAUAUACAAAGGUAAAAAUGUAACUAAGAAACCAUACUACCUCGUCAAUAUUUUCUUUUGCUGAUGCACAACUAUUGAUAAAGGAAAUUUGAAUAUUUACUUUUUGCAUCCGAAUGUGGGACCUUUCCCCCUCAAUCAGGGGUCGUUGGACUUUGGUAUGGCGACGGUGGGUCGACUUUGCUGUGACUUAAUUAUAUACGACUUUGUCGUCCUACCUUGACUUAAUAAACUAGACUCGGAUGUAUUACAAACGAAGAAUUCCCGCAUCUGGAAAAUACAUAUGUCCACCUUAACUCGCUCUUUUCAUAUUCUAAUGUUUGAAUCUUCACCUUGUUCAUCCUUGAGUCGCAACCAUUUUUAAUGCUCUUCUAUCUCUCCAUCUCUUCUGGCAUUCUUUGGUAUUUUCUGAUUCUCGAUGUGAUUCUAAAGGCGAAGUCAAUGCGGAUGGUCGUACCAUCCGUCGCCAUCGCACUCGUUGAUCUUCUCUUCUUUUCUUUGGGUUUUUACCAUAUGGGUCAUGUGCGAAACGAAGGAACAGCAGCAAUGAAAAGAGAAGAAAGAAAUGGAUCGCUCUUUCAAAUCCGUGUAAAUCAUCAUCAUCAUACGACCUCAGCCCACAAAAGCAGUAGACCCGCUAGAGCUUUGUGCCCAUUGCCAAGCCCCUCCGCUCCCCCAGCCCAUCCCAUUCAAUUCAAUCGUGGCCACUCCAUUAGCAGGCGCAGUUGCUGCGGCCCGUCCCUAUUCCAUGGUCAGCUUCGGAAAGGAGAGGUUGGAUCCCCAUCAGCACGCCACCCCCGCCCAUCACAAACAACAAAUCUAUCUCCAUUGAAGUUGCGGUUAAGCGAGCGAAUCUCCCGACCGCCCCCAAUAUGAUAACUCGACAUGUAUUUUCGCAAGUAUCAACGACCCAAUAGGCCCAACCAACGCAUUGGGCAGUCGGGCUUUCCAGGCCCAUGCUUGUCUUCAUAUAUCCUGAGUUUCAUUUGCUAUGAUGAUUCGGCUCAUGAUGCCAAAUUUUAAGAAAAUUCGCAUUUUUCCAAAAAAAAAAAAAAAAAACAAAAUUAGAACGUUCAGCAUAGACCCGUGAAGAACAUAACCAUCGAAGCUUUAUAAGUUUGAGACGCAAGUUUUCUCCUGCGAAGGGGGGAAAAAAAGAGACUUGAGUAAGUAUUUUAUUCGAUAGUUAAGUAUUAACGUUUCUCUUUCGGGGCCAUGUGCCACCUUAUUUGGAAGAAGAGGAAUUCCAUCAUUUUUCGGGAAGAUUCCUUGGUGAUCCCAGCUAUGAAAAAUCACAUAAUCAAGGUUGUGAAGGACAAGGCUCUUAUGUUUAAUAAUGCUCCACCUACUCCAAGAAACAAAAGACUCCAGAGAAGCUGGGGAUUCGAUCCCUCCGUGUUUGAAUCGGCUACAUCUUCCUAACACCCCUCCGUUCUUCGCCUUUUGAUUGAGGGUUGGCAGUCUGGUUUGUGGUAGUUUGUAGUGCCGUGGGUUGUUUAGCUUGUUCUUUUUGCCUUUGUAUCUUUUGAUUUGGCUCCCUCUCACUCUCCCUGUUCUCCCGCAGCUAGAGUGUGAGCUUUGGCUCCGAAUUCUUGUAUUUUUGUCCUUUGCUUAAUAUAUUCUUACCCUUUACCAAAAAAAAAAAAAAACGAUGACAUGAGGGAGGUGUUUAUAUAAUUUGAGAUAAGGCAUUAGGUCUACAGAGUUAUAAAUUCAACAUAUGAAGGAAAUAAAGAAUGUUACUAACACAAAAAAGAAAAAAGAAAAGAAAGGACAACCCUAAAAGAACAGGAAAAGAAUAUGCAACAAAGAAAGGAAAGAAGAUCUUCUUGGAUUCCAUGUUAUAGAUGUCACAACUUGGAGUUUAUAUAACUUGAAAUUUAAAAAAAGAAAAAAUAGUAAAGCUUUUUUGCUGGUUGUAAGAACAAGUACCCAAUCAGUCAUAAAUUUAUUAUAUAUUUACCAAUUCAAUUCUAAUUUUUUUCAAUUCCGUUGAUUUAGUCCUAAAUUCUUGCAAGAAAUUUCAAUAUAGUCAUUCCGAGUUAAUUUUCUUCAUGAAUCAUUGACAUGGUGGUCCAAUCACCGUCGGUCGUUUUACGUGACACAUUUCAAUAUCAGCAAUUUUCAGUGAAAAUUAUCCAGAAUAAUUAUAUUAGAUUUUUUUAGCAAAGAUUUCGGAUUAAUUUAGUAAAAUUAUCAAGUUUAUAACCGAAUUGAUAUAUGUAUAUAUAGUUUUAGGACUAAUUGGAGAAUCUCCCUACUAGUUUUAAUCUGCAACCACUUUGUUAAAUAACGCUUGGCUUGAUGUAUCACGUCGACGGUAUACUUGUAACUCUCGCGUAAGAUACUUGCUCUUCUUCUAAUACUUAUUCAGACUCAACCCAAGGGUGUCGAAUAAAACCAGGAAAACUUACGACGGGGGCAAAAAAUAGAGCUUCCAACAAAAUUCAGGCGCAAAAACGGAAUUUUUGAAAGAAUUGAAAAAAAUAUGGCUCCAAUCUCUCCCAUUCUCCAGCCGGUAAAAAAGCACAGCAAAAAACGUCAGUCCCGCCAUCGCUGGCAUGGUUUUUCUUCAAAGCGCGCGCUCUCUCUCUCGAGAGAGAGAGACUACAGAUCGAUUCGAUUUCUACCCUUGCAUCAUCGAUCGACUGAUUCGAAUCGCGUCGAACAGGUUGAGAUUCCACGGAGCAUCGGGGGUUGGAGCCUGGAGGAGGCAGAGAAAUCUCGGGUUGCUGAGCUUGGCUCUCAAGUUCGGCUUCAACCAGCAGUCGUCCAGCAAGUGCUUGGGACUAUCUCAUUUCGCUCUGCGGUAACUUCAAUCGCUACUUUGUCGCCCAUCUUUUUUUUUUUUUUUUUAAAUGCUGAUUAGCGUUUGCAGAGGUUAGGUCGUGAAGGUAUUUCAUCGUCCACGACGAUGGUGAUGAUGGCUAGGGAAUAGUCUGCUCUAGGUUUGAAUAGAUCGAGCGGGUUUGGUGAAGUAGUCUUAUCUCUGAUGAUAACUGGGCACGUGGCAAAGUUUUUCUUGCUUAUUGGCCAAAAUGGCCAGUAUCUGGUCAUUAGGGAAUGACAGCAAAUAGUCAAUGUAUUGGUAUUAUGCACAGUUGCAAAUGAAUUUAUAUAGAAAUGAAGCUCUUUUGCUUAUGGAUUUUUCAUUUUUUGACUUUUAAUUCCAAAUUGCUGAAGAGUGUACUGAUUGAGCCUACCAAUGGCAAUACUGGCAUUGCCUUUGGCAUUCAUGGCAGCAACAAAGGGCUACAGGCUAAUCAUUACAAUGCCAGCAUCUAUGAGUUUGGCAAGAAGGAUCAUCCUCCGUGCUUUUGGAGCUAAGUUGGUCCUGACCAAUCCUGCCGAGGGCGUGAAGGGGGCUAUUCAGAAGGCAGAGGAGAUAAUGGCAAAGAAACCUAACUCUUACAUUCUUCAGCAGUUCGAGAAUCCUGCUAACCCAAAGGUACAUGUGUGGUCAACUGUCAUGUCUUGUUGGUUGUAUAUGCAGGUGAUGACGCGAAUUUCAGCUUGGCUGUCAUUGUUCUGUUUAGAUACAUUAUGAAACAACCGGACCAGAGACAUGGAAAGGCUCAGGCGGCAAAAUAGGUGCCUUUCUUUCUGGGAUAGGAACUGUUGGUACUAUAACUGGUGCUGGAAAGUUUCUGAAAGAGCAAAACCCUGACAUAGAGGUAGAUUGCUUUUAUGGUAUUGUUUGUCAUGUGUUGAACUCCGACAAAAUAUUGUCAAUUUUGGGUGAUUAUCAACUAUGGAUGCCUUGAAAAGAAAACCUUGUGCCUGAACAUUCUUUUUGUGUUGAGAGCACUGCAUCAUUGCAUGGGCAGAGAGAGAAACGGUCUCCACAGAAAGCUGAAACAUGAGAUGAUAAACUUUUGAUAUAAAUAGACUGAUCAGAAAAGAAAAGAACUGCAAUUCUUUCAAAUAAAGAUGGGCUUAAAUAUAAAAGGUAUGACUCCCGAGAUUUACUGUAUGGCGCAUUGCCAAUAUUUCUAACAGAAGUUUUGGAUUUGAAGUGUUCUCAUUUCCAUAUUUCAAUUGCGGCACUAUUGUGAUAUGUCAAUGGUGCUUCUUGAUUUAAGGCCUUAUAACUUCUUGGGCAUGUGGACUUUAGAGCGGGUUCUAUUAACUUCAAAAUUUCUAAAGGUGUCAUCUACAUCCAUCUCUGCCGCAUCUAUGGCCUUAUUAAACAGUUUUGGAAUGAGUAAAUAUUUGCACCUCUCUCUCUCUCUUCGAUAGUUGUUUGAAAAACAAGAAUCUCUCUUGGAUAUUAUAGUUGCAGAUUUAAUCUUUUGUGGUUUUAAUGAUUUACAUUGUCUCAUAGAUUGCUGCUGACUGGUUCUAGUUGAUCCUCACAAGAUCCAAGGGGUAGGUGCUGGUUUCACUCCAGGUGUCUUGGAAGUUGACCUUAUUGAUGAAGUAAUUCAAGUAAGAAUUCUUAUGUUGAUUUAUUAAUUUCCAUGAAAAGUAAAACUUUUAUUGGUGACAGCGCGCUUUUGAAGAGAUGUGAUUGUCUCUUUUACAUGUCACUGAGAGCUUUCGUCAUUCUUACAUCAGGUGGAACCUCUAUGUUUGAUUUCUCAUCUGCUAUUGGUCACUGGUUGGAUAUGAAAACAGUUUGACUUAGGAUGGUCCUGAGGUUUAGAUGUAUUUCCUAAAUCAAGUAAUUGCAAACAAUCGCCAUCGCAAUGGUGGCCUCCACAAAGUGUGUUUUUACUAGGUUACCGUUUUAUGUAGAUGUUGAUGUAUUGUUGUAAUCGUUAUUUUGCAAUGGGUACUUGAGAAAUGUGAUAGACAAUUAUCAUAUUCAUAUUCAAAACACAGAUAACUGGCUGCAAUCUCAUAGUGUAAGCUUUCCAAUAUUCCUCCUUGACUUUCUAAAGAUCAUACAGUCAGACAAUUAUGUUGGUUGAACAAAGUAACCCUUAUCUCUGAUGAUAACUGGGCACGCUGCAAAGUUUUUCUUGCUUAUUGGCCAAAAUGGGCAGUAUCUGGUCAUUAGGGAAUGACGUGAUUGCUUGUGUUGCAUGGGUAGUUUGCAACUUGAUUGAUUGCACAUUGCUAAUGUAGAGAUUUGUUGCAGUUAGUCACUAUUCUGAUGAUGGUUAUAGAAUAGUCUACUUUGGAUUUGAACGGACUGGAGCUGGUUAAAUCUAGUUGACUGAGCCUUAAUCUCGUCCUUGUUUAGUGGGGUAGUCCUAUUGACUGGUGAGCUAUCUGGCUUAUUUCUAAGUCACUGCAAAUUACAUAUGGUGUCUUGCAAUAAUACUAAUAUCGUGUCUCACUGAACUAAGUGCAAAUUACGUAUUGUAGAUUGUAUUUAUAUGAUCUCUUGUUUGCCAUGGAACUUGCAAAGUCAUCUCUUUCUUCUUUUGGUUUUCUUAAGGUGACCAAGGUCGAGAGUUUUAUCAUUGUGAAGCACUGCUACAACUUCCUAGCAGAACUUGCCGAAACCAUAUAAGAUUCUGAGGAUUGGGAUGAUUUCAAGCUGCGGAAUCAGAAGCUCGUGGAGUUUUGACUGCUAUGUUUGGCCAAGACAUCCGGAAUGGCGGCGAAUGCAAUGUUAUACAUGAUGUUGACCUUUAUGGAAGAUUCUUUACAACCUGAGGAAAACCAAACUUUUGUUGAGGUAGAUUCCUCUAUUGAUAGUGAAGACGACGAAGACAAUACAUUUGGCGGUUAAAUGGGUAGGAAAUCUACAUGAUAUAUUCCUGACCAAAGCGGUACUCCGAGGAAUUCAUCCACUCAACUUCUGGCUGGAUGAUGUUUAGAAUCCAUGGUAUGCUUCUCCCAUGGACAUAUAUAAUACUGGCAAACCACUUAAGUCAGUGUGUCACAGUUCUUUUUUCUUAUAAUCUGUUCUCUCCUUGAUCGUUUCCAAUUUGCUUGUGAUUCCGCAUACAGCAAAGAACCUACACGAUGUACAUGCACAAAAGCAUUUAGUAAAUUGCUUAUGGGGCCUCUCAUCCAAUCAAAUGUCCAAUGGACACUCAUAACUUUUGCCAAUUCCUUCCACAAUCUUCAAGACCCAAAAUGAGAUAUUAGAACUCUUUAGUCAAUAAAGAAGUUGAUUUCAGUUUUGGAUGAUGUACAAAUACCUAUAUUUCUCAAAUACUUUGAGAGUAUAGGAGAUCAUUAAAGUGUUGAACUUAGCAAUCUAGUGUCAUUGAUGGGAAUGUUUUGCAUAAAUGAAGGCUUGUGAUUUUUUUGUGCACAUUUUCAUUUUCCAUGACAAUCCAAGUCAGAAACUAUUACGGUGCUGAAGGAGCUUAUUCCUGUUGAAGGACUGUAAGAGCACUAUCACUCAAGGUUCAAUAUCGUCAGUUUCGUCAGUUUCAAAUAAAAGACAUUGCUCUUGGAUGUCGACUUCCAACCACAGGACUCUGAGUUAUGAGGAAUUGCAAGCCUUGGAUGACAUGGAAUUGAGACAUGUUGUCAUAUUUGGAAACAAGGCAUUUUGGCCAAUGCAGCAUCAAGCUUGUAAAGCUUCUAUAGCCAAGUCAGAUUGCUUUAUUCCUAUGCCCACCGGAGGUGGUAAACAUUUACGUUACUAGGUUAGUGAAUGUUAACAUUGUCUCAACUGUAUAAUGAUUGUAUGUAGAAGAAAGUGGAGACAAUGUUUAGAGCACAACCCCUGUGCGCUUUGCUCAAUGGUUCCACCAACUAAAUGUAAAAGGGUGGACCUAUAUGUCAAAAUUUAAGCUUUACUAUGAUCUUCUAUUCUGCUUUGUUUAGCACUAUUAAGAAGGUUGUGAACUUAAGGAAGAAAAUGUUUUUCAAAUGAAUAUUAAUCGAUAGGAAGUGAUUCUGGUACAUAACCAUGGGUUCUAAUGUAUGGCAUUGGAGAAAAUUAGAAAAGAAGAAAAUAUAGGACAUUCUCGUUUUGCCUCCACAAAUCUCUAUUCAUUUUGUAAUUUCUAGAAUUUAAGAAUUGUACUAUGCUUCUAGAACUUUCUAAUCACUUAUUGGAAAAUUGAUCUUGUUUAUGCAUGUAACUGUCGUGCUGAGCUCGAUCUCGUGCUCUAACUUGGAUUUUGAGCAUGAGUUUUCUUAGAUUGAGUUAAAUAUGAAAGUAUUUUAGUAAUACAAGUCACAUCAGGUGUGAGUUGGGUAGUGGUCGGGUUGGGUAUGGGUCACUAGACUUGCAUUGCAUGGAAAUGAUUUUUUUUUUUUUUUUGGUCAGACAUGGGAAAUAGGUUGAAACGGGAUCUAUUUGGGUUAGAUUAUUUUUUAUUCAAUCCAAUCCAAUGUAGGAGUUAGCAAAUUUGGUAGUAAAUUCACAUUAGUUGAUCAUCAAGCUGUUAUUUCAUGCGAAGAAUCACAAACGCUCUCUAAGCAUACACCACCACUAUACAUAGAGAAAAAGGCAAACACCACUAUACAUAGAGAAGAAGGCAAAGAAAGAAAGCUAUGGCAUACCAUUUUAUUAGAACAACCAUACUCUUCGCAACCCAAGGCCACAUAAAGAUUGGCGGAAUCAUUUGAACAGUCAACGACGACCACAUGAGAAGGCAAAACGGAUCGAAUCCAUCUAAUUUAUCGUGAUCUUUCUUUAGUAUCCGUAAUUUUCCUAAUUAAUAAUAAUUUACUAAUUGACGUAUUUUUUCUUUUGUUACUUAAAUUUCAUGUAUCUCAUGAUUUGGAAUAUAUAACCAAAAAAAGAAAAAUGUUUAAUUUUAUGAUAUUUUUUUUCUUAGAUUGUUAGUAAAUUACUCGAUAGGUUGUAAUUUUCCUAUGGCGUACGUCGUUGUUCUUUCCGUAGUAAUUUAUUUGUAAAAUAUCAUUGGAUAACUUUUCUAUGGAGAGUGUAACUUUUUCUUUUUUUUGGAGGUCAUAAAUCCUCUAAGCCUAUGGUUCACGAUAUUCCAUAAAAAUAGUAGUCUACUUAUUAAUAGUGAACUUCUUGUGUGUACUUCAAUAAAAUAUUAAAUUGAUUGCGACUUUAUUUACACUUUGUAAAGUUUUGCAACCUAUAUGUCAAUAAUUUUUUUCACUCGUCAUAAUGUUUCUCGAGCAAAUAUAUUUGAUCACAUUUGCAUCUAUAACUUUUUUUAAAUGUCUGAAAGUUACGACAGAAAAUUGAAUUUACAAAACAUGUUUGACGGAUUACAUUUUUGCCCUCUUUAUCCAACUAUCCACAUUGAAUGCAAAAUCAAUCCCAUAAAAUAGAGUUUUAAAUUAUGAAAUUUCCAUUACAAUCUUGAUGUUUUGGGCAUAAUAGAGUAGUCUUUUAUUUUUUUGCCGAACAAUAAAGUAGUGUUGGAAACUCUAUUUUUCCAAAAGUUUUGAAAAUCAUCCCAUUGAAAUAUGCAUAUUAAUAUAUAUAAAGGUAAAAAUUUAAAUUAAAGAAAAAGCUAUUACUUUGCCGAUUAUUUGUUUAGCACAUAAAACAGCAACAGAAAAGAAACUUGAGAUACGUCUCGCAAAUCUAAAACUUUCAGAACCACAUGCAAGUCUCGUGUUUGCAACGUAGCCUUCACACCAAACGAACCCAAGGGCGUGUCAAACGAAACCAGAAAACUUAGAAGAGGGGGCGAAAAUAGAACUUAAACAAACUUCAGGGGCGAAAACGGAAUUGUCAAAGAAAGAACUGAAAAAUACGGCUCCAGCCUCUGCCAUUAUCCGGCGUAUAAAAAAUGGAAAACGAAAAACAUCAAUCCCGUCAUCGCUGGCAAGGUUCUCGAAGGACAGCACAUCGAGCACGCUCGAAUUCGAUUCGAGACUACGGAUCGAUUCGAUUCCGACUCGGGCAUCAUCGAUCGUUCGAAUCGCUUCGAACGGGUUGAGAUUCCAUGGAGGGAGCGGGGCUCGGAGGAGGAGAAAGCUUGGGUUGCUGAGCUUUUUUAUGCUAAUUAGCGUUUGCGGAGAUGAUGGAGGUAGCUCUCGUCCACACGAUGAUGAUGGCGGUACAAUAGUCUCGCUUCAAUUGCUCGUGUCGCGCGGAUAAUCUGUGCAUUUGAUUGAACGUGCGUAUUCCUAAUUAAGGAGAUUCAUUGUGGUUAGUCUCUGUUGUGAUGAUGGCUAUGGAAUAGUAAGUCUACUUUGGGUUUGAAUGGGACCGGAGUUUGGUUCAUUGAGUGUUAAUCUCAUCCCCCGUCUCUUUGUGGGUUUGGCGGAGUAGUCCUAUUGACAAGCGAACCGUCUGGCUUAUUUCUAAACUCACUGCAAAUUGCUUAUGGGUGUCUUGCAAUAAUACUAAUAUCGUGUCUCACUAAACUAAAUGCAGAUUAUGUAUUGUAGAUUGUAUUUAUUUGAUCUCUUGUUUGCCAUGGCCCAUGGGUCUUGCAAAAUUAUCUCUUUCUUCUUUUGGUUCUCUUAAGGUGAUGAAGGUCAAGAGUUUAUCACUGUGGCAAUGUCUUCCUAGCAAAACUUGCCGAAACCAUGCAAGACUCCGAGGAUUGGGAUGAUUUGCAAGCUGUGGAAUCAGAAGCUUGUGGAGUCUUGACUGAUAUGUUUGGCCAAUAUAUCCGUAAUGACGGUGAAUCCAAUGUUAUACGAGAUGUCGAUAUUAUAGAAGAUUCUCCACAACCUGUGAAAAAUCAAACUUUCCUUGAGGUGGAUUCCUCUACUGACAGUGAAGACGAAGAUGAUGUUUUGGGCAGUAAAACAUGUAGGAAAUCUGCAUGCUAUGUUCCUGACCAAAGCAGAACUCUCAAAUUGUGGCCAGAUGAUCCUUAGAAUCCAUGGUAUGCUUCUUCCAUGGACAUAGGCAAUGCUGCCAAACCACUUAUAUCAGUGUUUCACUGUUUUUUUCUCUUAUAAUUUUUCUCUUCUUGAUCGUUUCCAAUUUGCUUGUGAUUCUACAUGCAGCACAGGACCUACGCAAUGUACAUGUCCGAAACCAUUUAGUAACUUGCUUAUGGGGCCUCUCAUCCAAUCAAAUGUCCAAUAGACAGUCAUAACUUUUGCCAAUUGCUUCCACACUCUUCAAGAUCCCAAAUGACCUUAGCAUGCUUUGGUCAAUAAAGAAGUUGAUUUCACUUUUGGAUGAUGUACAAAUACCUAUAUUUCUCAAAUACUUUGAGAGUAUAGCAGAUCAUCAAAGUGUGGAUUAGCAAUCCAGCAUCAUUGAAAGGAAUGUUUUGCCUAAAUGAAAGCUUGUGAUUUAUGCUGAGUGUUGUGACUGUUAAAUUAUUAAUCUCCACUUCUGCCUCGCCUGCCUUUUCAGAAAAGAUAAACCAUCGUGCAAGCCAUUGUGUGUAACUCGUGAAAGGAUUGUGGGAAAUCCAUCAUUUCUUGAGAUAUUGACAUAGAAAGGCAUUGUUUCUAAUGCGUCAUAACUUCUAAAAGGUUCUUUGUAAAUAUUUUAUAUUUGACCAUCAUGCAUUGCAGGCACUACUAGCUGGUUUUGUUAUUGAUGAGGCACAUUGCGUGAGGUAUGUGUAAUCUUUGGCAUGCCUUGUACAUGAAGAAAGAUCAUGCUAGAGUUACUUCAAAAGGAAUCAUUAUUUGUGAUGUCACUGAGAAACUGUUGUCCUUGUUCCGGAUAAAUAUAAGCAAGUUAACUUUCAUUUAUGCUAACUUAAACUCUUUUUCCAAACUUUUCUGCAUUUUUCUGUGUUUCUAGCCUGAUUAAAUUGUCAGUGUUACACUAGACCUACUGAAGCCCAGAAGCCUGUGAAGUACUAAUAUAACAGAAUUCAGUGUUCCAUGUUUGAGGAAAGAUUUAGGUUCCGUUGUUUGGGAACACUUAGCAGCACAUCGUUCAUUAUAUUGAGUAAAGAGUACACAACUUAAAUAAGCUCCAAUGGAAAUUACUUCCCAAACUAAUUGGAACCAGCAUAAGCUUGGAUAAGGAUCCAAUCUCCUCUCUAUGGUUGGCAUGAUACUCAGUCUCUUAAGCUGGUUCUUGGGUCCCUGUUUAUUCUAUUAAUGCCUAUACUUAACGUUAACAACUUGAGAAAGGCAAAGGUUCAACCAUGUGAUCAUUGAUUGUGUUUCUUACAAGAUCUUAAAUGGAUUUGCUCUGCCAGUUUGACCUCAUGAAAGGAACGUACUGCUGGUUUGAGCUUUUCUUGUUCAUUUGAUUGAUUAACGUUGAAAGCUCAUUGGUUGUCACUUUCGUGGUUGUCAUUAUUGUUGUCUAUGGGGACAUUUCGUCCAUAUUAUAGGGGACUGGGUUGUCUCAAGCAGAACUUUCCGUAUGUCCCAUUGAUGGCUUUAAGUGCAACUACCACUCAGUCAGUUCGUGAGUUGCUAAAGUUACAUAUUAAUCACCUGAUUAUGUUGAAAUAAUCUGUCUAUUCUGAUUGAAUUAUACAUCCAUUAUGGGAUAUCCUGAAAGCUCUUGGGGUUCCCCAUGCUCUUGUUCUCGAGACAAGCUUUGACAGACUAAAUCUAAAAUAUGAGGUCAUAGCUAAGACCAAGGAACCACUGAAGCAGCUUGCAGAGCUGCUAAAGAAUCAUUGUAUAUGGCCUUUUGAACAGUGAAUGUGUUGAUGUCACAAAAUGCUUGAAUGAGAAGUGCCGUAUAAAGACAGUGUACAAUCAUGCUGGAUUAGUAGCCCGUCAAAGAGUAGCUGUUCAAAAACUGGAGAGGUGCAGUUUGUAUGUGCUACCAUUGCCUUUGGGAUGGAAAUGGACAAACCUGAUGCAGGAAGUGGAAAUGGACUUUGGCUUUGCCUAUUUCUUAUAUUUUAGAAGUCAAUAAAACUGUCGUGGUGGAAUGACCCGGAGAAGCAGAGGAAGAGGAGGCUGGCCAGAUACAAGCUUUAUUCGGUCGAGGGCAAGUUCAAGGCUUGUAUCAAACGAGGGUUCCAAUGGUUGAAGUGCAAAUGCUGGAACAUCAUGCAUCGAUUUUAAUAUGUAGAAAUUAGGGAAUAUCAUGCUCAUCAUCAUCAAGAGAGAAAAGGGUGGGAUCAGUUGAGAUUUUGUUUAUCGGGUUUUCAUCUUUAUAUGCAUCUAAUGGUAAUUAAGUAUUCAGAAAAGUGCUACAAUGUUUGAUCUUUCCAAUGUUAUGUUUGUUCGAAUGGUUGUUUCAUUCAUCGAUCUCCAGCAUUCAAAACAUAGGAAAAUGAGACGACUCAUAUUUGAUAUUUGACCUACUAAUUUCUUCUCUUUUCAGUAAGCUCUUUGCUCAACAACAUGAUGCUGAUUGCAAAAUAAGAAGACUGCUUUCAUUGGUAGGAUUUGACGUUUAGAUCUACUUCGUGGUCGAUUUCUUUGUUUAGAACUUUUUCUUUUUUUUGGCUAAAUGUUGCUUAAGCCUCUGUUUUUUGGGUUCUUUAGCUCCCUAAUUUUCUCAAUUUGUCUAUCUCAAUUCCUCUAUAUUAUAUGAUUCAUCAUAUGGCAAACUACCGAAGCUAUAUAUUCUAACAUGCAGUUUGGAGGUGUUGAAUAAAUCGAAAGGCCUUCAACAUUUCCAUUGUGAUUUGAGUGACAGCUUUCAUAUUUCUCGUGCCAUGCCAUCAAGCCUGGGGUUAAAAAAAAUUGAGGAGAACCAAAGAAUCUUCUCUUGUCCUUUCAAAACUUUCGUUGUUAUUGUUUGUUAAUAGACCUCAAUGUAAAUGGGAUGGAACUAUCAUAAGCAAGCUCGAACCAAAUCGUUAGCAUGUAACCAUCAGUAGCACCAAAUGGUUCAAUUAGUUUAACACGUUCAUAUAAUCAUUUGAUCGAUUCAUGUUCCAACUUGUAAUCAAUUCGAUUAAUCAUUUGAUCGACUCUCGUUCCCACUUCAAAACAAUUCGAUUGAUAAGGUCGUGACUAAUGUUGCAUAAGUAGUCAAACACAAAGCCAUUGCCCUUCGAAUUAAAUGCCUAGGCACGGGUUGAGCAAUUAAAUAAUAAAUUAUAUAGUCAAUAGUUCACUUUGUUUGUGACUCUUCUCGUGUAAUAUUUAAUUAAUAUCCUGAAAAUUAGAUUAUUUCAUGUCUGGUAUGUUUAACUAGUGUUUUGACUCUUUAACGCAACCUGCAUUUUAUAUGAGUUAGUACUUAAAGAUUCAAACUUAGCUUAACAAGUUAGUCGGCCUUGUCUUCAGCUCCGUAAAGUAUUGACUUAAAACUUACCUGGACAAUGAGUGAAUCGGACUCUAUGAUGUGAGUAGCUUUUAACUACUAGAGUUCCAUCAUUGUAAUGUAGUACGAUAAAGAGGAACAUCUAAGAGUGGCUCCAAAGAAAUUGCUUCGAUUGAAACUAGAAUGCAUGACCUAUGACCACAAUUUGUAGUAUAGUCCGAGUACUAACCAAUUAGAUGACCCCUUUAGUGUUUUUGUCCAAACCAAAUGAGUAAAAAUAUUGGGAGGUGCUGCCUUCACCCUUCCAGAGAUUAUUCUCGACAUUUUUAUCUAUCUUCGACUAUAGCCAACGCCAGAGAAAAUUUGAUUCCAGGUACGGAAAAUGUACGGCUGUGUAUGCUCUGCUUUAUAGAUUCGUUCUUAAAGGAAUCAAGUUUGAGAUUAUACACUUACAAGUGAUUGCAAAAUGCCAAUACAUGAACUUCCUGAGUCCGAGAGAUGAUUGUACAUUGACGAACACUUCUAUUUUGUGCUCAAAAUUCUUCCAAAUGAGAAACUACUGUCUUUUGGGAAUCUUUCUGCUGAAAAUCUUGCCUGCAAUUGAUAGAUUAUUUGCUAAUUCCAUGACAUUUGCUUUUUCCUUGAAGAAGUCUCUCACAUUGACAAAAUCGUAGCUUGAAGUGGACAUCUAAAUGGUAAUCUUUUUGAUAAACCUCACUUCAUGCUUAACUUCACGUAUAGAACCACCUGCACAUAUGUGGCCUUCUUGCAAGCAAUUUGAAAUUCGGUGUUUGCUAAAUAAUAGCACGAUUUCAAAGCUUGCAAAGGACUACUACACAUUAUAAGAGGUCCCUUUAUAUCAUGAAUCAUAAGAAGAAUAUCAACAACAUGGAGCACAUUCUAAGCACCAAUGGCGAAGAACUUUGGAACGCCUUUCCGUAACGUCUCAUGACAUAUCUCAUUCCUGCCCACAUCUCCUUCCUGUGAUGUUUGGGGAUGCUAUCUGAAUUUUAUGAAAUGCAAGUUGAAUCCACACAAGAAGGAUAGGAUUUACUAAUUAUCAAUAAAUGAAGAUAACUAAGAUCGGAGCAUCACAAUAUACACCAUGAAAGAUAAAGUACAAAUGCACAAAGCAUCAUUUGCCCCAAUUGCAGUUGGACAGCAAUGAACAAAAACCUCAUCAGCUGGCCAAUGAAAAAGAAAACAACAGGUUUUGGAGACGAAAGCAACUAGCAACACUUUCCUUGUUAAUAAAAUUAUGUUGAAAAGAUGAGGUGCCUAGACUGUGGAACAGAAAGAUGAAUUUGUUACUUACUCAUUUCGCAAUAUCCCAUUAACAAAAUCAGUAGUACAAGAUAAUUUGCUAGGAGGUGAAUUUCAACUUUACAAAGUCGACAUCUCAUGAGAACUGAGCUUAUCAAAUUAAAAAAAAAAAAAAAGCAGAAUCCUAUAUGACAACAUUCAAUGGAUAGUAUCGCAUUGAUAAACAGAUAGAAAUGGAGGAGAUUGUACUUGCUUACUGAUUUUCAGGUGAAAUUCCAUAGCUCAUAUAGUAUAAGCACACAGGUUAUUUUUUCAUUGUUAUGGUACGACUAGUAAUGCAUAACUCCCUUUGCAAAGCCUCACUGAGCUCAGGUGUGAUAACAUUAGAAUGCAAUGGCAUCAAACACCUCUACAUCAGGGUGACAUACAAAAGAAUCAGCCAGCUACACAUUUGAUUGACAAAGAGGUUGAACCUCGAGAGCAUACAAAAAGUAGACUCAACUGGAAAUACAACAUUUAAAUCAUUAAGGCAUGUGCUUUUGAGAUCAGAUGAAUUGUUUUGGAUCCUCACAAGCAUCAAAACUUCCUAAACACACUCCAGUUGGCCUAUGAGCCUCUUCAACAUUGGCAUGAAAGAUGGUCCUCAACUGUUGCUGGUGCUUCCUUUGCAAAAUAUAUCUUCUUCAUUUUGAUCAAUCUCUAGCAUGGAAUUUGAAGUUCCUUAGCCAAGUUAGCCAGACUCAAAUUAAUCAUGUGAUAAAAUGAUUCCAUGACAACAAUAGGAUCAGAUGGGAUGCAGACUCAUGAACAAGUUCUUGAGCUCCUUGCCCCUGCUUGUUUCACAGAAAGGGCAAAAAAAUUGUCCCAAUUAUGCAAAAGAUAAUCGAUACAACUCAUCAAAUUAAAGUCCCAAAGUAAGCCUUGAUCAUCCCCUAGACCAACCAAACCUGUCGUAGAAGCAGUACCAAUUUACCUUGCUUGAUAAUCUUUCAAAAUAAUAAUUUGAUUGUAGGUUAAGAAUAGCCAGUCUAGAAUCAUAUAUGAGAGACUAGCCAAAAAUACUCUCCAUUUUUUUAUUUUUUUAUCACCAACCAGAAAAACUUGAACUUUGAUUUUUAUUUUAGCUCAAUUAUUUAUACUUACUGGAAUUGAUACUUAUAUAGAAAGUUCAAGAGGAAAAUCAAGGGAACAAUAAGAAACCUGAUAGGUUUCAUCAUAGAAAAUCGAAAUGUGUUUAUCCCCAAUGGGGUAUCUGCCACUAGCCAAAUUUGACACAUAGAAGAACUCACAAAGGAACUCAGAAUGGCCAAGGACUUUUUAAAAGAAAAUAUGAAUUUUGAACAUAGGGAAAAUGGAUACUUGCCAUAGUUUACAAUAUUGAGUACCAAAAGAUCAUCGGCCUCUAGAUAAAAAAUUCGAAUCCCAAGUUUACAGAGAGGGAAACUGUUAAUCACUAGGUGAUUCUUGUUUACCUAUGUUGAUAUUUUCAUUCUUGCCUCACAAGUCGCUAAUUUGUUUGCAGUCUACAAAAGCUGCCAAUGGAAGGAUAAAUGAAAAACAUUGCUAUAACGUAAUCAUAGCCAAUAGCAAGUAUAUGUUGGCAAAUCUUGUGACAUCAUGAAUUACAGGUUCUACUUUCGAUUGAAUAAGUUAGGCUUUUCAUUGACGCGCCUAUAGUUCUUUUCGCUGAGUUGGCCACUCACGGGAUAACUAGUCUAUCCGGUGAAGCCGUUAAGGAAUCUAAAUGCAAUAGAUUUGAGAAUUCGACCACAAAUCGACUGCUUGACCGUGCUAAGCUACAAGGGUCAUUACGUCACCGUCAAAAUCGAUCAGAGACCGGAGAUAGGUCGAUUUGAUAGAGAUAUGUGAUUAGUGUGUGGGUGAUUCCACCUAAUUACAAAAUUUCUGUCAAAUGGCACUAGACCAAUUUUCUGUCAUUUCUGUACCAUGUACUCUUAUUUGAAAUCUCGGACUUUUCACGACAAUCGAGAGUCACCAAUGGGUCGAAGAUGUACAUUAUGGCUCGAAAAUAAUCAACCACAGGUCAAUUGCACUAAAAAUUUCUAAAAGCUACUCGAUAGGUUAGGUCACGUUAAAAUUGUGCGAGAAUGAAAUUAACCGCAAAAUUGAACCCGAUUUCAUAAAUUGAAAGUUCUGUCAUGUCGUGAUUCAUUUUAGAAACGUCGAAUCAUCCUCUGAAGAUUUUUCGGCAAGUUUGGAUUUUCGGCGAAAAAUCAGGAAUUAGCGGAAUUGGACCAAGAAUUUCAGAUAGGCCAAAAUUGGGUGCAUUUUUGGCCGUUAAGAUGGAUUAAUUGGCAAGGGAAAAUGUGGAUUUAAGUGUGGACACAUUGGAUGAUUUUUUGGGCCAUCAAUUGAGCUCAAUUGGAGGAGAAUUUGAAUGAAAUUGAAGAAGCAAAUGUGCAAAUUCGUAGGCCAUGGUGGGGUGGAACAUUUGGGACACCUAGAAGGCUUCUUGAGGAAGCCCCGCGCCUCCAGCCAUGUGUCCCUUAUUGUCCUGAGCCACCCUAGUCGACGUCAAGGUCGCUUGGUCGUCGUCCAGUCCCCAGAGCUGCCCAUCUAGUCCGCCGUGCCUCCACUGAGCCCGCUGGUCUCCUGUGUGCUCAUCUCGCUCCAGCGCUAUCCACACACCCUCGCCGCUUGUGCCUGUCGCCUUGGCCACUGUCGCCAUUUGUCGGAGCUGUUCCAGCCACCGUGUGUCGCCGUCAAGCCCCUUCGCCGCCUGUCCAAGCCGUUUGGUCCCACCUUGCUGCUCCUAGCUGCGAUGGCCAAGCCGAGCAACCCCUUCGGUCCUUGGACAGAACCGAAGGCCAGCAAGGGCUUUCGGUCUUCGUGGCCCAUUUUAGGUCCCUUCCGAGCCUUGGUUGGUGUCACUGCAGGCUCGGUUAUCGCCCACCUCCGCGUCGUCAUCGCCGUGGACUCACCGGAUCGCAAAAUCAAUGAGUUUACUCGCUAAACUCUACUUAUGGAGUUAAUUAUGCUUAUGGGUGAUUAGCUUAAGUUAAUUAAGGUUUAUGUGGUUAGUUAGAUUAUAUUAGUGAUUUAAUUAUUCAAUUAUGCAUGUUAGGUCGUUAAAUUAGAUUAACUAAAGACUAGAUAAGAGGUACUAUUUAUUUAGAUAGAUUCGGGAUUUUUCCCGGCCCGUUUAGGCAGUUAAUUAAGCAUUUCCGGCCUAAGUUAGUAAUUUUGGUAUUUAAAUUGAUUUAUUUAAUUAAUUUUGGUAAUUAUUUAAUUAUUUAAUAUUUUCCGAAAAUUAGAUCGGGAUAGUCGGUGACCAGAAUUUCGUGCCGAUUGCAAUGGUGUGUUUAGUUUAUGCAAUUGGGUGUUAUUUUGUGCAAAUUAAGUGCUGAUUGGAAUUUUGGUUAUUUAUUCCAAAAUUUGUGAAUUUCGAUAUUUAUUCAGAAAAUCUUGGGUGUCAAGUUUUAACACCAAAAAUGAUUUUAUAUACUAUAUAAAACAGUGAGAUUUUAAAUUGGAGGAUAUCAUCUUUUUUGAGUUCGAUCUGACGGUGUACCUAUACAUGAUUAUUUUUGUCGGGUGUUUUUAAUAUGAAUGAAAUAGGUCAAGUUCAUUAUUUUAAUUGAGGAAUUGGUGUGCAAAGUACAAUGUCCUUGGCCAAGUUUAAGUGAUCAUGUGUGAAUUAUGAGAACUCGUCGCAAGUGUUUACGCUGGACAUUACCCUAUAUGGGACGCCCUUGGACAACGGAAGCGGGUCGCAGUCGAUUCUGGACCCAUGCUCCUUCAGGAAAGCUGUCUAGGCUAGACGUAACCGUGCUCAAUGGGGUGAGACAAUGCUUGGCUAUGCUAGAAAACCGCCGAAUAGCGAGCAGGCUAUGCCUUCAGGCCGAGAUCAAAAUUAGGAACGCAUGAUUAAUUGAGUUGAAUGUGUUGGAUUAUGGGACAAAAUUGUGUAACACGGUAUAGGAUGUGUUAUAACGAUUUGGUCCUAUAAUCAGGACCUCUGUGCUUGGUGGAAAUUGAAUGUAGCGUUCCAGUUGAUUAAGCUUGUUUGAUGCUCAUGUUUUCAUGGUUGUCUAUGAUAUGAAUUGUGCUGACCUGCAGGGAGAAUUUGAGGUGAGGUAAGUCUCUAUGGUUGCGUGCUUGUGUGGUUAGGAUGCCUUUAGGCGUCUUACCCUCCUAAUCGAGGUGGAGAGCAUGAAUUCGCUGAGAUUUUUAUCUUAUCCCAUUGUGGGCUCAAUUCUUUUCAGGGACGUAGAGUGGAGGAUCUGGAGCCACGCUGAGGGGAUCUAAGGUGUAGGUAAGAUAGGAUAGCUUCUUUCGAGAGUCGGUCUUUUGAAGUAUUUUGGUUGUAGACUUUUGUACAUGACUUAGUAUAUUUAUAAAAGCGUGUUUUGGUUGUGUAUCUAUUGUCCUGCUUUUCUAUCCUGAGAUGGUUACUGUCAGGAGAUUUGUUUAUUCGCUUCCGCAUGUGCAAUAAAAUGAAAGGGUCAGCGACUCGUCUUGGGAAGUCGCAAUUUUAUCGACCACCGAGGGAUGGGCAUGCGCUCGAGGUUCGGGGCGUGACAAAUCCAGAGUCUCCAAAAUCAAUCAAAUAGAUACCCAGUGCGGAGCAAAUCAUUCUUAAAAAAUAUAGCUUCUAGAAAAGUGUUACUCCAUUCUCUCAUGCUAGCCAUUCAAGGAUGGAGAAUCUUACUAGAUAACCAAUGCCUUCUAUUGACAUAUGGGUCUAUAUUUUGAUCUUGGUUGAAGCAUCAUGUCAGCUUCUAUGACCAACUACCCUUGCUCCUUCAAUUAUGUAAUACUAGCAAUUUAGGGAAGUCAGAACCCUGUCAUGGAAAACCUUCUUAUUAAAAGAAAAUAGUGAUCAAAAGUAGGUCAUGAAUAUAAGAAGAAAAAUGAUAGUUUACUGCUUAUUUACCUCUGUCAGGGAAACAUGACUCAUCUUAUUGUUGUAAUACGGGUAUAAGAUUCAUCACAUCAUUAUCACUAUAGUAUAAUAUUUCAACAGAGAGAUCGAGAUAGAUCUCUUCGUAAUUUCUAGUGACGCAUGUUCUAGAUAAUUCAAGCAGCUUUUCCAAUGAAUCACAACUUUGAAUUUCCAAAAGAUCUAAAUCCAUCUUGUUAAGUCCUUGAAGCUGAGUAAGUUUCUUGCAGUCUUUAAUUACUAGAGAUUGUAACUUUUCACAUCCUCUCAAACUUGGCAAAGUCUCCAUUGUCAUGCAUCUUGUAAUAUCCAAUUUUUCUCAGAACUACACACCGUCGAGACCUUAAUUUUCGACUAGAUUGUUGCACCUCAUAGCCCAUAAUCCCACCAAACACCAUGAUUUUGGACAGAGAAGCCUUUUAAUGGAAUUGUAGUCAUAUAUGAGUAUGCCCUCCGAGAAUUUCAAAUUAUCAUGGCCUUGAAUUUAAAAUAGGUUAUUGCAAUGCUUGGUGCAUAAUCGUUUCAGACGAAUUAAUUAUGAAAGUCUAAUCUUUCAAUUGAACUGCACUUUUUUAUUGAAAACUCUUCCAAGUACUCAAAUUUGUCGAGCUUAAGCAAUAUCAGCUUAUCACACUCCUCAAUACAGAGUUUCAAGGGUCUUGAGGAAAUCUCAAGGAUGUCUUCAAGUAGAUGGCAUGCCUUAAAAUGAAGUUUUUCUGGGUGGAUUAGGUUAGAAAACAGUGGCAACCUGGGACUCUGACAAGAGAUCAACAGAUAUGUCAAGCCUGAAGGAAGCUCCGGUAACAACCGGAGCUCAUUAUAGCCCAAUAGGUUAAGGCAUGGAAGAGAAGAAACAUUCCGAAUGCUAUUUGGGAGGGUAGACAUCAGCGCGCAAGUGAUAUAGAGAAUCUCGAGCGAAGACAAGUCACCGAUUUAACUUGGAAUUACUUUUUCAAAUAAGGCAUAAUAAGAGACUCAUAGUGCGCAGGUUUUUCAACCUUCCAAUAGCACUAGGAAGCUUUUCAAUUUUAGAACCGCUAAUGUCCAUAUGUUGCAAAUUCUGUAAAUCUCAAAUUGAGCUAGGGAUUUCUCUGAGUGACUCACAACAGCAGGUGCUUAGUUUCUCCAGUUUCCUCAUAGAACUGGGAUGUCACGCCCCGAGCCUCGGGCACGCACACAUCCUUCUACUCUACUUGGUCGAUUUUAAAAUGCGAUAUCCCAGGACUAUGUAUCGCCGACCCUUUUAUUUCUAUUAAGCACAUGCGGAAACAGUUAUAAAUCCCCAGACAAUAAAACAUUGGGAUAGAAAAGUAGGCCAUAUCUUUCAUAUUGAAAUCCACAACCAAACCUUUAUACAUGACAAAAACCAAAGUACUCCACACUCUUCACAACUCUUUACUUUACUCUAUUCACAUCAAAAUGGGGGCACAAAAGAAGAUGACAUUUCAGUCCACCUGGGUCGUACUCAAGAUCCUUCUCGGGAUUAUCUUCUUCCAAAAACACUUCUCCUUCACAGACUCUUCCUCCUCAGCUUCUCAGCGGGGUCCUGAAAUGUUUUCCCCAAACUGGGAUGAGACUAUGUCUCAGCGAGUUCUACCCCACUAAGACUCAAUUAGGGAACCAAUACACUACUCGAUUGCCUAAGCACAGCACGAGUCAGAGGACUUACCUUGGCCUCAGUCUCAACCUGCAAUUCAAGGUUAUAUAUAGACACUUCAUAAAUCACAACGAAAAAUCAAUCAAAUCACGACAAGCGAAUCAAUUAUUGAUCAAUCGAACCAGUCGAUUACAUGUCAUUCAUACCAUUCCUAGAUCAUUGAUUUCACACCAUAUAACCUUCCAUCGAGUACUCGGUCACAGAGCCAUAUCAAUGCUCUCGGGCGGCGCUUCCACCAAGGUGACGUAAAUAACAGACGGUCUACGUGCGUUCUUUAAGGCGCCGUUUUCGCACAGUGAUAUUCCCCAUCACCGAACCACGCCCGUCAUAGAUCAUAGACAGUCUACGUGCGUUCUUUAAGGCGCCGUUUUCGCACAGUGAUAUCCUUAAUCACCGAACCACGCCUGUCUAUACUUCGUACUUGAUCGAUCUCAGCCAAUAGAAUGCUCAGUUAGUUCUCACCACUUCCUCCACUUACGGCUCAACAAGGCAUUCAAAAUGCUAAAUAGCCAUACUCAGCCAACUACCAAUCGAUAAUUCAAUUUCAAUCAAUUUAGGGUAAAUCCCUAAAAUAUCACAAUUUACUUAAUUCCAAGCAACGUAGAGUUCAAUUAAAUAAACGGGCUGCGCCAUGACAAUCAGCACGAGAUUUCAGUCAUCAAUCAUCUCAAUCUUAAUUUCCGAAAAAUAAAUAAAUAAUUAAUAAAUAUUAAAAAUUCAAUUUAAUUCAAAUUAAAGCCCGAUUAAAUAAACGGACUUCACCACAAUUAUCAGCAUAAUCUUCUGGUCACUAGCCAUCUCAAUUGAAUUUUCGGAAAAUAAAUAAAUAAUUAAUUAAUUUCGAAAAUUAAAUAAUUAAUAUAAAAAAUUCGUUUCAGCUCAAACUAAAGCCCGAUUAAAUAAACGGACUUCACCACGGUCGCCAGCGUAAUAUUCCGAUCUCAAACCAUCCCAGUUGAAUUUUCGGGAAAUAAAUAAUUAUUUAAUUUAAUUCCAAAAAUUAAUAUUUAAAUACCAAAAAUUACACUUAGGCUCGAAAAGCCCAAUUGAAGCCCGAUUAGGGUCGGGAAAAAUCCCGGGCUACCCUCAAUAAAUAGUAGACCAUGUCUACUUUCUAAAUACACAUUCAACUUAUCUAAUUUGUAUCACGAUUGACUAAUAAAUACUAAUUUAUACUAAUCUAACACAUAAACCAAAUUAAUUACAACUAAACAACCAAUAAGCGUAAUUAGUCCACUAAGCAAGGAUUAGUGAGAUUACUCACCAAAUCGCGCGCAAAUCGGAUCAAUCCGACGGCGGCGACGCGAGGAACGAAACUUCCCAAAGCACGGCCUGAGUUCGGGGCCCGGAAACGGCCCGAAAUGGCCCAUGAACCGGCUAAAACCCACUUGCGGGUUAGCUGGAUCGGCUGCAAAACAGAGGGAAAAAGAGAGGGUUGGGGGCGGUAAGAGGUCGGGAGAGCGGGUGGAGCUCCGGCGAGGCCGGACGGCGGCUCCGGCGGCCUGCUCAGCCGCUCACGGUGGCUGAACAGAGGCCGAACGGGAGCUGGGUCGCGCGGGAGGAUCGGCAAGCGCGAGCGGUGCACGGGCGGCGAACGGCGGACGUGCGGGUGGCGCACGGGCGUGCGGUGCGGCGGCAGGACAGGCGGCGUCGGUGGCUGGCUUGGGCUUCCGAUCUCCUGCAACUUCUGGUUCGGUUUUGCACAGAGAAGAACGAAUAAGAAGGAGAAGAUAACGUGAGGGAGGAGGCAAGAAGAGAGAGAAAGAUUUGACCGGUCAAAAAGAGAAAUAAAAUAAAGUAAAGCAAAGUGGAAGACAGCAAAAAGGGGUGGUCGGCUGGGGGAGUCGCACGAGUGGGAGGGAAGGAGAGAGAAGAGAGAGAGAAGAGAGAAAACGGAGAGAGAGAAAAGAAAUCUAAAACUAAAAAUAUAUCUCUAUUUUCUUUUCUCUUUCCCUUUCUAAUUCUCCCGGUCUUCGAUUUUUCCUCCGAUAAUUUAUUUCUUGAAAUUUCGGACUCGCCGAUAAUUUGACGGAUGAUGAGACAAGGUCCAAAAUUUGAAUUGUGACACGCUCGAAUUUUUCGAUUCCCGAAACCAAAUCAAAUUCCAUGAUUAAAAUCGACCGGACGUGAUUUAGUCCAAUCCAACAAAUUAGGUAGCUUUUAGGGAUUUUACCGCGGAUAUAUCCCUUAACGGCUUCACCCAAUAAGUUAGUUAACUCAUGAGUGAUCAGCUCAGAGAAAAAGGACCGUAGGCACGCCGACGAUAUGCACAUUUCAUUUUAUCGAAACGGGGUCGAAUUUCAGGAUGUCACAGAUAGACAUAGGAAUCUCAGUAAUAUUAGCAAAAUCUAACAUGAGUUCUUCUAAUUUGACAGAUUCACCUCUUUUCAGUUCUAACUCACAUAACAAUCCACUCUUGGUCUAGUCCAUUGCCACAUUUUUCAUCCAAGAUCCCAAUUCUCUUGUGGAUCCUAAGAUUGCCACACUCUCCCAAUUUCAACUUGGUGAACCAACCGAACAUUGAGAUGCAUGUUCUCCCAUCUCAGUUUUGAUCCAAUCUUCUUCGCUUUCUUCUCCUCCUCUGCGAUAAACACACUAUGUUAUAGCUACUACCACUAGCUUCCUUCCUUUCCAAACAACUCAAAUAGCCAUUUUCAUGUGAACCACCAAUUCUUUCUUUGUCAUUUAACACCACAUUUAAAGAGAAACCUCAAAUCAAGAUAUUGUCAGAUAAUCAAUGCCGCUAGCUUUUAUUGCAAGAAGUACUCGAAAGAAGAACAGAAAAAACUCUUUUUUGUACACCGAUUCUCGUUCAAGAAAUAGAGCCCACAUAAACUCCAUCCACACUACAAACUCAGACAAAACUUUGAUAGAGAACUGCAUAAAACAACUCAAUACUUCACUCCAGAACCCAGUGCUUGAUCAGACUUGACGUAAGUGUACUAGAACAAAUCCAGGGAGGGAGGGAGAGAGAGAGAGAGAGAGAGAGAGAGAGAGAGAGAGAGAGAGCUGGUUUUAGUGGUGGAAACAUUGCAAACAACUGUGGAGGUGCGGCUCCGAGCAGCAUGAGCUCCAUGCAUCCACCUAAGAGAAUCUCGAAGGGGAAAAGUAAUGCUGCUCUUCAAGAACGAACUGAUCUCUCUAGUUGGUUUUAGGUAUGAGGAUGUACAUGGCUGUGUCUCUUCUGCUUUUAGAUUCAUGCUUAAAUAAAUCAAGUUUGAGAUUAUACGGCCGAAGUGAUUGCAAAAUGCCUACAUAUGAAUAUUUCGACAUAACUAGACCAGAGAGAUGAUUUUACACUAAUGAAUGCCAUUCUUUUGUGUUCAAAAUUCUUCCAAAUGGGAAACUACUGUCUUCUUGGAAACCUGUUCAUUAAAACUCUUGGCUACAAUUGACAGAAUAUUGGCUGAUUCCUUGGCAUUUGCUUUUUCCACAAAAAAAAGUCUCUCCCAGUCACAAACUGUAGCUUAAAGUGGACAUCUGGUAAUCUUGUUAACAAAUCUCAUUUUAAGCUUGACUCCACAUAUAGAACCAUCUACACAUGUGGUCUUCCUCGAAGCGAUUUGUGAUGUAACCUUUGCUGCCUCCAGCAAUUUGUGAUGUAGCCUUUGCUAAAGAGUAGCACAAUUUCAAAGGUUGCAAAGAAAGAAUACACCACAUGAGAAGAGGCUGCCUUAUAUCAAGAAUCCUUUGAAGAGUAAUAACAACACAGAGCCAAUGACAAAUGCCAAUAGCAAAUAACUCCAGAAUGCCUUUCCAUACUAACAUAGCACAUUCUUGCCCGUAUCUCCAACCCAUGGUGUUUGGGGACUUUCUCCGAGUUUCAUCAAAUGCAGCUCUAAUCUGCAUAAGGAAGACAACACUAACUAAUUAUCAAUAAAUCCAAGACUGUAGCAUCAGAAUUUAUCUCAUGAGAGAUAAGGUACAAAUGCGUAAACAUCAAAUACCAAUCAAAGUUGGACCACAAUGAACAGAGACUUUAUUAGAUGGCCGAUGAAAAAGAAACCAGCAGGCAUAAAAGAAGUAAGCAAUUAACAACACUUUCCCUAUUUGUGUUUAGGAACAUAAUUGAAAUUAAUAAAAUUAUGCUGAAAGGAUUAGUGCCUAGACUACAGAAUAGAAAGAUUUAUUUGCUACUGGGUUAUAUUGCAAGAUCCAAUUAGCAAAAUCAGCAAUAUGGGAUUAGCUUGCAAGGAGGUUAAUUUCAACUUUACAAAUCCAAUGCUGCAUACAUGAGAACUGAACUUAUCAAAUCAGAAACCUAUAUGACAACAUUCAAAGGAUAUCAUCACACAAAUAAACUGAUAGAAAUGGAGGAGCCUAGCAAUGCAUACCUCCCUCUAUAGAGCCUCAUCAAUUCGGGAGUGAGACCAUUAGAAUGCAACCGCAUCGGACAAUUCUGCAUUAGGGUAACAUAGAAAAAUCAGCAGCUUAGUAUUUGAUUAAAGGAGAGCUAGAACCUUAUGAGCAUACAUAAAGCAUAUCUAAUUGAAAAAAAAAUACAUUUACAAUCAUUUAGGGAUGUGACAUCGAGAUCAAAUCAAGUGUUUGAAUGCUCAGAAGCAUCCAAACUUCCUUGGGACACUCCAGUCCGCCCUAAAGCGUCUUCAAGGUUCGCAUGCAAGAUGGUCCUUAGUUGUUGCAAUAGCUUCCUCUACAAAAUCUCUUUUCUUUAGUUUUUAUCAGUCUUUGGUAUGGAAUUUGAAGUUCCUUAGCCCAGUUAGCCACUCCCAAAUUGGUCAUGUGAUGAAGCAAUUCCAUGACAACAAUAGGAUCAAACAGGAUGUAAACUAAUUAGCAAAUUCUUGAGUUCCUCAUCCCAUCUUGUUUCACAGACGGGCAAAAAAUUGUCCAACAAUGCAAAAGGUCAUCCAUACAGUUAAUUGAAUUGAAGUCCUAAAGUAAGCCUAUAUAGUUACAUAGACCAACCAAACCUGUCAUAGAAGCAACACCAGUUUACCUUGCUUGAUAGUCUUUCAAAAGAACAGUUUGACUACUAAUAAUGUUAAGGUGGUCUACAUUCAUAUAUGGCAGACUAGCCAAAACUACUUUAACAUUAUUUUUUUUUUCUCAUCAAAUAGAAACACUUGAACCUUGAAUUUUAUUUUAGCUCAGUUCAUCAUAUCCCGAGAAGUGAUGCUCCUCUUAGAAGGUUAAUGAGGGACAUCAGGGGAACAAUAAGAAACUUGACAGGGCUUUUGUGCAUUAUGGAAAAUGGAAAGUCGUCAGGAUAUCUACCAUUAGUCAAAUUUGACAUACAAAAGAACUUACAAAGUAACUUAAAAUGGCUAGAGAUUUUUUCAAAGAAAAUAUGAAAAUUGGACAUUGGGAAAUUCUGGGUGUAGUAUACAAUAAUGAGUAGCAGAAGUUCAUCAGCCUCUAUGACUUCUAUUGACAUUAGAGUCUGCAUUUUGAUAUUGGCUAAAGCAUCAUGUCAGCUUCUACGACCAACUGCCCCACUCCAUCAAUUACGUAAGACUAGCAAUUUAGGAAAGUACAAAAUCCUGUCAUGAAAAACCUUCUUGUCAGAAAAAGGCAGUGAUCAAAAGUAGGUCACUAAUCUCAGACGAAAAAUGAUUGUUCACUGCUUAUUUACCUCUAUUCAGGAAACAUCACUCCAUGAAUCAAAAGACAGCUCUUGUUCAUAAUUUCUAAAGACGCGAGUUCCAGAUAAGUUUGGUAUUGCUUCCAAUGAGUCACAACCAGAAACAUCCAAAUCAAUUAAAUUCAACUUUUCGAGUCCCUGAAGCUGAGUAAGUUUCUUGCAGUCUCGAACUCUUAGAGAUCGUAACUUCUCACAUCCCGUCAAAUCCGGCAAAGUCUCCAUUGAUUUGCAUCCUGUAAAAUCCAACUCUUCUAAGAACUUUGCACCAUCAAUACCAUGAAUUUUGACCAGAUUGUCGCACCCAACAGCUACUAAUUUCUUCAAACACCAUGAUUUAUGAAAGAGAAGACUUUGAAUGGAAUUGCAGUCAUAUAAAAAUAUGACCUCCCAGGAAUCAACCCCGGGAAGCCAAAUUUCAACUAGGCUAUCGCAAUGCUCAGCACGUAAUCGUUUCAGAUGAAUCAAUCCUGAAAGGCUCAAUGUUUGAAUGGAACUGCACUUUCUUAUUGAAAGCUCUUCCAAGUGCGUGAUUCCACUGAGCGAAAGUAAUCUUAGCCUAUCCCACUCCUCAAAACAGAGUUUCAAUGGUAUUGAGGAAAGCUCAUGGAUGUCUUCGAGUAAAUGGUGUACCUGAAGAUAGAGAUUUUCUAGGUGAAUGAGGCUAAGAAGGUGUGGUAGUCCAAGACUCUGACAAGUGACCGACAGAUAUGUUAAGCCUGAAGGAAGCUUUGGCAGCGAUCGAAGCUCCUUACAGCCCCAUAGUCUAAUAUAUUGGAGAGAAGAAGGAAGCUCUAGCAGUGACUGGAGCUUCUUACAGUACUUUAGGUGAAGGCGUUUGAGAGAAGAAAGAUUCUGGACACUUGGCAGGUCAGAUAUCGGUGUGCGAGAGAGAGAGAAGCUCGAGAGAAGGCAAGUCACCGAUUUCACUUGGAAUUGCCCCUUUCAGACGAUGGCAUUUAGAGAGAUAUAGAGUCCGCAGAUUUUUCAACCUUCCAAUAGCACUGGGAAGCUUUUUGAUCCUAGAACGAUUCAAGUCAAGAUGUUGCAAAUUUUGUAAAUCCCCAAUUGAGCUAGGGAUUUCUCUCAGUGACCCACAAUGACGUGCACUUAGUGUCUCCAGCUUCCUCAAAGAAGCAAUAGACGGAGGAAUCUCUCUAAUACCAGAUUCAUCUAAUAAAAGUUCUUCUAAAUCUUUUAAUUUGCCCACCUCCUUUGGUAGCUUCCUAAGACUGCAACAACCAAGCAAACUCAAGGAAAUGAGGCUCGUGAGUUUGCCAAUAGAAGGGUGGAGACACUCAAGUUUGAUACAAGUGACCAAGCUGAGAAUCUUCAACUGUGUGAAGGCCGAGAAAUCAGGAGUACAUUUUAACUCAUAGCACCGAGUAAGGUUGAGAACUUUAAGCCGCUUUGACACCUAAAAAAGAAGAAGAAAAUAAGCUGUCGAAAAGAAGUUGAUGACUAAAUAACAAAACCCCAAAAUCGCAAAGAGGAUAUCUUCUUUUCACAAUCUUACCAUGAAUAAACUCCAUUCUCCCCAGAUCUUUUUGUGCAAGAGCAGCACCGAUAAGUUCGGCAGAUGCAAAUUAGUCAUCCAAAGAGACAAAUCGCUGUCAUCGGACGCCCAUUGAAACCAUCUCACCUCAGAAAAGAGUUCCAUGGAGUGUUUGCUUGAAGCUGCCCCCUGAAACCAGGAGAGGUCCACGGAGUCUUUGCUUGAAUUCCAGAAGAGGUGUGUGAAGCGUUCGCUUGUAGUGUGCCCCGGCCACCAGGAGAGGUCCAUGGGGUCUUUGCUUGAAGCUGCCAUCCGCAAGCAAGAGAAGGGUCCCUGCAAGCUUUUAACUUUUUAGUUUUCGUUUUUUUUUAAUCUUAGAUUUGCACAAUUAUUUACCUUUUUGUCCUUCCCCUAUAUAGAUAUGGAUACAUGAACUCACAUUUAAUUUUUUUGUUUUUGGUUAAUACCUUGAAAAACCCUAAACUAAUACACAUGUGACAAAUUUACUCCAAAUAAUUUUUUGACCAUAAAAAACCCCAAACUGGUAUAAUUAUGACAAAUUUGCCUCAACUGAUCAUAAAAACCCUAAACUGGUAUGUUUAUAACAAAUUUAUCCCAAACUAAUUUAUUCAACCGCAAAAAAACCCAAAACUAGUAAAUCUAUGACAAAUAUACCCUCCGCUAAAUUUGAUUAGUACUACAAAAAAAUCACAAAAAUUAUAAAAUGUGACAAACGGAACGUAAAAUCCCAAAUUUGUAUACCAGUCAACUGUCACAUGUCAUUUAACUUAAUAAUUUAACAAUAAAAUUUAACAAAAACUAACAGAGGGUAAAUUUGUCACAGGUGUAUCAGUUUUAGAUAAAUUUGUCAAAAGUAUACUAUUUUGGGGUUUUUUAUGGUUAAAAAAAUAGUUUGGGGUAAAUUUGUCACAAGUGUACCAAUUUGGGGUUUUUUUUAGGGUUUUAACCCUUUUUUUUUUUGUUUACAAUCUUUUGAAAAUUAAACAAAUGACAUGAAGAUAAAGAAAAAAACAGUUAUUGCAUUAAAACAACUAAGGCAAAUGCACCUGAGUGUUUUAUCCUUUGCUUUAAAAAAAAAAAAAUCUAGUGUGUGGACUUUGACAUACAUGAAAUCAUUUCGCAAUACACCAAUGUUUAUUUGUAAAUUUUCCUAUGACCUUUGUACAAUUUUUCAAAAGAAUUUGUGAAAGUUUGUCGGUGGGCCACAUGUAAGUAGCCAAGGAAGCACCCAAUUUUCAUUUCAUUAGUUAAAUGUAAUAAUGCAGAAAAGAAAAAAGGGGGGCAUUUUUAUAUUUUAUAUAUUUAUAUAAAUUGCAUGGAGGGCCUAUUUAUAGAUUUUAUUACGAGACUAUCUAAAGAAAUAAAAUCAUAUAUUUAUGUUCAAAAUAGAUAUAAAAAAUCCAGAGGAAAUAUCCUACAUCUCUUUAGAAGAUAUCCAAAAUAUCUUUAACGUUAUUAGCUAUUUUUGUGAAGUGUUCGAUCAUAUCUUUGAAAACUGAAAUGUUUUUUAUGGUUAAAAAGGGACAUGGUGACAUUGGUUAGCAAUUUUGACAGGGAUUGAAAAAAAAAAGGGUUAAUACCCUCAAAAACCCCAAAUUGGUACACAUGUGAUAAAUUUACCCCAAAUUAUUUUUUUGAUCAUGAAAAACCUCAAAUUGGUACACCUGUGACAAAUUUACCUUGAUUGACCACAAAAAAAAAAACUAAACUAGUACAUUUAUGAUAAAUUUACCCCCAAACUAAUUUAUUUGGCCGCAAAAAAUCCCAAAUUGAUAAAUUUGUGACAAAUAUACACUCCGCUAAAUUGGAUUAAUACCACAAAAAAUCACAAAAAUUAUAAACUGUGACAAACAGAGCGUAAAAUCGCAAAUUGGUAUACCGGUCAACCAUCACGUGUUAUUUAACUUAAUAAUUUGACAGUAAAAUUUAACGAAAACUAACAAAUGAUAAAUUUGUCACUAGUGUACUAGUUGGGGGUAAAUUUAUCAAAAAUAUACUAGUUUAGAGUUUUUGGUGGUUAAAAAUUCACUUUUAUGGUUCAACACGUUUGUUGUAAUCUCAGCUUUAAAUUUUAACCGGUGAAAUGGAAUGGGUAUAAUUUCUCUUAAGUCUGUUCAUUGGAAAAGCUGCUAAAUAGUUGUAAUUAUCAUCCACAUUAUUUUUCAUAAUUUUCGCUUGUACAUCGAUCUAUAUUGUAUAUUACAUUAAAAAAUAUACUAUAUGGAAAGAGGAUUUCGAACCUUAAACUUUCGUCAAAAGUUUGCACACAGUUCCCAUAUGUUUCACCAAAGUAAACUGAAGAAAUCGGAUAUAACAAGAUAGACAUGAUAAUAUAUGAAAUAGUCAAGACAAUUGGAAAUUAGUCCCAUAAGUAUUUCAUUUUCCAAAGUUAAAUGAAAAUCUCUCGAAUCAUACAAUCAUUUAAUUUUUUUUCCCCUCACUAAUUAUCAUCUUUCAGCAAUUUUGUCUAUUCAAGACAGAUUUAACUACUUUUUUUUCAUUUUGCAAACACCUGUAUGGUAUGCUCUUUUUGCUAAUGUUUAGAAGUUAUUGCAUCAACAAAAGAAUGUGAUAUGGACCCAUAGGAACGAACUAUUUCAAAUUAUAUCAAGAAUAUAAAUCCGUUUUGUUUACUAUGAGAUAUCUAUUUCAAGUUAUUGAAUCUCUUGGUUGAUUGCUAGGGUUAAUUCCUCGCCAUUGAUCAGCCAUGAGCCUAUGAGAUAUCCCAAAUGGACACAACAUAAUAAUGAAAUGGCAUGAACAUUGAUAAUUUAAUUAAAAGAUAAAACAGAGUUGAAAAAACUGGCUUGAUGCCUUACCAAAAAAAAAAAAAAAAAAAACUGGCUUGAUGCUGAAAAUCAUAUGUUAUGAACACAACGGUAUGGAUCUAAUAAUAAGCACAACAUUUCCUCUAAUCAGUCAAGUUUUCCUUUGUUUAUUUAUUUUAUAAAUAGUCAAGUCAAUUUAGCCGUUUCUGGCACAAAAGAGACAUUGUCCCCGAAAAUAUAAAUAAUAUAAAACAACUUAUAGCGGAUACAAAUGUUUGUUAUAAGAAAAUCCACUCUUUAUCAUGCACCUGACCUAAUCCAUGAAAUGAGCAAGGUUAACGGAAUAAAACCUUAAAAAACAGUAAGAUUUCCUAUAAAAAAUUAAGAGGAUUUUUGCUAUCUUAUCUAUUAGGAGGAAAUAAGAAUGAAAUGAGAUAAUAUAAUUAAUAGAGGGACCGAUAUCUUUAAAAAAAAAAAAAAGGCAAAAAAAAAAAUCAAGCAUUGGAUUCCUAGAUCACAAGAGCACCGCAAUACAUUCGGCCAUGCUAGAAAGCAAGCACAUGUCAUAAGUGUGAAAUUUGUUCCAAUCUUAAUGUUUUGAAUUAAUUAUCAAUUAUUAUAAUUGGCACAUACUCUCUCUUUUUUAACCUAGAUAUAUUCAUUUAUCUGAUCAAUGAUGUUUAUACUCCAUCUUCAUUUAUUCUUAUUGUCCUUCAGAUUAUCGAUAUUUUCAACUAGAUAUGACAAUUGCAUGCUUUCGGUAAACGAGUUUUAUAGUGUAAGAUUAUAGUUAGAGGAUCUUAAAUUUAUUGUCAAUCAAAAUUUAACAAAUGCAAUUCAUUUCAAUGAAAUUGAAUAAAAUGAUAUAACUUUUUCACCCUUGAGAUACUUAUAAUCUAUUUAGCUGUCACAAUUAAUCACGAUGGACAUAAAUGGAUGUUUAAAUUGAUUCUUUCUUCCUAGAAAGCAAAAGCAUCAGUUCAUGCUAGAGGAGAAAUUAAAAUAUAUCAUAUUAAAUAUAUUAAAUUAAGAAGGAGAGAAAAAAGAAAGGAGUGCCAUAUUUUACCUCUAGAUGUCUUAGUACUCUUGAGAUUCCUUGGUAGUUGUUGUCCCAUGGUCCGCUACGUUUCUCAAGCGGUUGUCCUUGGCAAAAAAUGCUCCUUCCAAGAUCUCUUAGUUGAUCAUGCAUCUCAAACUUAUCGUCAUCUCGAAUUUUAAUUAAGCACCUCAACUUCAACUCUUCAAUACCUUGACUUGGAUAAAACCCACAGUCCUCCCACAUGUACAUGGCGUAUUUGCUUGUUUCGCCAAUAAAGAAACAAACAAUAUCAAGAAAAAUCUGCUUAUGUCCAUCUUCUAGUGCAUCAUAACUUAUUUGCAAUAUUUUUUGGACAUCUCUAUGUGGUUGGUUUUUUAAUUGCUUCCACACAUCUUCCCAAACUCUUUUAUUCGUUUUUUUAUACAAGUAUGAACCUACAACUUGAAGUGCCAAGGGAAGCCCACCCAUUGUGGAUAUGAUAUCAUGAGAUAUGCCCUCAAAGUCCCCUGGAGAAUGGUCCAUACGAAAUGCAUGUCUAUUAAACAAAAGCAAAGCAUGCACCUCAUUCAAUCCAUUCAAUUCAUACUUGAAGUCUACCUCGAAUUCAGCUUGAUCAAGAACAGCUUCAUUUCUAGUUGUAACAAUGAUCAAACUUCCUACCGUAAACCAAUUACGUUCCCCUGCCAAUGCAUCCAGUUGAUUCUUGUCAUCUAUAUCAUCCAAAAGAAUGAGAACCUUUUUUCCUUUGAAUCUAGAUUUGAUUAUAUUAACUCCAUCAUCAAUUCUAGACACUUCACAUUUGCUCUGUAGUAUAUCCGAUAUUAGUUGACUCUGUAAAUACGUAAUGCCAUGGCGCUUGGUAGUUUCCCGAAUAUCUGGAAGGAAUUUGACAUGCACAAAUUUGUUCAAGAGUUGAUUGUGAAUGAUCUUGGCAAGAGUUGUCUUGCCUAUCCCACCCAUGCCAUAAAUUCCAAUCAUUCGAGCAUUGAUGGAAGGACUGUCUAUCCAAUUCAUAAUUUUCUUCAGACAAUCAUCAAGUCCAACUAGUUGCUUAGGCACAUUUAGUUGAAAAUCUUCUUGUAACUUGCUUAGAACAGUUCCAACCACAUGUUCUAUUAGUUCUCCCUCAUGCCUGUCAAACAACUAAAACAAUGAGAGAUUAUGAACUUAAACAUAGUUUAUGUGAAGUAAUUGAUCCUUAUCAACUGCGCUAACCCUUGUUGGCUAUAGGAGGGCGAUUUUAUCUGGUGGUGAUCAAACUUCAGAAGACUGAGCAUUGGAGUCAUUUGUAGCCUAUUGUUUAGUGAUUGAUACUAUUGGCUGGAGGUAUUGUCAUUUCCUUGUUUUUUGCUCUAUACCGGAGGAAAAUGUAAAAUUCUUGGGCACUAUGGGAUGCUUUGGUUUUUGCUGUUGUUGGUUUAGUUUUCAGGGACAUCUUGGUGAGUAUUGGCAUUUGUUGUCUUCGAGGCGUUAUGGUUGUUUAUUCGGACAUUUUGGGAAUCUUUUCGAGUUUGCAGUGAAAGUGAUUGAUCUGCAUUUCAUUGGUUUUGCCUGAAGAAGAAAAAUAACUUAUCAAAACAAGAAAAGUUCAGUGAAGUACCCGUCCUCAAAUUUAUCAGAUUCCCAUCCAUUUAAGUAACUGACUUCAUUAAGUGCUCGUUGCCAUUCCUGGAUAUCCUUCUCAUCAAAACGCUCCUGACUCAAAUGGAAGGCAUUUCCAAAAUUUCCCUUUAGAUGUCGCACAUCAGAUGGGGCAACUUUGUAAAAUAUAGGCAACACUAUGUGUGACAUGCUCUUCUUGCAUUCCAUGAUAUGAACGAGCUCACGGAGGCACCAUUUGCUUGAAGCAUAAUUUUCGGAGAUGACGGGGAUCGAAAUCUUAGACUGUACGAUGGCAUCGAGAAUCUCUAAACCAAAUUCCUCACCAAUUGGGAUGCUGUUCUCGUCCCUAAACACGCGAAACGGUACAGUCCCUACCUUGACCAGAUUGUGAUAAAGGUGAUCGGUGAAUGUCUUGCGGGUAUCCGAGCCUCUAAAGUUCAAGAACACGUCGUAUUGACCGCUACAUAAACCUAUGGCUUCUGGAGAGAUGGAUGAAGAAGAGGACGCUCCCCAAGUGCUCUCUUCCCCUGCUCUCUUUCUCUUCCCCUGCUCUUUGUCCAUGGCGAUCUGAGAGGGAAAAAUUGACACGAAAGAUGCCUUUUAUCCUGCUUAAAAGGAUCGAUGAACAACGAAAGAUGCUUUUGCAAAUGAUUUUUGGUUUACGAAAGAUGCUUUUUCUGAUGCUUAAAAGGAUUGAUGAACAACAAAAGAUGCUUUUUGCAAAUGCUUGUUGGCUUGGUUCUCUCCCCCGCACCCCACCUUAUGAUCUAUUCCCUUUUUGUGUGAAUGUUGUUUCUCUAUUCGUUUUGGGUCCGUUGCUUCACUUCUUUUAUGUUUUGGUUCAAAUUUGAUGAUUACAUAUUUUAAAUUUAUUUAAAAUUGGCAUAUUCUUAAUGAAGUUGGAAAUGCGAGGUAGAGAUUAACAAAUGGUUGUUGUCAUUUCUCUCUUAUUUAUUUCAUGCUCACCCCACAUGCCGGUAAGUCUAUAUAAGAUGAAUUUAUGAUAUGAUGUUACCGAGCUAUUCACUUCUAACUUUUAAAUUUAAAUUAUUGAUUGAUAUAUUGUCUACAAAAUAGAGCUAACUUGUUAAAUAACACCAAAUGAACAUAAUGUGUUAGUAUUAAGUUACUAAUGAUGUAUGAAAUACUUGGACAUUGUCCUUGAGUUCUUUUCCGGGUCAUUUUUUUUAUUACUAUUUUGUCGGCAUAUCAUUCAGCUCUUGAAAAGUCGGUAAAUCAUUGAAAAAAGAAGUAUGUGAAAUAUUAAAAAUAAAUAAAACAUAAUUUAGGAAAAAGCAUUUUACAAAAAAAAAAUUAGGAAAAAGCAUAGAAAAGAAGGAAAUUAAGUGUUGGGGCCUACUUUUAGAAGGAAACAGUGAUAUUUAGAGUUAAUGUCCAAAAGGCUUUUAAAUUAUGAAUUCAUGACACAUGGAAACCUUCACGAACAUGAAUUGAAAGUAAAAAUGGGAAUCAAAGAUGCAUGGCAAUCUGAGGGUGAAAGUUGGAAUGAAAGAUGCUUUUCUUGCAUAAAAGGAUAGAUGCACUAAUCUCUACGAACGAACAUAAAUAUGUUACCACGCAAGAAAAAAUGAACAUGAAAUCUUUAAUUAUAUGGUAAUUGAUUGACUAGGAGCAGUUGCAGCUGCUUUUAGCCCACACCUAUCUUGUUUUUUACCUCACCCUAUUCAAGUCAAACUUGUUGGCUUGAUCCCUCACGAGUAACGUGGACGUUAGUUUUUUAAUUGGGCUAUAAAGUACUAGAAUCCUUGUACAAGUAUAUUGCAUUCAAUUAAAAAUACAAGCAUAUGUUCAGUUUUUUAUUCGGUUAUUGAAAAUAGGAAUUUAAUAAAUCAUUUAAAAAAAUAUAAUUGAGUUGAAACGGAAUUAGAAAUGUUUGAAAGACGUCAAGAAAGGACCGAGCUAGAGAUUCGGAAUGUGAUCUUAUAUUUUAAUUUUGUUUAAAAUUGUCAUAUUCUUAAUGAAGUUGGAAAUGUAAGGUAGGGAUAAACAAAUACUCACGGUUAUUUAUCUUUCAUCUAUUCUAUCGCCGGUAUCACAUGCUACAAUUCCAUGUAAAGUGGAUUUAUUUGAAUUGGUGUGUUAUCACAGACCCUUUCAUUUCAAAUUUUCAAAUCUAAAAAGUUAAUCGAUAUCUUAUGUAAAAUAGAGAUAUAAUCUGUUAGAUGGCACCAAACGGAGGAGCGGAUGUUCCCUUAGUGCUGUCUUUUCAUGCACUCUUUUCUUUCUCCACGUUAGUCUGAACGAUUAGAAAUUAGGUAUUGAAUCGAUGGAAGAAGGAGAAGAACAGAAGAAAGUAAAAGGAAGCUGCUGAGGAAAAUCUAGAGACAGACCAAGGUUUGCAACAAUGGCGUUAAGUGCUUGUGCCCAUUUUUGUUGGAGGGCCCACCUUGAGAAUAUCACCGCAAGAUUUUUUUUUUUUAACCAAUUAAAUGGAAGUAGAAUAGGAUCAUCGGCUAAAUUCGUGAUAAGUCAGGUUAAAUUGAUUAAUCACAUUUUGAAGAACAAAUUAAUUGUUUGUAACGAAAAGAGGUGUAAGAAAUGAGCGAUUUAAAGCUAGGUGAAUCUCCUAAUAUGCGCGUAUGGCUUGAUUUAUUUUAUUAUUUUCAUGUGUGUGUCAAAAGAUCAACUAGGUUUUUUUUUCUUACUAUAGAAAGGGAAGAUACUUUCUAGGGUUAAUUAUCCAACAAUUCGAGGAAAACAUAAUAUUACUCAUAUGGAAUGUUCUAUAGGCAGGUAAAAUUGUCAAGUGAAAUCUUUCUAAGAGAAGAAUUACUCUUAGGAUGAUUGGUUUUAGGAUGAGUAGGUUCUAAAUUAAGAAUCAUGAACUUAUUAUGUAAUACCCAUUUCUCCGUUUUUGUAAUUGAGAGACAAACUAGUUGACUUUGGAGCCAACUGACUUGUAUUUUUUUUUUUAUAUAUAAAUUGAUCUAGGACCUACAAACACAGAGAAUUCAAGCGAAAUGUGGCAAUUUUUGCAUGAUAGAGUCUAGCACUUGCAGAUCUACUCGUUCAAGUUCAAUAAAAGAUCAAUACUGAAUUAGGAUGCAACUAACAAUCAAAUGGUAAGGAAAUCAUAGGAUUUGCCAUAUCUAAAGUCGAAAACGAAGGCUUUCUUUUUUCCAUCGAAGUCAAAUUUGAGCUGGGGACAUACCCCAUCAAUAGGUAACAACAACUCCAAAGAGAGAAUAAAAGACCCUCCUCUGCUAUUUAACAACCACCCCACAUCCCCAUAGAUAGAAAGGGCCCAGAACACACUUAAUUCAGCCAAUUAUUCCAAUAACAAUGCGACGAAUCAAUAGAAACGACACGCUAAUAAGACAUGAAAAAGCGAUUACCUCCCACGAGCUAAGAUGUAAUGAAAGGCGUGAGAUUGUAGAGAGUAGACCCUAAACAAGCCUGGGCAAUAACUUUCAAGAGGUAAAAGAUCAAAGAAAGUGAGUGAGGAUGGCAGUUUCGAAUUGCUCGGCAAGAGAGAGGCCGAACGUGAAAUAGAGAGAGAGAGAGAGAGAGAGAGAGAGAGAGAGGUGCAAUAAGUAGUAGAAAUUUUUUAAGAUGGGCGAUUCUUUUUGCUUUGUUCUCGCCUUGUGACAACGCUCCGCAUGGCCACUCAAAUUAUUGAUUGGCUGGUGGCACCCCUAUUGCUGAUUGACGUAGCAAUUGGAUUGUCAUUGGACCACGUGGCCACUCAAAUCAAAUUGAAGAUGGGCAAUGCUUUUUGCUUUAUCCUUGCCUUUUGCUUUACCCACCCCAUUAACAAAAAGGAUUGAUACUGUCACGUUAGAGUCAAAUUGUUCACAUUGGAAAUUAGUUUCCACAUGAUGCUUUUUCAAAAGAGCCACGCAAUCACCCCCUUUAAUUGGCUACUUUUGCAAGGUGUUCAUAUCGGAAAUUACUUCGUCUCUUGCCUCAAAAGAUAAGUCGGAUGUGCUUAAGAUACACACAAUCCUGCCGUGGAUUUGUGCGUCUUUGAUGAGGAAAUUUACUUCUUUAACAGACUAACCCUUAUCUUUUGUUAGCUCUCUUUAUAAUGAGAUCACAUCGCCAUGCAAAUCAAAGUGAAGAUGGACAACAUUUGCUUUCCGUUCCCGUUGAAACAAAAGUCGCUAACUACUAGAGGCGUUGAAAUGUUCAAAAAUCUACUAUUUAACUCAUCUCUAGUGACUUGGAUCAUAUAUGGAUUAGUUAAAAUUUUAAAAGUAGGUUGUUAUGAAUUUAAAAUAAAAAAAAUAAUUUAAUAUAUAUUUUAAUGAGUUUGAACCAUAUCUCUAUGCAAUUCAUGUUAAUUGAAAAAGAGAAAAUAGUAAUGAUUUUUCCAAUUGCUUUCACGGGGCUCCUUCUUAGUUGGUCUUAUGCUCGAGUGUGGUAUCCCUGGCACAUGGAACCCAUUGUAUGUGGCACGACAAUUGCAGAAGGGCACGACAAUUGCAGAAGCUUUUUUCCAAACAUGAUUUUUCUCGCGAUAUCAUUUAGUUCCAUGCCCAGAUGACGACAUCAAUUAAAGGGAAUUCAGCCAAACCUCCUCCUUACACUUAAGAACGUAAGGAAUUAAACUGAUGUCAUGUGAUUAAUAUGCACACACAAAUUUUUUAUCUUACGUAUUUAGGGAUUAAAAUUAUGGUGAAUAUAAGGGAACGAAGAAAGCAUGGGAAAAUUAUCAAAAAAGUCCUAAACCAAUUGCACAUGUGCCAAUUCAGUUUUAAACCUUUUAAUUUAACUAAUUUAGUACUAAACAUUUUGACAAUUUGUCAAUGUAGUCUAUCUAAUCAAUUUUGGCUGGAAAUUGUUGACGUAGACGCUAGGUAUCUUACACGGCACUACGACAUUGACAUAAAAAAAAAUUGAAAAUUUUAUUUUUGAAAAUUUUAUUAAUUAUUUUAUUUUUUCUUUGUUAAGAGCUAGUGAGGAGUGCUAGCUUGCCACAUAGCAAGGCCCCACGAGCCCUCAUCAACAGUUAAUGAGGGUUGCAACUCUUGCUUAGUGGACAAUGAGGGCUACAAGGGUCACAAUCAUUGCCCAGCUAUGAACGAGGGUCGUGAGCCCUCGACCAUUUGGUUAAUGAAGGCUUGUUGUCCUCACAUGCAGCUUCACCUAUCAAUCACUAGGCAAGGGUUGCGAGUUGCCCAAUGGCCAAUGAAGGAUCACUACCCUCACAUGUGGCAAGCAAGAGCCGAGAGGCUUCCCUAGCCACUAAGCGAGGGUUACGAGUCCUUGCCAGUCAUGUCACAUAGGAUGCCCAUUAUCCACUUUAGCAAUUUUUUUGUCAAAAUUGGCAAGAUGGACUACAUUGGUAAAUUGUUAAAAAGUUGAUGAUUAAAUUGGUUUAAUUGAAAAGUUUAAGAUUGAAUCGACACAAGUGUAAUAGGUUUAGGAUUUUUUUAUAAUCCCCCAAAUCAAAUCACAUAGAAACCACACUUAAUGAUGAGUUUCUCUAAUCCAAUCCAAUCCACGUAAAUAAGGUGUUCCUAGAAAUUUUCUGCACAUUAAACUAUGUUAGGAUGAAAGAAGGUCACCUUCCUCUCAUGAAGUUAAUGAUGGGUCCUAGACAAAAAUUAAUACAUUGGGGACCAUCUCGUGGUUAGACCAAUCUAUAAUAGAGCAUUUUAAUUUAAUCUUUAAAAUUGAUUUGUGGAAGAAUAAAUUUUAAUCAAACUAAGUUAGUGGAAGACUGAAGGGACAUUGCUGUUAUUCACAACCAAUGACAGAUUCGAAUUGCAAUUGUCAGAUAUACUUCUUUUUCAAAAGGAUCUCAUGCAAUCAUACAAGCCACUGAACUCAAGAAUGGCGGGCGCCUUCUUUUUCAAAAGGAUCUCAUGCAAUCAUACAAACCACACGACGAUUACCCUUUAUUGCGAUGGGAUUUAAUUAUUUAGUAAUUGAGGGACAAGGAGCAAUUGCAGAUGCUUUUAGUCCUUGCCUUUAUCUACUUUGAGACCUCACCCUCUAGUCAAGUCAAACUUGUUGGCUUGGUGCACUCUCCAUGCUGUGCGUUAAUUUCUAAAUAGGGUUAUAAAAAAAUUAGAAUAUGUUUUCAAACACAUUCCAUUUGUUUAAAAAUAUAAGCGUAAGUUCGAUUAUUAUUUGGAUAUUGAAGAUCAGAAUUUCAUAAAUCAUAUUGAGUUAAAACGGAUUUGGAAAUGGAUAGAAGACGUGGAAAAAGGAUCUUGUGAGUACCUGAGCCUUUAAAGCUCAAGAAUACAUCAUCAGAAUCACUUUCCCGUGUUGGUGUUGGAUAGAUGAACGAAUAUGUAGAUGCUCCAUUAGUGCUCUUAUUUUCUGCAUUUGUAUCGCUUCCACUCUUUUUCCUCUUCUUGAGAAGAGUACAACCUAACCCAGAUCAAAGAAUUGGUACAACAAGCACCAUAGAAGUGUUAGCUGGGUUCACUCCUAUGUGGAGGAGACCCAAUGAGUUGCAAGCCCAAAAAGGGCUUGAGCCCAUAUGAUAAGUUAUAUGAGGAAAUAGGGUUUCUCACUAUCUAUAUAAAGAGGUAGGCGCAAAAAAAAAAGGAAACAGUAACAAGAGAAAAAAAGAAAGCAGAAAAUCUGGGGUUUGGGGCAAUAUCUGAUUUACAUCAAGCUAGCGUCAGAUGUCGAUUCGUGAUCCGAUUGAGCUGAAAUUUUGUCAGCAUGUUCGUGGUACAAUUUUAUCGAAUCUGAAUGGUUUGAUUUUUGUUUGAAGCUCCAUACAUCAGGUUUUUAGUGGAUUGAUCAAAACCUACGUUUUUGGUCAGAUUUAUCCUUGAUCUCUUGUGAAGUUCAUGUGUAUUGCCAAGAAUUAUGUUCUUGAGGUGUUUGCUAUUAUGUACCUCUAGUAUUUACUAGAGAAUAACAAUUUUGUUGAUAGUAAAGAAUUUCGGGUGGACUCCAGUCCCGUGGUUUUUGAUCUCCUCACAUCGAAGAGGUUUUCCACGUAAAAAAUCGUCUUGUGUUCGCGUGCUUGGUAUUUAUUUUGCUCUACUAUAUCGAUUCCUAUUAGGUUUACAUAAGAUGGGAGAUUAUUUUAUUCUGCUGCGUUGAUUCGAUAUUGUUCGAAUUGUUACCGUUCUCCCAUCAGAGUGGUAUCAGAGCAUCAGGUUAUUGCUUGAUUUUUCUGCCUUGUGUUAAACAAUGGAAAUGAAUACGAGUAGAAUGGUUACACUGAAUGAUUCGAAUUAUCAUAUUUGGAAAGGGAAGAUGGAAGAUCUUUUAUAUGUGAAAGAUUUUUAUUUGCCCGUAUUUGCCGAGGAGAAACCGGAGAAUAAAACUGAUGUUGAAUAGUCUAUAUUUCAUCGUCAAGUGUGUGGUUAUAUCAGGCAAUGGGUAGAUGAUAAUGUUUUGAACCAUAUUAUUGAGGAAACACAUGCACACAGUUUAUGGGAUAAGCUCGAACAGUUAUAUGCUCGAAAGACUGGGAAUAAUAAGUUAUUUUUGAUAAAACAGAUGAUGGCUCUGAGAUAUCAUGAUCGUACUCGUUUGAUUGAUCAUUUAAAUUCUUUUCAAGGAAUUAUAAAUCAGUUGGCUGCGAUGGAAAUCAAGUUUGAUGAUGAGAUACAAGCACUAUGGUUACUUGGUACUUUGCCGAACUCCUGGGAGACAUUCCAAACAUCUUUGUCUAACUCUGCCCCAGAUGGUACGAUUACCAUGGAUCUGGCCAAGAGUAGCAUUUUGAAUGAAGAAAUGAGAAGGAAGACACAAGGAUCGUCCUCUUCACAUUCUGAUGCCUUGGUUGUUGAGAAAAGGGGGAGAAGUGAGUCUCGAGGUCUGAGAAAUAGAGAUAAAAGUCGAGAUAAAAGCAAAGGUAAGUAUAAUAAAUUUGCUAAUGUUGAGUGUCAUUAUUAUCAUCAGAAGGGACAUUCAGAGGUUUUUUCGCCAGUUAAAAAGGGAGAAACAAAAGGAGAAAGGUAAAGAGAAGAAAAGUGAUAAUGACAGUGAUGAUAAUCGUGUCGCUGCACUUAAAGAAGACUUUCUCACUAUUUUUUAUGGUGAUGUGGUGAAUUUUGUAUCUCAUGAAACCAGUUGGGUAAUUGAUAAGGGUGCAUCCGUUCAUGUUACGUCUUGUAGGGAUUUCUUUACAUCAUACAGGUCAGGUGACUUCGGAUAUGUGAAGAUGGGAAACAAUGGACUAGCUCAAGCUGUAGGCAUCAGUGAUGUGUGCCUAGAAACCAGCAAUGGCACAAGGUUAGUAUUGAAUAAUGUUAAACAUAUACCUGAUAUCCGCUUGAAUUUGAUUUCUACAGGCAAGUUGGAUGAUGAGGGGUAUUGCAACACCUUCAGUAAUGGUCAAUGGAAGCUCACCAAACGUUCUCUUGUUGUGGCUAGAGGUGAAAAAUAUUCUUCAUUGUACAUUAUGCAGGCAAAGUUGUUCACAGACAAAAUUAAUGCAGUAGACAACGAAGAUGCAACUGAAUUAUGGCAUAAGAGGCUCCGUCACAUUAGUGAGAAGGGUUUGUCAAUAUUGGCCAAGAAGAAGCUCCUUUCAGGAUUAAAAAGUUCAGCGCUAAAGAAGUGUGCUCACCGUUUAGCAGGAAAACAGAAUAGAGUUGCAUUUAAAAGCUCCCCUCCUUCAAAAAAGUCAGGUAUAUUGGAUUUAGUGCAUUCUGAUGUUUGCGGUCCUAUGAAAACAAAAUCACUUGGUGGCUCUCUUUAUUUUGUUACCUUCAUAGAUGAUUUUUCAAGGAAAAUUUGGAUUUAUACCUUGAAAACUAAAGAUCAAGUGUUAGAUGAUUUUAAGCAAUUUCAAGCUUCAGUUGAGAGACAAACUGGAAAGAAAUUGAAAUGCAUCAGAACUGAUAACGGGAGAGAGUAUAUUGGACCUUUUGAUGAAUAUUGUAGACAACAAGGUAUUCGACAUCAAAAGACACCUCCCAAGAUGCCUCAGUUAAAUGGCUUAGUUGAGAGAAUGAACAAAACACUGAUUGAAAUGGUACGAUGCUUACUUUCACUGUCAAAGCUACCUGGAUCCUUUUGGGGUGAGGCUUUAAGUACAGUUGUACAUGUAUUAAAUCUUACUCCAUGCGUUCCUUUAAAGUUUGAUGUUCCUAACAAAGUUUGGAUAGGCAAAGAUAUUUCUUAUGAUUAUUUGCGUGUCUUUGGGUGCAAAGCAUUUGUGCAUAUUCCCAAAGAUGAGAGGUCUAAACUUGAAGUGAAUACACGAUAGUGCAUUUAUUGGUUAUGGACAGGAUAUGCUUGGCUACAAAUUUUAUAAUCCGCUUUAAAAGAAAAUUGUAAGAAGCAGAGACGUGGUGUUUAUGGAAGAUCAAACAAUAGAGGAUAUUGAAAAAGCAGAGAUGAUUUCAGCACCACAGAUUAGUGAUAAUCUGGUUGAUUUAGAUCUAGUUCCUCUUACAAAUAUUCCUACACAGGUUGAUGAAGAGUAGCAGGAAGUCAACGUUCCAAAUAACGCACAUGUUCCUGAACAUGUUGAAACAGAUAAUACUAUUCCUGAACCAGAGGCUCAAUUAGAUGUUCCACUGGAUGUUUCAGUCCGGAGAUCCGUUAGAGACCGACGACCUUCCACCAGGUAUUCUGAAGAUGAGUAUGCAUUAUUGACUGAUGCAGGUGAACCGGAGUGCUAUGCAGAAGCAAUUGAAGAUGAGUAAAAAAGCAAUUGGUUCAAUGUUAUGCGAGAUGAGAUGCAAUCACUUUAUGAUAAUCAUACUUUUGAGUUGGUGAAGUUACCUAAAGGUAAAAGAGCUUUGAAGAACAAGUGGGUAUAUAGGUUGAAGCAAGAUGAACAUACUUUACAACCACGGUACAAAGCUAGGUUGGUUGUUAAGGGAUUCGGUCAAAGAAAGGGUAUUGAUUUUGAUGAUAUAUUUUCUCCGGUAGUGAAAAUGUCUUCUAUCCGUGUGGUACUAGGCUUGGCAGCUAGUCUAGGUUUGGAAAUUGAGCAAAUGGAUGUUAAAACGGCCUUCCUACAUGGUGACUUGGAGGAAGAGAUAUACAUGGAACAACCUUAGGGUUUCAAAGUGAAAGGGAAAGAGGAUUAUGUGUGCAAAUUGAAGAAAAGUCUAUGUGGCCUAAAACAAGCACCGAGGCAGUGGUACAAAAAGUUUGCGUCAGUUAUGAUAGAACAGGGCUAUAAGAAGACUUCCUCGGAUAACUGUGUGUUUGUCCAAAAUUUUUCUGAUGAUGACUUUAUUAUUCUCUUGCUUUAUGUUGAUGAUAUGCUGAUUGUUGACAGGAAUGCUUCAAGAAUUGAGUUAUUAAAGAAACAGUUGAGCAAGUCUUUUGCCAUGAAAGACUUGGGCUCGGCGAAGCAGAUUCUUGGCAUUAGAAUUACCCGAGACAGAGAUGCUAAGAAGUUAUUUUUGUCGCAAGAGAAAUAUAUCGAGAAGAUCCUUCAGAAAUUUUACAUUGACAAGGCUAAAGUGGUUAGUACUCUUCUUGCUGCCCACUUUAAGUUAAUUAUGAAGCAAAGUCCUACGACUAAUAAAGAAAAAAAAAGAUAUGGAAAGUGUUCCAUAUGCUUCAGCUGUAGGAAGCUUAAUGUAUGCGAUGGUAUGUACACGCCCAGACUUGGCGCAAGCAGUUGGCGUUGUUAGUCGCUAUUUGUCAAAUCCAGGCAGAGAGCACUGGAAUGCAGUGAAGUGGAUUAUGAGGUAUCUUCAGGGAACUUCAAAGUUGAAACUCAGUUUCGGGACCGGGAAACUUGAGUUAGUUGGAUACACAGAUUCCGACUUGGCAGGAGAUAUUGAUACUCGUAAAUCUACUUAUGGUUAUUUGAUUUCUUUUGCUGGUGGAGCUGUGUCAUGGAAGUCAAGAUUGCAGAAGUGUGUUACACUUUCUACAACCGAAGCUAAAUUUAUUGCAGUGACUGAAGCUAGUAAAGAGAUGCUAUGGAUGAAGAAAUUCUUAGAAGAACUUGGGUUCAAGCAAAAGAGGUACGUGCUAUUUUGUGAUAAUCAAAGCGCAAUUCAUCUUGGUAAGAAUUCAUCCUUUCAUUCUAGAUCAAAAUAUAUUGAUGUUAGAUAUCAUUGGAUAAGGGAUGUUCUAGAUGAAAAGUUGUUGAAACUUGAGAAAAUUCAUACGAAUCAUAAUGGCUCCGAUAUGAUGACGAAGACUCUACAAAGAGAGAAGCUUGAACAUUGCCGAUUGAUAGCAGAGAUGGUGAAUCCCUCCACAUUGUCGUGAGGGGGAGAUUUGUUAGCUGGGUUCACUCCUAUGUGGAGGAGACCCAAUGAGUUGCGAGCCCAAAAAGGGCUUGAGCCCAUAUGAUAAGUUAUAUGAGGAAAUAAGGUUUCUCACUAUCUAUAUAAAGAGGUAGUCGCAAGAAAAAAAAAAGGAAACAGUAACAAGAGAAAAAGAGAAAGCAGAAAUCUGGGGUUUGGGGCAAUAUCUGAUUUACAUCAAGCUAGUGUCAGAGGUCGAUUCGUGGUCCAAUUGAGCUGAAAUUUUGUCAGCAUGUUCGUGGCACAAUUUUAUCGAAUCUAAACGGUUUGAUUUUCGUUUGAAGCUCCCUACAUCAGGUUUUUAGUGGAUUGAUCAAAACCUGCAUUUUUGGUCAGAUUUAUCCUUGAUCUCUUGUGAAGUUCAUGUGUAUUGCCAAGAAUUAUGUUCUUGAGGUGUUUGCUGCUAUGUACCUCUAGUAUUUGCUAGAGAAGAACAAUUUUGUUGAUAGUGAAGAAUUUCGGGUGGACUCCGGUCCCGUGGUUUUUGAUCUCCUCACAUCGAGGAGGUUUUCCACGUAAAAAAUCAUCUUGUGUUCGCGUGUUUGGUAUUUAUUUUGCUCUAUUAUAUCGAUUCCUAUUAGGUUUACACAAGAAGGGAGAUUAUUUUAUUCCGCUACAUUGAUUCGAUAUUGUUCGAAUUGUUACCAUUCUCCCAUCAAGAAGAAUGCCCUAAAAUGAACUGAUGCAUUCUCUCUUUGAUUCGCUUUGAGUCUUUCCUUUAUUUGAAAUGCUCAGGCUCAACUUGACUACUUGUGAAGAAAAGUCCUGAAAUUGAUACUUAUGCGCUGUGUGGAAAUUAAUAGGUAAUUUAUGAAUGUCAAAAAAGAAUACCCAUUACUUAGAUGGGAUCCAAUCUAAUUUUCCCUUCUCAUCUAGUUGUUAUCGAUUGUUUGACCGAUCUUUGCAAAUCUUUGUUAGAAAUUCCUCCCCCCCGGGGCGGGGGUUGGAAAUGCUAUUUUUCCAAAAUUGGUAAAUCAUUCCAUUGUAAUAUAUAUAAGGGUGAAAAUGUAACUAAGAAACUAUAUUACUUUGUCAAUAUUUUCUUUUGCUGAUGCACAGCAACAGAUGGAAGAAAUUUGAGGCACUUCCCAUAGUUCUAUAACUUUAGUACGACACGCAAGUCUUCUUUUUGCAAAGGAGACUUCACACAUAUUCCUAUCUAUCGAGGUCAACAAUGACUCAACCCAGAAAAAUAAAAAUAAAAAGAACUAAGGGUGUAAAAUGAAGCCAGAAGAACUUACAGGAAGGCAAAAUAGAGCUUAGACAAACUUCAGUUACGAAAAUGGAAUUUCCUAACAAAUUGAAAAAAAAAAUAUGGCUCCAAUCUCUCCCAUUCUCCAGCAUAUAUAAAAGUAAAAAAGAAAAACAUUAAUCUCGCCAUCGCUAGGAAGGUUUUUCAAAAAGAGCACUUCGAGCGCACGCUUUUGGCAAAGACUAGCGAUCAAUUCGAUUCCGACUUGUGCACCAUCGAUCAAUUGAAUCACUCGAACAGGUUGACUUCCAUGGAGGAUCGGGGCUUGAAGGUAGAGAAAGCUCGAUUACUGAGCUUGGUGCUCGAGUUCAGCUUCGACAAGCAGUCCACCAACAGGUGCUUGGACUGUCUCAUUUCGCUCCACUGUACUUGAAUCAUUAUUUUGUCAUGCAUUUUUUGUGCUAGUCAACUUUGCAGAUACUAUGUAGGUAUUUCUUGUCCACUAUGAUGAUAGAUCAAUUUGGUUUUGGUUUAUUUUUUAAUAAAUCGAAACUGGUUCAGCGAAGUAGUCUUGCCGACGAGCAAAAUGUUUGGUACCGUUCUAGUUUGAUUGUGUUUAGGUUGCUUUGGAUGGUGGUUUUUCUUGGUCAUUAGCCGGAUGGCAUCUUAAUGGAUGCUUAGAUGUCAAAAAUACUCACUUUCUAUUAACUUAUGCACCCCGUGAUACACCAUCACGUGAAAAACCUUUAUUCUAUCACAUCAUUGCUCUCUUUCCACCACUCCCCCUCCCCCACCAUUGCCAAUCAAUGUCAGCAGCCUACGGUCACUCCCCCGACCAGCGCCAACGACGCCCUCCGCAACUUAGCCCCCAUCUUUGUCUGCAUCUCUCUCUCUCUCUUCUUUGUCAUGGCCCAACUCAAAAAUAGAGGCGUCUUGCUCAAAGUUGUAAUCAUGCUUGACUAGAUCGAGCGUUGCGUUUGAGUAACGCUGGCAUGCAUCGAGCUAGACGCGGCAUUGGAGCUCAAUUAGAUAUGAUGUCAAGCCCAAGCGAUGGGCCAUCAUAUGAGGACUCAUUACUUAAGAAUAAAUAUGUUAUUGCAACAAUCUAGCGUGAUGCCGAAUUAGAUCUAUGGGAUAUUUCUCCUUACAUAGCAUACUCAUGUCAGUAUUUGCAUUUUGCAAAAGAAAUCUUUAUUAUGAAGAAAAGACUUUUUCAAAGAUUAUAUAUCAAUUUUUGUAUGAAACCGAAUUAAUUACCUUUAAGAAAAUUCUUUGGUGAGGGAAAGCAAGUCAAAGUCUUCCACCAUCUUGCUUGGUUAGUUGCAAAGAAAGCAAUAAGGCAAAAGCCAACAAGACCUACUCAAAAGAAAGGGGGAAAAAGGAAUUGGUGAGGGAAAGCAAGUCCAAGUCAACCACUAUCUUGCUUGCCAGUUGCCAAGAAGGGAUAAGGUAAAAGCCGAAAAGACCCACUCAAAAGAAAAGUGGGGAAAAAGAUUCUAGUGAUUGAAGGCAAGUCAAAGUCUUCCACUAUCUUGCUUGGUUAGUUGCAUUGGGAGACUAGAGAUUAUUAUUUACCGUGAAAAUAUUGUAUAAAUUUAAUUUAUAAAUGAUGUGACGAAGAAAAUCAAUCACAAUAUAAUAAUUGUAUUGAAAUUUGUAUUUGACGAUGAGGCUUUGUAUGGGAUUUGCACGGUUUUUCUUAAGUGUUUUAAUAAAAUCUAGAUGUCUGACAAUGCUACGUAAAUACGCUACACAUCAAACUUUUCAAUUUACCUAUUGACUCCAAAUAACUCAUGUUGAUCUAAUAGCAUACGUGGUAAUGUUAUUGUUCUAUAAUUAUACUCGUUUUCCUUUAAAUUGACAAGAGUGAGCCCAAACAGAUCACGGUUCAUAAAUGUGAAUACACGAAUAUGCGACACAUAUAAUUCUAAAGAUAGUCCAUCAUUAAAAGGUGAGUUGAAAUUGAUAUGUGAAAGAUGUUUGUUACUUAGCAUGGUCAAGAUUAGCUACCUGAUGAAGUUUGUCAAAUUUUCAUCUUUACUUGAAUUCGUAAAAUCCAUUUUCUUUUCCCUCUGCUUGCUCUGCUUAUGUCGUUCGUGAGUUUUUUUUUUUAGAUUUAAAUUAAAUCCAUCAGUUUUGUGGCUCUAGAUUCAAUUUAGCAUAUAUGUAAUUUACGGAAUAAUUCCUCCAUAUUACGAGAGUGCUAUUAAAAGGAGUAACAUGUAAAACUAAUAAGAUUUUGCCUUCUGUUGAGGGUGAAACCUGUCAUUUUCUGGCUUAACAAAUUAUGGAUACUUAGACUGAUUUGGAAAAAUCUGAUUUAGCCGACUUUUAUUGGAUAGAAACCAUAUGAAGUAAAGGCAACUCGGUGCUCUCUAAGUGUACUCCAGAGCAAUAUUAAGAUAAAUGGAAUAACAUUGGAUCUUUGACUCUUCCCUCUUUCAUCGUUGACUGAGAUGGGACAUCAACGACCCAAAAUGGUAAAGAGGAAAAAGGAAUAAAUUCAUUCACACCCAUGAUCUUAGUACUACCAAAUUUAAGACUUCGAAAAGAGGUUAAGAAUCUUGGGUUCUACUGAGCAAUGAACAAAAGCAAAGGAUCAACGCAUGGAGAGAAUAAUGAAGAUUGUAUACCUUCACCAGCCAAAAGAUUGAAGGGUCGACAGCAAAAUGCAAGAAAGAAAUCCGGAAGAAAACCAUACGAGACCAUCUAUAAUUUACAAGCAUAUACUAUCCAGGAAACAAUAUGCGUGCCAUUACAGGAAGGGCUGAAAGAUUGUCUUCAAUGCGAAAUAACUGUAGUCAUAUGUCAUCUUUUUAACAUCUAAAAACAACAAUUUCAUUCGGCAAAAUUUGCCAACCCUGUCAUGAAGAGCAUGGUAUCCGAAAAGCACGUCACUCUCAAAUGUACUUUUCAUGCACAUGGCAAGAUAUUACAUAUUGUUGUGCAUCACGACACUGAAAAAUUGACUUGAUCUCAACAUGAAAUUAGCAAUUUUGGCAAGAUGAACUCGAUUGACAAAUUGUCAAAAGGUUAAGGAUAAAUUGAAAAAUUUAACACUAAAUUGGUAAAUUGUCAAAAGAUUUAGGGUUUUUUGGACAAUUGUUCCGAGAAAGAUAAGGGAGAAGAAGAUCAUAAGCUCCUUAAAUUGGAGAGUUGCAAGCUGACAAGGACAUUUAAGGGAUCACACCACCUUCAUCCACUAAUCAUACGUUUUUUUUUUUUUUUUUGGUUGGAAUCCACUAAUCAUAUGUUAAAGACAGCCAAAUGUCAUUAGAAUCAGCGACAAUUGUCUUAUUAGGCAGUACUACCAUUUCGGCCUUCUCAUUGUUCACAUGAAGGGCACUGAGAAUAAUAAUGAAACAAGAGAAAGAAGUGUACAAUGAUAUACUCUUAUGUCGGGCAUCAAAUGUGUCCAGCAAAACCAUUUAAGGCUCCGUUGCCUCCAAAAUCAGAUCACCAAGUUUUGUAUCUUCAAGCUAACUUUGAAUGGUAGUUGCAGAUCACUUCUUUUAGGAACACUAUCGGGGAAAUUUAACAUGUGAGCAUCCAAAGGAUCAAGCAUUUCCUUGUGCUGAUAUAUCCAGCAAUCUGGUCAUCCAAUAUGGGCAAACUAUGCGAUGUUGGAAAGCUCUUGCAAUGCACAACCCAAUUAUAGCGAUCGAUCAUAAUCUUAGCAGGGGUUAGGUUUUGAUCAAAAUCAAAGUCGAAACUCAAUGAAAAAAAAUAGGUAUCUUCAAGGUCAACAGUCUUUAAUGAAAUAAUAAAAUUUAUCCACGUCCAAUAUGUGUUCGGAUGGAGGGAAGGGAAAGAAAAUGGGGGGUAGUAAUAAUCUAGGGACUUUUCUUUAGAGGCGGAGCAACAAGGGAUGAACUUGAUUUUCUAAUCCCCGUAAUAGUCAAAUGAUUCUUGUACGUCUUUCUAAGUUAUAUUUUAAAUGCAGGAGUAUUCUUCAGACCAGUUGAAAAGUGCAUGACAUACGGUUUCCUUCCAUUAAACCAAGUAUUGCAGUUUUUACUGAAAAUGCAGAAAUGGUAAAAUUGCAUAACAUAGGGUUCCUUUCAUAAACCACGCAAUGCAGUUUUUUCAUGAAAACACAGAAAUGGUAGGAGUGACUUACCUUUGUUCUUUUGGUCAUAGACUUACCUUGUUUAAACGCUAAAUAAUCCAAACGGCCAAUUAUAUUUUUCCUUAGCUCCUGCACCUUCAGAAUUAAGGGAAAAAUUAAAUUACCUUAUGGCAUCUUAUUCUAUAAAAUUGGAUCAAGCGUUGAAUGGAUUUCCAAGUUGAUUGUUAUUUUGAACAUUCAUCGAAAUUGUUUGGAUGGGUGAAUUAUUUCUAAUAUAUCGCAUAUUGGCAUGUUGGAUUAUGAUAUAUAGAAAUUGGAUUAAUGCUCAUUGUCGAACUACAUAUUGAUAUAUGAUAUAUGUUUACCGAUGAUUCUGAUUUGGGGCUUAAUCACAGCCAAUGUGAUUUAUGAGGCUUAAACCACAGCUGAUAUAGUAUUUGGGCCGUGUCACAUUACGAAGCAUGGUUGAGAUUGGGCAUUAGGGCAUGCCAGGGACGACACCACUUGGGCAUUGUUGGUCUGCACCUAGUUUAAAAAAAAAUCAAUAAAAAAUAAUUUUUUGUUCGAAUAUUAGAAAUAAUGAGAGAUUAAUUGAGGAAAAUUAAUAAAAACACACAUUCUGUUAAACCCAAUUAUGGCACAUCUUCAAAUAAUUUUAAAAAAAAUUACACUUAGUGGUGCUCUAAUUAAUGGCUCCACUCAAAUGUCCCUCACCAUGAUUCAAGUAAUAUAGUGUCAUUGUUGUUCUCACGUCCAUGUUGGGUAUAUUCCUCUGGAGUUAAUUCUUGUAAAAACUAAUUAUCCCCUACGGUAACCAUUUCUAAAUUUUACGCAAACAAGUUGGAUCUAUUUGACUUCCAAAAGUGAGCUUGUAAGGAACAUAGAUUUUGAAGAUGCCGUGUACGCCGGUAGAAUGAGUGAGUCACAAGCCAUAAUAGAUACAAUCAGAAAAGUGGUAGCUCACCUCUUCCACUAUUUCAGGUCCUCAAGGUUAUUUUCGCCAAUUCUAUCACUAUGCUUGGAGUAGUCUAGUACUACUCCAACUCAUUGGUAAACAAUGAAGAUGAAGACUUAGCAGGCGGUGGGGUGUUUUCCUACUUAUGUAACAAAGACCUAUAUGGGUGUUUUCCUAUUUAUGUAACAAAGACCAUAUAGGUUUGUGGGUACUACUCAAAGAGGCUGCGUUCUUUGCACGUGAGAUGGAACUUGUCAUAUGAUAUCAACCGGCAUAUGCCACAUACAUAUUUGAGAGUCAUCUCAUUGUUAUUGCCAAUUUGUGUUCCACUUGGAACUCCUAACUAAGUCCCAAAUGUUUGUAAUAUGAAACAAAAAGAGUUUCAAGCUCCUCCAACUUGAACCUUGGAUCCAAGAUAGUGGCCACCAAAAAAAAGUGGGAUGUUUUUGUAAUAUAUAUGGAAUUUCACCUUCAUGGCCACUACCAUCUCGUUGAAAAGGGAUCACCCUUAUUGUUUGCCAAUUCAAUUCACAUUAGGUAUAGAAUUGGAAGGACUCGAUUGCUUGACCACUAAUCCAAAUCUUCAGAUUUCAAUCUUCAAUAGAUUCUCAGAUUUUCACGUGGUUUGCAAGUUCAUUCUCGCAUUCCAAGGUCCAAGAGGAGUAUCAAUGGAACUGAUCCACCUUUAUGUAAAACAAGGAGAGAAUUAUCAAAAAAGUCCUAAACCUAUUGCAAUUGUGCCAAUUUAGUCCUAAACUUUUUUUUUAGACCAAUUUAGUCCUAAACCUUUUACAAUUGUGCCAAUUCAGUCCAUCCGGCAAAAAUUGGCCGGCCGGUACUGACGUGGACACCGGCCGUCCGGCGAACGCUAACGUGGCAUUUUAAAAAAAAAAAUUUCUAAUUUUUAUUAUUUUUAUUACUUUUUAAUUUUUUUUCCCUAUCAUUUUCUUCACCUCCUAGCCGGCCAUCGCCAGCUGGAGGCGACCUCGCCGGCCAAUGGCAAGGCUCGCCCCCGCUUGCCGGAGGCGAGGGCUAGCGAGGUCAACCUCGCCGGCCAUUGGCAAGGGCGAGGCCCCGCCAGAUUUGGUGAGGUCAGCCUCUCCGGCCAUUGGCGAGGGUGAGGCCCGGCCAUAUCCAACGAGCUCAGCCCUCGCCAGAUCUGGCACGGCCUCUCCCAGCCAAGGUGAGGGUCGACCUCGCUAGUGGCCAGCGAGGCUCCUCGCCUGCCAUCCAAAAUGCAGCGACGAUCGGAAGUUGUGAGCUCGCUUGCACUUCGAAGGCACAAUCGCAAGGCACGGAUUGAGGUGGAGAGAGAGAACAGUUUCGAGCUAGCAUGAGAGAGAGAGAGAGAGAGAGAGAGAGAGAGAGAGAGAGAGAGAGAGAGAGAGAGAGGGAUAGUCACCCAUAGAUCUUCCGGUUGAGGAGGUCACCUCGCCGGCCACUAGCAAGGCCCUGCCGGAUCUAGUAGGGCCUCGCCCUCGCCGGAUCUGGCGGGGCCUCGCCCUUGCUGGCCCUCGCCUCCGGCUAGCAUCGGCCGGCUAGGAGGUGAAGAAGAUGAUGGGGAAAAAAAAUUUUAAAAAAAAAUUAAAAAAAUAAUAAUAAUUCAUAAUAAAAAAAAUUAAAAAUGCCACGUCAACGUUCGGCUGACGGCCAGCGUUCACGUCAGCGCCGGCCGACCAAUUUUGGUCAGAUGGAUUGAAUUAGCACAAUUGUAAAAGGUUUAGGACUAAAUUGGCCAAAAAAAAAAGUUUAGGACUUAAUUGACACAAUUGCAAUAGGUUUAGGAUUUUUUUGGUAAUUCUCUCGAAAAUCACUAAAUCUGGGCAGAAUAAGAAUGCUUAUGGAGGAAGUAAGUAUUAUACCUAUACACUAGCACAAGAACAUAGGCAGCUGAAGGGAAGAUGAAAAUGCCAAAACUAACUAGGUGAAUCUGCAAAUCUAUACAAAGCUACGACACACCAUUUUGAUUUGGAAAAAUUCCUCCAUGCUCUUCGCAACUCAAAGCCACCUAAGGAUUGGCAAGGAUCAGUCUAAUGAUCAAUGACAACCAGAUCUGAUAGGAAAAUGGACCAGAUCUCGUCUAAUUUAUUGUGAUUUGUUUUGGUAUCGGUCAUUUUUCUUACUAAAAGUAAUCUUUUAGUAACAUAUCAUCUCAUAAGUUUUUGAACACAACAUAAUUUUCUUUUUGUAGUUGUAAGCUCUGUAGAUUCUAUAGUUUAUAAUAUUCCAUUAAAAAUUGUAAUCUACCUUAUAGUAAAUUUCUUUUCUUAUUGUUAGUAAAUUAUCUAAUGGAUCUUAACUUUCGUUCAGUGUACAUAAUCUUCCUCACUAAUAGUAAUUUAUUUGUAAAAUAUCCUUUUGUAAUUUUUCUUAUGGAGGAUGUAAUUUUUGUUUGGAGGGCAUAAAUCUUUGGCGUCUUACUGAACGGAAANNNNNNNNNNNNNNNNNNNNNNNNNNNNNNNNNNNNNNNNNNNNNNNNNNNNNNNNNNNNNNNNNNNNNNNNNNNNNNNNNNNNNNNNNNNNNNNNNNNNUAGAUUUGACGGACCAAUUUUUUCCCCUUCUUAUCUAAUGAUCCACGUUGAAUGCGGGACCAGUAUCAUAAAAGAAGAGCUUAGACUUAUGGAAUUUCCGUUGCAAUCAUGACAUUUCGGCUGUAGCAAAAUAGUAUUUUCUUUUUUGCCAAAUAGUAAAGUAGUGUUGGAAACCUAUUUUUCGGAAUUAUUUGGAGUUCGUUCUUUUGAAAUAUAUAUAUUCCAAAUAUAUAUAAACGUAAAAGGUAAAAAUGUAAAUUAAGAGUCCGUUCGUUUCGCGGAAAAUAUCUUCCAGGAAAACAUUUUCUGGAUUUUCCAACGUUCGUUUCAUCAAAAAUGAAUCAGUCAAAGAAAAUAUUUUCCAUUAUUGGAAAAAAACAACCUUUAAAAGUGAGGAAAAUGUUUUCCACUCCACCUCUGAGAAGUGGAAAACAUUUUCCAUAACUUCUUCCAUUUUGCUUCUUUUUACCAAAACAUUUUUGUUUUAUUUUUAUGCUUUCUUUUUCUUUUUUUCUUUUGUUUUAAAAAAUCGAGUUUUUUUUUUCCUUUUCUUUUUUUCUUUUCUUUCUUUCCUUUUCAUCUUCUUCUUUGGCCUUGGCUGGUCACCAACCACAGCAGCGGCAGUGGCAGCCGGCCGCAAGCCAGCUCAAGCCUCACCCUAGGCUAGCGAGGCUCCGCCUAGCCAAAUCCGGCGAAGCCGAGCUCGGGCCUUGCCAAAUCGGGCGAGGUGGAGCUCUCGUCGGCCUGGGGUGGGAGCUCACGACUCACCAGAUCCGGCGAGCUGGGCGGGGCUCAGGCCUUGCCGAGCUCACCAGAGAUUCGCUAGGCUCUGGCGACGAAGCUUUGGGCUCUUGAUCCAAGCGAGCCCGAGCUCCGCCGCCAGAUCCGGCGAGCUCGCGGCUCGCUUGAGCCCGAUGAAACUCUGGCGAGCUCGGGCGAGAUCGAGUGAGCCUCGAGCUCGCCGGAUCUAGCGACUAGGUCUUGGUUGGUCGCCAAGCAAUCAGCCAUCAUCAAGCAUGCGGCGACGGAGGAAGGAGGACAAAGAAGGAGGAGGAAGGAGGAAGGAAAAGAAAGAGGAAAAAAGAAAAAAUAAUAAAAUAAUAAAAAUUUUGAUUUUUUAAAAUUACAAAUAAUUAAAAAAUCAUUUUAAAAAAUAUAUAAAAAACUAAUUUUUUGGUCAAUUAAAAAUAUUAAAAUUCAAUUUUUGAUCAUUUUUCCCAAACAAUUAAAUUAGCUAACGAAUGGUAGAAAAUAUUUUUCACUCAAAGUUUAGGUUUCGGCCGAACACCGGAAAAUAAAGUCAUUUUCCUGAAAAAUGACUUCUAGGAAAAUGUAUUCCGAAAAUAUGACAUUUUCCGCGAAACGAACGGACCCUAAGAUAAGUAUUACUUUAUCGAUUUUUUCUUCCGGAAAACGUUAGGUCUUAUGUAUGCAAAGAAGCCUUUUCCCAUAUUCCUAUCUGCCAAGUUCAAAAAUGAUUCAAACCCAAUAAAAGAUUAACGUAAACUAAAAAGAGCNNNNNNNNNNNNNNNNNNNNNNNNNNNNNNNNNNNNNNNNNNNNNNNNNNNNNNNNNNNNNNNNNNNNNNNNNNNNNNNNNNNNNNNNNNNNNNNNNNNNUUUCAUAAACUUCAGGCACGAAGACGGAAUCGGCUCCAAUCUCUCCCAUUCUCCAGCAGUCCCGCCAUAGCUGGCAAGGUUUUUUGAACAAGAGCGAUUCGGGUGUGCCCGCGCUCUAGAGAAGGUUGAAAUUCCAUUCCUGACUCGUGCAUCAUCGAUCGAUCGAUCACUCAAAUCGCUCCGAACAGGUUGAGAUUCCAUGGAGGGUCGGGGCUUGGAGGAGGUGGAGAAAGCUCGGUUUGCUGAGCUUGGCUCUCGAGUUCGGCUUCGACGAGCAGUCCGCCGGCAAGUGCUUGGACUGUCUCGUUUCCCUCUACGGUACCUCGAAUCAUCAUUACCUCGUCGCCCAUUUUUUAUGUUGAUUAGCGUUUACAGAGGUUGUGUUGGUCCUUCUCGUAGUCUGCUUUAGGUUUGAAUAGAUCGGAGCUGGUUCAACGAAGUAGUCUUGCUGACGAGCGAAAUGUCUGGUGCUGUUCCAGUUUGAUGAGCUUAGGUUGCUUUGGAUGGUGGCUUUUCUUGGUUAUUAGCCGAAUUGCGUGGUAUCUGGUCAUUAGGGAAUGACGUAAUUGAUUGUGUUGCGGGAAUGAUUUGUGAAUUGAUCGAUUGUGCAUUCCUAAAUGAAGAGAUUUAUUGCGGUUAGGUCGUCAUUUUGACGAUGGCCAUGGAAUAUUCUACGUUUUGGAUUUGAAUGGACCGGAGCUGGUUAUUCCUGUCCUUAGUUCUCUGUGGGUUUUGCAGAGUAGUCUUCUUGACUAGCGAAAUGUCUAAUUUGUUUCUGAACUAACCGCAAAUUACAUAUUGUGUAGAUUGUAUUCAUUUGAUCACUUUUUUUUUGUCAUGGAACUUGCAAAAUCAUCUCUCUUUUUUUGGUUUUCUUAGGGCAACGAAGGUCAAGAGUUUAUCACUGUGGACCACUGUGGUGAUGAUUUUCUAGCAGAACUUGCUGAAACAAUGCAAGACAUUGAGGAAUGGGAUGAUUUGCAAGUUGCGGAAUCAGAAGCUUGUGGAGUUUUGACUUAUAUUUUUGGCCAAGAUACCCCUAAUGACGGUGAAUGCAAUGUUGUGACGAUGUUAAUAUUAUAUACGAUUUUCCACGACCUAAAACAAAAUCAAACAUUUCUUGAGGUGGAUUCCUCUGCUGAAAGUGAAGACAAAGAUGAUAUAUUAUAUUUGACAGUACUCUGAGCAAUUCGUCCACUCAACUUCUGGCCAUAAGAUCUUUAGAAUCCAUUGUAUGCUUCUGAAAACUGUGAAGUUGUCUCACUCCUUUCUGCCUCCACCAGUUUGAAGGGAUUAAGAAAAAGAAAGAAAAGCAUUGUGACUUGGCAUGUUUUUUCCCAUGCCCAAAAUUAAUUUGGUUGAUAGUUGUUAAGUUUGUGACUUAAGUUUUGAUUCAUGGACCUGGAUUUGAUUAGUCCUUCUCAGAAAACUCUUAGGAAAUGCUUUCCACUCGUCUCAUUCGUUUUUGACCGACUCUUGCAAUUGGGGUAGAUGAAACUGCCUGUCCCCUUAAAUUAGUGUGUCACUGUUCUUUGCUCUCAAAAUUAUGUCUUUCCUUGAUCAUUUCAAGUUUGCUUGCAAUUCUGCUCAGCAAAAAACCUUACGCAAUGUACCUGUAUAAAGGAUUUAGUAAAUUGCUUAUGAGGGCUCUCAUCCGAUCAAAUCCAUACUAGACACUCCUAACUUGCCAGUUACUUGCACAGUCUAUAAGAUCUAAAAUGACUUACAUAAGAACUGUUUGGUCAAUAAAAACGGUUCAUUCUUGUUUUGGAUAUGUAACAAUAGCUAUAUUUCUCAAAUAAUUUGAGAGUGUGGUACAUCAGUGUUGAACUUAGCAUCCAGCGUCUUUGAUAGCUGUGUUUUGCAAAAUGGAUGCUUGGGAUUUCUUGGUGCACAAUUUUCAUUUUCCAUCACCACGUGUCAGAAACUAUUUAUGGUGCUGAAGAGGCUUAUUUAUGUUGAAGCACUGUAAGAGCACUGUCACUCAUGGUUCGAUAUCAUCAGUUUCAAAUAAAAGACAUCGCUCUCGGAUUUUGACAUGCAAACAAGGAACUCUGAGUUAUGAGGAAUUGCAAGCCUUGGAUGACAUAGAAUUGGCAAAUGUUGUAAUAUUCGGAAAUAAGGCAUUUCGACCAAUGUAGCAUCAGGCUUGCAAAGCUUCUAUAGCCAAGCAAGAUUGCUUCAUUCUCAUGCCCACAGGAGGUGGUAAAAGUUUAUGUUACCAGGUCAGCGAAAGUUAACAUUAUUUCAUUUGUGUAUUGAUCGAAUGUAGAAGUAUGCAUGAAGACAAUGUUUAGAGCACAAGCCCUGUGCACUUUGGUGAAUGGUUCCACCAAUUAUAUACUAGACGGGUAGACCUAUUUAUCGAAACUCAAGCUAUAAAAUGAUCUUGCAAUCUGCUUUGUUAGAACUGUUGAGAAGUUUGUGCUGAAAUACAGGAUAUUCUUGUUCUGCCUUCGCCCAUCUCUGUCCAUUCCGUAAUUUCUAGAACUUGAGUUUUGUGCUAUGCUUCUAGGACCUUCUAAUUACUUACUAGAAAAUUUAUCUUGUUUUUGCAUGUAAGUGUUGUCAUCAGUCAUAUUUCAGGUCCAAUUCAAAAGGGUUAUCAAGUCAAAGAGGAAUAAGUUUUCAAAAUACUUGCACCAAAUACGGAUUGUAGAUGUCUAUAUAUCCUAUGUAGGUAUGUGCUAUGUCAUCAUCUCAACUAAAGGUGAUCAUUUCCAUAAUUGGUUUGAAAUGGAUGUCCUAUCAUAUAAGAUGGAUCUUGGAAGCAUGCAAAAUAUAGGGUUCACAGAAUCACGAAGGAAGAUAUUAACCUGAAUUUAUUAAGUUGAAUUAUCCUGAAAUGUUGUUUGUUCAGUCUUGAAGUAGUUCAUAUAUGUUUCUAGCUGAAGUAAUUGUAAGACAAAUAGUGAUGACUAGUGCUUUUUGAUCAGCUGUAGGUGAACAAAUAUGUUUUUCCCCCCUCCCUUCAUUUGCUCUUCUGGUGUUUUUGUUGGAGGUAAUAGGUUUGAGAGAGAAGAAGUAGUUGCUUGAAGUAUUACACCAAGAGACGUCAAGUUUGGAACGCUCAACAGUGUUACCUCCAGCGUAGGGAAACCCUAGAGUUUUUAUAUGAAAGUUAUUGGGCUCCGGCCCAUAUAGACCCAAAUAACCAUGCUUUUACCUAUUGGGCUUGUAUGUGAACAUAUUAUUUUGGACUAUAUUAAUAAUAUAUCCAACAAUCUCCUCCUAUGUUCACCAUACAGCACAAUCCAAUAAGGUAGUCAGUGUAAUGUUCAUACAAACAUGAAUCAUCCACAUUCAGUCCAAGACAAUUAACUCAAAUCGGUCAAAGAGUAUUCUAGCAGUAAAGUAUUAAACUAAAUCAUCAUAUGCAAUAUAAAUAAGUGAAUCAUUCUUAUCAUGAAUCUGUUCUGAAAUUAACAAAAUCCAAAUCUCAAAAUAAAUCUCAGACUCAGUUCACAACCAAUAUAUGCAUAUUAAUCAAGUAUAAGUAGGCCAGUCAAAAUAGUCCAAGGCCUUACAAGCAUAAUAAUGUUCACAAAAUAGAAAUAGUAAAAUGUAAGUCUCAAGUAAAUGGACUUUAUCAAAAUAGGCAAUAGCAAGUAAAUUGUCAAGUCCCCACACGCUCUGAGUGAUAUAUAUUCAUUCAUCAAGUAGGUCAUCCUGGUCAGGAUCCCACUCAUUAAGCUCUCCUCCAUCUCUGCCAUCCCCUUUAGAAUGUCAAAUAUGAAUUUCAUAUUAUCAUGAAUUCAACCAUUUGAAUAAACACUUAGCACCAUUCCAUCAGGCAGAGAAGAACAUAUAUUGAUGUCAUAAAGCAUCAUAAUAUCAUGUCAUAAGCAUCAAGCCAGUUUCAUAAAUUAUGAACAAGACCUAAACAAUGUGAUUUACAAAGAGCCAUCAACUUAAGUUUAUUUGUAGGAGAAUAACUAUUGUCUAGUUUCAAAGAACAAGACCAAUAGUCAAGUUACUUACAAUAACCUAGUCAUGUAAUAGCAAGUUUCAAUUAAGAACAAGACCAAUAGGCUUCUUAUGUAAACAAUUGUUUCUAUGUUUCAAUUUGGAAUGUCACAAUUACUGAUUCCUUAAAGUCAAAUAAUCUAGCAUCAAGUUUGGAAUGAGAUCAUUUAACCAAAAAGGAUAGUCCAAUCUAGUUGAAUUGUAUCAUCAAGUUUGGAAUGAUACAAUUUUCCCAGAUAGAACAUUUGAAUUAGGUGAAAGUCAUCUUCAUCAAAUUUGGAAUGAGACAACUCACCCUCUUCAAAUUAGUCAGCAACUGUGAACAUCGAUGAAACAUAUAAACUGUGCUUAUCAUUGUAGCCAAUAAAGAAAGAUUUGAUAAUUCAAAACACACAAUUAGAAGGUAAGUAAAUGGUAGUUAAGACUUGCCUAUAUAGUCUUUAACCCCAGUUCCCCCACUGUUUUGAAUAAUCGAUCUUUAGGCAUACCUUUGGUGAGAGUAUCGGCUAUGUUAUCCUUCGAUCUCACAUCGAUCAAGGUGAUAACCCCUUGUUCUCUCAGAUAAUUCAACAACGCAUGUCUCAGUCUCACAUGUCUUCUCUUUGAAUUAAAGAGAGAAUUCUUGACGACUUGGACAGUUGCUCGAUUAUCACAGAAUAGGCUUAAAGAAUUCAUCUUUAGCCGAGUCAAAGGAAUAUCCAUAAUCAGAUUCUUUAUCCACUCUGCCUCUUCACCGGCUGAGGCUAAAGCAAAAAGUUCUGAUUCCAUAGACGACAAUGCAAUACAAGUCUGUCGUUUGGAUUUCCAAGUAAUAGCAGCUCCACCCAAAGUGAAUACAUACCCACUAGUGGACUUACUAUUUCCAAUAUCUGAGCACCAUGAGGCAUCAGAAUAUCCAUCCACAGUUGGAGGAUAACCAGAAUAAUAAAGAGCAUAAUCUUUAGUACCUUUAAGGUAUCUCAUUAGCCUAUUGAGAGCAUCCCAAUGCUCUUUACUAGGAUUACUAGUAAAACAAUUCAGCAUGCCAACUGUAAAAGCUAUGUCGGGUCUAGUGCAACUCAUAGCAUACAUGAGACUACCAAUCAGUUUCGAGUACUUUAACUGAUCCACGCUGGUCCCUUCAUUAGGACUCAGUCUGUUAUUAUAAUCACAUGGUGUCUCACUCGGUUUACACUUAUCGUAUCCCCAAGUAGAAAGUAGCUGCUCAAUAUAAUGAGUCUGGCUAAGGGAGAUAACUUGUCGUUUAAAGCUUACUUUCAUACCAAGAAUGGUAUUAGCAAUACCAAGAUCUUUCAUGUCAAAUUCUUUAGCUAAAGUAGCUUUCACGUCACUCACUACAGAAUGAUCGGAACCAAGAAUCAACAUGUCAUCAACAUACAAGCAAAUGAUGACUAUCUUAUUUGACAUAGAACGAUGGUAAAUGCAUUUAUCUGAAUAACUAGACUGAAAGCCAUAACUCUUUACCACUUCAUCAAAUUUAAGAUGCCACAUCUUAGGUGCUUGUUUAAGAUCAUAUAGGGAUUUAUUUAAUUUACAAACUUUGUCCUCAAGACCUUUCAUAACAUAUCCUUCCGGUUGUUCCAUGUAAAUUUCCUCAUUUAAAUCCCCAUUUAAGAAAGCUGUUUUUACAUCCAUUUGAUGCACUACAAAGUGUUCAAUAGAUGCCAAAGCAAGAAGAAUUCUUAUAGUUGAUAGAUGACACACAGGUGAAUAGACAUCAAAAUAGUCUAUUCCACUCUGUUGUUUAUAGCCUUUAGCUACUAAACGUGCUUUGUAUCUGGCUAUUGAUCUAUCACUAUUCAGUUUCUUCUUCAACACCCAUUUAUAGCCUAUAGCUUUAGCCCCUUUUGGCAAAUUUACUAGCUGACAAGUGUGAUUCUGCAGCAGAGAGCUCAUUUCAUCAUCUAUGGCUUCUGCCCACAGUAGAGAUUCCCUAUAUCUCAUUGCUUCCUGAUAGGAGAAUGGAUCAUCCUCAAGAUGGUAAGCAACAAAGUCCUCACCAAAACUUUUGGGAAUUCUCUCUCUUGUAGAUACUCUAACUGGAGUUGGUUCAAUAGCCAACUGUGUGGAAUUAGUGUCGGAAGGGCCUGCUUCAGAUUCUACAAGAGAUUCUGAAAUCAUAUCUGUAGAUCUAGAAACAUUCAAGCCUUGAUCUCUGAGAAACUUGUUUUCAAAGAACACUGCAUCUCUAGAUUUUAUCACCGUGUUAGUAGAUAGAUCUAAAAACCUAUUUGCAGCGCUAUCUUCUGCACUACCUAGAUAUACACAAGUAAUAGUUCUAGAUCCCACCUUAGGUUUCUUAGGAUCUGGUAUACUUACAUAAGCAAUACAGCCCCAAGUCUUAAUAGUAUCAUAUCUACAAGGGCGCUUAUGCCAUAUCUCAUAAGGUGUCAUGGACAACUUAGAGUGCGACAACCUGUUCAAGAUGUGAUUAGCAGUUAGAACUGCUUCUCCCCAGUAGGAGGAAGGCAUGCCCGCUGUAAGUAACAUAGAGUUUAACAUUUCAGUUAACGUUCUAUUCUUACGCUCUGCAACACCAUUUGAUUGGGGUGAAAAAGGAGCAGUGGUUUCAAGUAUUAUACCUUCUGAAGCACAAAAUUCCUUGAACCUUGACAUAGUAUAUUCUCCUCCUCUAUCACUCCUAAACCUCUUAAUUUUCAAGUUGAGUUGAUUUUCUACUCUAGACUUGAAAAUCUUAAAUUUUUCAAAAGCUUCAUCUUUCGAUUUCAACAAAUAGACAUGACAAUAUCUAGAAAAAUCGUCUAUGAAUGUUAUUAGAUACUUCCGACCACCUUUAGUAAUGUAAUUUCUAAAAUCACAAAUGUCAUAAUGUAUUAGCUCAAGAAGUUGUGUGCUUUUAGAAACCAACUUAAAGGGUUUUCUAGUGAUUUUAGCCUAUGCACACACUUCACACUUAUCAAAUCGAAUAGAAGUAUCUAAUGGAAUGUUAUGAGUUUUAGCUAGAUGUUGCAUUUUCCUGUAAUUCACAUGUCCAAGUCUAUUGUGUAGCAACUUUGGAUCAAUCAAAGUAGAAUUCACAUGGUUUAUGCUAUCGGCAUUUAAACUCAACCUAUACAUACCAUUAACCAUGAAUGCACAACCAAAAUAAUAUGAGUUAACAGAUAAAGUUACUCUACCAUUCAUAGUUGAAAAAGACAUACCAGCUUUAUCAAGUAAACUCAUAGAUAUCAAAUUCUUAUUAAGUAAAGGUACUACUCUAACAUGUUUCAGAGUUAGUAAUUUACUUGAAGAAAGCACCAAAUUUGCAGUUCCAGCAUGAGUCACCUUUGCCUCACCACCAUUGCAAUUUUCCACAGUGUCUUUCACUUCUAUGACCUCAGUGAGUAAAUUCUUGUCAUUUGUAGCAUGACAAGUAGCGCCACUGUCCAACCACCAUUCAGAAGAGAUGCUGGCAUUUCCAUUCUUCAUCAUUCCAAUAAAGGCUCGAGGCUCAGAUCCUCUAAUUAGCAUAUUGGCCUCAUUAUGUGGUGUGUCAUUAUUUGGCUUCCUCGACAACUUACACUCUGCUGCCCAGUGACCCCACUUUCCACAGUUAUGGCACUUGCCCUUCUUCUUAUUUUUGAAGAUAGUCUUUUUGGCCUCUAACUGUAAAGAGGAUUCGCCUUUUGGUGACUUGGACUUUUUCUGAGGUUUAUUGGAGUGUGAAACUAAGUUGGCAACUGACUUUUGUUGUCCCACUUGUUCCAAACUCUUCCUAGUGAUAUUUUGAUCAUCAAUGUGAAUAUACCUCUUUAAUUCAUCCAGUCCCAUAUGUACCUUCAGUCUGUGCAUUUCAAUCUUAAAAGAACUCCAUUCAAUUGGCAGUUUGCUCAACACAAGACUGACAAAGAGAUUAUCGGACAUAUCAGAAUUAUCAUCUUUCAGCUUGUUCCUCAUGUUCUCAAAUUCAACUAACUGAGAGGUGAUGCUUGAAUUCAUGGUGAAUUUCAAGUCAAAGAAUUUCUCUGCUAUGAGAGUUUUAGAUAGCCCCUCUUGUUUUUUGGAACUGAGCGUUCAAGUGAUCCCAUAUCUCUUUCGCCGUCUUAUACUCACUAUAAGUCAUAGCUAGAUUAGGAUUUAGAGAGUUCAAUAAUUAAUCUCUACAAAUAUCCUCAUCUUUGUUCCAUUGAUAUUCAUUCACAUCUUCAAUAGUAGAUGCAAAAUUGCUCAAUACAGUAUAGAAUAUGUCACGUUCUUUCAUGCCAAAUUGAACAUGUAAUUUCCAGCCAUGAAAUUCAAUAACAUCAAAAGAUUGCAACUUUAUAAUAUCAUAGGAACUACACUUUGCCAUUUUAAUCAAAGCAAAGUGUUAGAAAGAGUGUACCUUGAAGUCCUCAGAGCAACAAAGUUGAAUAACUCCCCUAACCUUAAUCAAACCGCUCUGUAGAGAUGGAAUUUGUCAAAACAAACCCAAAAAACGGAUCUGGAGCGCCCAAAAACCUUAAGAUAGAGUGCCCUUGUCGCUGAAACUCGCUGAAAAAUUUCGCCUCCGAAAUUCGCUAAAAAUUUCGUCCCCGAAAUUCGCUAGAAAUUUAGAUGGAAACUUCCGGGUGCCGUAACUUCUCCGUCCGACCUCCGAUUGAUGCGAGUGACCACUCAAAACGUUCGUAUCGAUGAGUAGAACAAAGCUUAAGUGGUUUCACCCUCUAAAAUUGGCUAUAAUUUUUGGGUUUUUGAAUCAAAGAUUUCGGUCACCCGAAUCUUCAAACUUAGAUCCCGGCCAAUAUCACCGUCGAAAUCGAAAGUAAAUUACAGCUGCGAGUUCGUCUUAACGAAAUCUUCAAGAAGACACUUUACUCGCUCAAAUCCGACACACGAACUUAAUACUUCAAGAUUGUUGAAGGUAAUAGGUUUGAGAGAGAAGUAGUUGCUUGAAGUAUUACACUAAGAGACGUCAAGUUUGGAACGCUCAAUAGUGUUACCUCCAGCGUAGGGAAACCCUAGAGUUUUUAUAUGAAAGUUAUUGGGCUCCGGCCCAUAUAGACCCAAAUAACCAUACUUUUACCUAUUGGACUUGUAUGUGAACAUAUUAUUUUGGACUAUAUUAAUAAUAUAUCCAACAGUUUUUACCCUUCAUUUCAGCUGCCAGCAACUCUUAAACCAGGUGUCACAAUUGUUAUAUCUCCCUUGCUAUCUCUCAUCCAGAAUCAAAUAAUUACUCGAACCCUCAAGUACGGAAUACCAUCAACUUUCUUGAACUCUCAGCAAACCGCUGCCUAGGCAGCAGCUGUCCUCCAAGAACUAAGGCAAGGUUUAUCUCUCUCUCUCUCUCUCUCUCUCUCUCUCUCUCUCUCUCUCUCUCUCUCUCUCUCUCUCUCUCUCUCUCUCUCUCUCUCUCUCUCUGUUCCUACUGAAGUAUAUCCUACCAUACAAUCUUUAUCCUGCCAUAAAAUUUUUUGCUCCAUAUGUUGCAAAGGAUGUACAUUUUUAUGUAGUUAUUGAAAAGAUGCAUGCCUAAGAUGUUUCCCUUUAAAAAAAUUUAGCAUCUUAGCCUUCCGAGAGAAGUAUAUCAUACUAUACAAUCUUUGUCCUGCCAUAAAAUGUUGGGCUAUGCUCCAUAUGUUGCAACGGGAUUUCUAUUGGACUUCUAAAACUUUUCUUUUCUUUUUGGCUGAGUGUUGGGAUUGUCAAGUCAUUAAUCUUCACUGCUUUACCUGCCUUUUCAGGAAAGAUAAACCACUGCGCAAGCUGUUGUAUGUAACUCCUGAAAUGAUUGUGGGAAACUCAUCAUUUCUCGAGAUACUGAAAGGCUUGCAUAGAAAGGGACUAUUUCUGAUACAUUGUAACUUUUUCUGAAAGUUUCUUUUGAACUUUUUGAUAUGCGGCCAUCACGCAUUGCAGGCACAACUAACUAGUUUUGUUGUUGAUGAGGCACAUGGUGUGAGGUAUGCUCUUUGGCAUCCUUGUAUCUGAAGCAAAGAUCAUGCUAGAGUUACAUUAAAAGGAAUAAGUAUUUAUGAUGUUCCCACUACAAAAGUAUUGUCCUUGUUUGAGAUACAGAAAAGCAAGUUAACUUUUAUAUAUGCCGACUCAAACUCUUUUUUUUUUGAACAUUUUUACAUCUUCUGUGUUUCUGGCCUAAUUACAUCAUCGAUGUCACGCUGAACCUUCUGAAACCCCUAAAACCCAGACCUUCUGUGGAGUUCUAGUAUAACAGAAUGCAAUAUUGAAAUAACUAAUUAUGGAAAUGGUCUAGUUCCUACUUUUGUGAAAAAUCAGUGGCACAUCAUUUAUCAUAGUAAGCACAAUGCAGACAACUAAAUUUAGCUCCACGGAAAUUACUUUCGGAAGUAAUUGAAAGGGUCCAUGUUUGGCACAAUAGUCAGGUCUUUUACGCUGGUUCUUGUGUCCCUACUUAUUCUUUUAACUCUUAUACCAUGUAUUAACAACUUGAGAUAUAAGGCAAAAGUUCACGCAUGUGAUCAUUGAUUGUGUUUCUUAUAAGGUCUUUAUUGGACUUGCUCUGCCAGUGCGAUUUUGUGAAAGGAACGUAUUGAUGUUUUGAGCUUUUCUCGAAUAUUUGAAUGAUUGUAAAUGAGUAAGUUUAUUGAUCAUUACUUUCUUGAUUGUCAUUAUUGCAGUCAAUGGGGACAUUAUUUUCGUCCAGAUUAUAGGGGACUAGGAUGUCUCAAGCAAAACUUUCCAUAAGUCCCAGUGAUGGCCUUAACUGCAACUGCCACUCAGCCAGUUCGUGAGGUAUGAAACUUGCACAUUAUCCUCCAAAUUAUGUUGAAGAAAUCAUUUGGGUCUGAUUGAAAUGUACAUCCAUUGCAGGAUAUCCUAAGAGCUCUCAGGAUCCCCCAUGAUCUUGUUCUCUAGACAAGCUUUGACAGACCAAACCUAAAAUAUGAGGUGAUAUUUAAGACCAUGGAACCACUGAAGCAGCUUGAAGAGCUGCUAAAGAAACAUUUUGCUAAUUUGUGUGGCAUAGUGGAUCGCCUCUCAAAGAGUGAAUGCAUUGAUAUUGCAAAAUACUUGAAUGAUAAGUGCGGUAUAAAGUCGGUGUACCAUCAUGCUGGAUUAGUGGCCCAUCAAAGAGCAGCUGUUCGAAAGAAAUGGCAUACUGGAGAGGUCCAGGUUGUAUGUGCAACCUUUGCUUUUGGAAUGGGAAUAGACAAACCUGAUGUUGUAAGUUGAAAUGGACUCUAAGCCGUUGCCUAUUUUUAGUUUUAGAGUCAAGCUGACAUGCUGGCAAAUACUCAACUAAUUUGCAUUUUUUUUUUUUUUUUAAGUUUUAGUUUCACUGAUUGGUUUAUUAGUGUGCUUGGAAGUAAACUUUGCUGGUUCCAUGGUCCAGUGGCCUGCUAAAUUGUCAUUCUUGGCUAUUGAUUGCAACUAGCGAAUUAUGUGUUUUUUAUCAAGUCAGAUUCUUUCUUCCAUACAUGGCACUUCGUUGUGCUGAAAUUAAGUUAAACUAGGAUAAAGUUCUUUUCUUUACUGUAAAAGUGGGAAAUGAAUCUGAUCUAAUUUGUUCCUCCGGUUAUAAUUUUUUUAUCAUAUUUCAACUUUGAUGAGUCAGUAAGUGUGUGUGUGUGUGUGUGUGUGUGUGUGUGUGUGUGUGUGUGUGUGUAUUAUUAUUUUUUUUAUGGCAUGUGGUCAGCGUUAUGUCAUCCACAACGCAAUGUCCAAGUCGAUCGAAAGCUUUUACCAAGAAUCAGGGAGGGCAGCAAGAGAUAAUCUACCAGCAUUGUCCAUUGCUCUAUAUGCCAAAAAGGAUUUCAGCCAGGUUGUGUGCAUGUUAAGGUGUGGUCAAGGAUGUAAAACCGAAAUCUUUAAAAGUGCAAUGGCUCAAGCUAGGAAAAUGCAGCAAUAUUGUGAAUUCAAGGUAAUCCAAUUUGUGUUCUCAACUUCAAUCUGAUGAUCUCACCUAAGUGAUGCUUCUUUUUUGUGUUUACACUCCACUUUGUUUUAUUGAUUGCUGUUAAUGUUCGUCUGGCAUUACCCCGUCUGGAUGCUGGAUCAUUAGAUGGGUCUGUUGGCAACAUAUACACAUAAUAAUGGACCCUUUGGGCUAAACUCAUAUUCCGCACACCUAAAUGGAGCAAAGUCUAUUGAUAAACGGGUGUUUCCUCUCUAAUUUGUGAAUUUUUAGGAUGAGUGUUAGUGGCAAACCUUAUUUGUGUGCUUGGUGAGUCUUUGAAUCAGAAAGACUGUAAAUAUGGUUCUAAUCCUUGUGACAAUUGUCUCAAAGCCUCUUCAUAAAGGUAAACAUUUCAGGUGUCAACUCUCUUGAGGGCGAAAGAAGGUACCAACAUAUGCAUGAUCUUGAGCCGCACAGUUCUUCUGGUUCCAUCAUCCGCAAUUAUUGAAAGACCACAUGCUAAAGGAGGGGCAAAGGUCCAUAACUAUGGACAUAGAAUUCUUCAGUUGUGAUGGUCUUGUCAUCACAUGUUUGUCUUUUCCUUUCAUCUGUUGAUACGUUCCUUGUCUAGAACUAAUUAUUUUCGUGAGGGGAACAAAAUGUAGGUCGACAUAUAAACCAGAGAGGCAUAUGGGAACACACCCUCCGGUCUUGACUGCAGAAGAAAAAGUUUCUUGUUUCAGUUCAGCAAAAAUUAACAAUGAAAUCAAAUUAUACAAGCGCAUGUUGCAAUUCUUCUUUCCCGUUUUCAAUUAGUGAUGAAUGCAUAUCAUGACUGCAUCUAAAGUUAGUUUACUUGCAGAUUCAAUUUUACAAGUAGUAUAUCUUAAGAUACAAUCGAUUGGUUGAAAACCUUUAUUGGGGUACGAUCAUCAGUUAAUCCAACUAUUGAACACUGCCGGCUUUCUGGCCAGCAAGCAUUGCAUCGGUGGACUGGAUUAUUCAAGUCAUUAGUGGACUGGGAUCUUAGAUCCCCAUUAUGCUAUAGUUUUUGAGAGAGCACAUGGCAAUGCAUCUAUAAUUCGAUACCAAGAGAUUUAACAUGGUUUUAUUAUUCCUGGGUCAGGGACAGCGUUAGAUUCAUUUUGACUUGGUCAACUGCCCAAUAAUGUUCUCACAGGGCACUUAUCAGUUGUUUCUUUGUUGUAUUUGCUUAACAACUCACGGUGAUGAUUGCAUGUGUGUGUGUGUGUGUGUGUGUGAAUUGCAGCCAACGCUUUGCACUCAGAAGAGUAGUUGGAAUCCGCACGGUUUUGAUGACGACACAGCAUCGCACAAGGCGAGGGAAAUUGACAGUAUUGGCCCAGAAGAAGAUAAUUCAUUUAUUGCCUUUGGAAGUGAGGACAAAAUUGUUCCUCUGAAUGUUAGNNNNNNNNNNNNNNNNNNNNNNNNNNNNNNNNNNNNNNNNNNNNNNNNNNNNNNNNNNNNNNNNNNNNNNNNNNNNNNNNNNNNNNNNNNNNNNNNNNNNAAAUAUAUUGGCCUGGGCGGAAUCUCUUCGGCUUAGGAAACGAAGAAGAAAAUUUGGGGUAUACCCAUCGUCCUCUGAAGACCACAGAGGAGAGCCCGUACCGUAGUAAAUCUUCACGUGAGGGCAAAUAAGUUUUGGAAGCUUGUAAGGGGGUAGUAACUGCAGCUCAGAUUGCAUGGGAUUUUAGAGGAAGAACGGCUGCUACAUGGGUUGAAAUAGAUAAAUGAGAAAUAAACAAAUAAUCCUAUAGAUUCCUGAUAUCAAUUGACAGAAAUCUCUUAUUUUAUAGAAGUGGCAACUAGUUAAUUAAAUGAGAAAUAAACAAAUAAUCCUAUAGGUUCCUGAUAUCAAUCGACAGAAAUCUCCUAUUUUAUAAAAGUGGCAACUAGUUAAUUAUCAUCAAGCUUGGUUGGCUCUAUGAUCACAUAAGUAUCAAAAUUACAAGUUUGAGUUGUGUUGUAACCGAAAGCGAUUGAUUUGUGCCCUUCAGUCCUACUGAAUAAUGAAUUACCGACAUACCAUUUAGUUGCGGUGAUGGAUUUGCCAGCGUCGAAACUUACAUUAUAGGCAAUACUUAAUGAUCAUGACUUAAAUGAAACAUUCUGUAAUGAAUAGGAAAAUUUUAUGGUUACAAUCAGGGAUAAACGAUGCGAAUUGACUAUCUCUACCAUUUAAUAUUUAUUAAAGGAUUGGAAGGCGAUUGUCCUUGUUUAGGAAUUUGAGAUGGUCCCCUUAUCGUUUUAAAGAGGACCCUAGUGGCUAUAACACCAGCUAGUUUUUUGGUUAUGACUCUGAGCUGUGGACCAUGCCACAUCCUUCUAUGUGAUACAUGUGCAUGAUUGUACAUCAUCAGAGAGAUCGAAUUGGAUAAAGUGAUUUAAGUCCCCCAAAAGAAAAGGAAAAAGACAAGUUAAUGAUGACUUUGAUGCGACGAGAAACACUAGUUCGAAUCAGACUAUCUGUCGUGUGGUAUUCCUCAUUUGUACAUUUUCCUUGGCUUAUACCAUAUCUAUUGAAGUAUUCUUUAUCCCAAAUCUUAUAGGGAUUGUACUCAAAUAGUUAUAUUGUUGACUAUAUAUCGUCAUUGCAUGUAUGGAAAUUUCAAAGAACCUUCAAAAUUGGAACCUCUAAAAGGUUGGAUUAUUGACUGUCGAGGAAGGUUUGUACGGUGACUCCAUUUCAAAAUUGGACUGCAACGAAGUCAUUUGGAAUGUGCAUGCAAAUUUCAGAAAAAAGGGACAUGGUCUUAGCAGAUAAGCUACCUAACAAUCCUAAGUCGAUUUUCGAUUAAAUGUUGAGUAUCACGUUGUCUUGUUCUCACAUUUGACUACCAAGACCACAAUUGGCUUUGUUUUUGGUCAACGGAGGGGGUCUACGUUUCAUGCAUGUCAAGUGGCAGUGUUUGUAUGACCAAAAAAAGAAAAUGGCAGUAUUUGACCCUCAACCCAAGACUAUUCUAUAGCAUCGUGUAAGAGGUAAAAUAGGUAAAGAAAAUGAAAAAAAGGAAACACGUGAAUUAUGCUUGAUGUCUUUGAGUACUGUAAUUCAUUUUUUUGGACACGCGCACUAGAGCCAAACGAUUUGUCUUUUCCAUUUCUUUCCCAGCAAGAGAAAAGAUCGUUUAUGAGAAAUUGACGUUAAUAAUCAAUAAACUUUGAUUCAAUAUGUGAUAAUAAUUUAUUCAAUGUGAUCCUUAAAUUAUUCUUUAGACUUGUCAAAAGAAUCAUAGACUUAUUUCUUAAUCCAUAUUCGAUGUGAUGAGCUAUUAUAUAGAUUGGCUAUAUUCCAGAAAAUUGGUCAUAAAUGGUUUUAGGGUGGUAAAAACUAAAAUAAUAUGUUAAAUGGAUUCGCCGCUUACUUAAACUCAAUUCACCUCUAUGACUCUAUUUUUCGUCUUUCGCCUCAUUCAAUCUUGCGCACACUUUACGCUCUCAUCUCGGAUUAAGCAUGAAUUUUCCUAAAUUAGGUUAAAUAUGAAAGUGUUCUAGUCGUAUGGUUAGAUUUGGUAUUAAUUGGCUUGAUUACAAGUCACUAAAUUUGUAUUGCGUUGAAAUGUGUCAAAAUGAGUUAAAUUGAUCAAUAUGAGUCGAACUAUUUUCGACUUAAUCCACUCAUUUGGCGAGUUUACUUUUGUUGAUCAAAUAAGGAAGAAAGUCAUCACAUUUCCCUAAUUUAUUACCAAAUGUGCAAUCUAGUCACUUAAUUUAUUUUUGUCACUCUUUCGAAUUGAAAUGUAUCUUCUUGAAAAAAAUCGCGACAAGGUAAGUAAAUUAUAUGACUUUAUUUUAUUUUAUUUUUUAAGUUGGAAUACCAUUUUGUGUAACUCGUUCUAUAAAACAUUAUUAAUUACAGCAUGAUAUGCCAACAAAUUUUUUAGCCCAAAAGAACAUACUCUCUCCUAAAUUGCAACCUACCAAGUAUGUAAAGUAACAGUAAUAACCGAAAAAUUAAUCCCAUUAGAUUUGGGAAGCAGGAACCUUUCCCCUGACCCUUUCUGACAGGACAACAAAAAGACACCAACCAGCAAAAAGGAAAUAGCAACUUUUUCUCCAAUUUAAACUGGCUUAACUCACAAGACCGACACGUGGCGGUCGGACACGGCGCCCUGACUCUCUGAAAAAAAUAAAUAGAGAAUAAUUAAAUAAAUAAAUAAAAAUCCUUUUUUAAUAGCAAGAUCGCUGUCUCUUCCUCCUCAGAUUUUAAUGCUCAAAAACCAGUCAGUCUCUCUCUCUCUCUCCCUCUCUCCUUCCUUCUUCCUUUGGACACAAAUUCCAUUCUACUUUUCAUUUUUUUUCCACCAUUUUUAAACUCUCGAACUCCUCGCGUUCUCUCUCCUUUCCUCCUCUUCUUCUUCUCUUUUCUUCCUCCUCCUCAUCUUCUUCAUUUCGCCAGAUCUCUCUCUCUGUAACUGGGGUCAAGUCCGCCGGGCAAUCCCGGCGUUUGCCCGUCGCCGGCCAUCUCGCCGGCAAUGCCGGCUCAGAUCUACUGUCGUUAGCUUGAUGCGCGACUCCGUGUGCUCUUUCUAAUCCUCACACCAACAUUCGGCGGACGGUAAGUGUGAAUCUUGGGUUCGCGCGAAAAAUUUGUGAUUUUGUUGGUGUGCGCUACUGUUCUGUUUAUGUGUGAAUCUCCACUUCAGUUUAGAGUCUGGACUUAGCAGGGCGAGGUAGUGAGGUCGUGUUCUACAAGCAAAGGGGGGUUCAGGAUUUUGGGAAAUGCUGUGUAAAUGAAUCGUGUUUCAUUUGAGUUAUGUGGGAAUGCUUGGUGUUGGUUCGGAUAAUGCAUCGAAAGUGGUUGUUGGGUCGAUUCUUGGCAAACGUGGAAUUAGAAUUACCCGAGCUGUGAGUCCUGAAAUGCUUGCGGAUAGGGAUGGAGGGUUAUUGAAAUUUGGAUAAUAUGAACUGGGUCUCCAUUGUUCAUGCGUUCUCGCGAAGUUUUGUCUGAGAAAUAGUUGAAUGCACUUGCCGAAGUUGCAAAUUUACUCUGGAUGUGGUUGUUCUGGGUCUUCCUAUCUGCUCUUUAUGUAUGUAAUUUUGUUUCUGUUCUUUUUAGAUACCUGAAAUUAAGAGAUGGAGGUGGAGAAAAGACGGAGGCUUCCUACAUUUUUUCGACUGGAAUAGCAAGUCCAGGAAGAAGCUGUUCUCUAACAGUUCUGAGAUACCUGGUCCUGGUACGACCCACAUUAUUUUUUUUUUAUCAAUUUUGUUAGUCACGGCCGCGCAUUGUUAGCAUAUGAAAGUUUUCUGGUGGAGAUGGCUCAUAUAAUGCUAUUAGGAUGCUUUGUUUCUUAUUAGAGAUGGAGUUGAGCAAGGAACAGAUGAUGCAGAGAUUUUGGCGAAGUCCAGGUUUCAGAUGGUGGGAGUUUUUUUGACACUACUGUUGUCAAAAUCUUUUUUAGUCGUGUAUGAGUUCCAUCCAUUUGACUUGCAUAAUUUGUUGCCUUGUUGUAGAAUGUUAUUGAUGAUUAGCAUUUGCAGAGGUUAUGUAGGUAUUUCUUGUCCACUCCACCACGACGAUGAUGGCCUUGGAAUAGUGUGCACUGGGUUUGAAUAGAUUGGACUGGGUUUAGUGAAGUAGUAGUCCUACUGACGAGCAAAAUGUCCGCCACCGGUCCAGCUUGAUGUGCUUAGGUUACUUUGGAUGGUGGUUUCUCUUGAUUAUUGGCCCAAUUUGUGUGAUAUCUGGUCAGCAGGGAAUGACAUAAUUGCUUGUGCGCGCGAAUAAUAUGUGAAAUUGAUUGAUUGUGCAUUUUUCUAAUUGAGGAGAUUCAUUGCGUUUAGUCUCCAUCCUAAUGAUGGCUGUGGAUAUGGAAUCGUCUAGUUUGGAUUUUACAAACCCAAAUCGCAAUUUUGAUUCCAUUGCCCGUAAUGCUUAACCAAAAACAGAAUUAAUUAAGAAUUAGAUAAGAUUCCAUUUUCGUGUCAUCAUAGAUUUUCAACUCCCAUUUUCAUUCAAUUUAGAUCACCAUGCUUCUAAAUAGGCAUCUAAUUUUCAAAGAAAUUUCCAGGGUGCUCUUAGAUGGUCUGCACUGACUGCACUGACUUAGAUUUAAUCAAUCGAAAAACCCAUCGGGUUAUUUUUGGGCGAUCUCCUUAACAUUGCUAGGCCUCGUUGACGUCUUAUUCUCGUGGCCAUCGUGUUAGGACAGUAACAUUUGUUGGCUUAUGGAGUCUUGAUUUAUUCUUCCAGACGUAAGACCUUACAUUUCGUUACCUACUUGGCUACCUCAGCGAUAUGCUCUCCUAGAAAGAUGAAAUUGACAUUUAACUUAUCGUGUUCGGGUAACGUUGACCAUUACAUUGGCGAUUUGGGCAAGUCGAGGUCAACACAAGUGGAGUCACAUUGACCAAAUUGGUUAGAUAGUAAGCUCAAAAAUUGCGGGUCGGGAUCUUUUGGACUCGUGGCCUGGCUUCACGACCGUGCGUGGCUACUUCUGCAGCCCUGACGUUUGCAUUUUCAACUUGCAGGAAAAAGGUAUGGCAGAAACUUGGCCUUCAAAGUACAGCUCGAGGAAUCACUCUACCUCGCAUUCAUCAAAUUUCAAUCACGCAUCGUACCCUCGUGUAGUCGGCGGCAGCCUCAACACGGACUCCACAGGCAAGAUGCUAUUGCUCAGGUCCUGCAAGAAGUUCGCUCUCCGCACAAGUCACAAUGGACUUAACCUGCAAUAUUAUAAAACAAAAUUUUUGCCGAUGCACAGCCCGUGUGUAUUAACCUGAAAACAUGCGCACCAGAUGCAACAUGUUCUGAUGAUUUAAUUUAGUUCGUGGAGCUGAUUAAAAUUGUCUGAUUUGCUCAUCUCUCCUCUUUUCAGUAAGCUAUUUUCCUAGUAAAUUUGAUGUGGAUUGCAAAACCAGAUGAAUAAUUAGUAUAUGGUAGGAUUGACGUUUCGAUUUAUUUCGGGGUGGAUUAUGUUGGUAACGACUUUGUUUUGGCCAAAUGUUGUUUACGCCUCGUUUUUGGGGUUCUUAACCCCCCUAGCUUCUUCAAUUUGUCUAUUUCGAUUCCUCUUCGUUGUACAAUUCAUCAAAUGGCAAUGUAUACUUCUGAAGCUAGAUAAUCUAAAAACGCCUUGUGCUGGUAUUAAACAAACUGAAAGGCUUUUCAUAGUUCCAGUUUGACUGAGGACAGUUUUCAUAUCUCUAGUAUUGUCCCGUCAAGCUCAGAUCUACAAAAAUGAGGAAAACUGAGAAGCCUGAAAUGAAUCCUCUUUAAUCCUAUCAAAAAAAAUAAAAAAUUGACACAAUUAAUUUUCUUUUUGUCAUCGCAAUUUCUGUAAGUCCUAUAAUUUGUAAUAUUCUAUUAAAAAUAGUAAUCUGCCUAAGUUUAUGGUAAAUUUCUCCUAAUGGAUCUUAACUUUCCUUUAGGCAUAUGUAAUCAUCCUUACUUAUAGUAAUUUAUCUGUAAAAUAUCCCUUAGUAAUUUUUCUCAGGAGGAUGUAAUUUUUGUUUGGAGGGCGUAGAUUCUCUAGAACCUAUGAUUCUUCAUAUUCCGUAAAAACAGUAUUUUAUUCACUUAACGGUAAAUUUCUUCUUCUUCUUCUUUUUGUUUAACUUUAGUGAAAUAUUCAAUUUUAAAGUAACUUCCUUUUCACUUUGUAAGUUUUGAGACCUAUAUGUUGGUAAACUUCCUUACUCAUCAUAACUUUUUUUAAUGGAAUAUAAAUUUGAUUAUUUUGCAUCGUCACUUUCAUUUUUAAUAGAUUUGAUGGAUCGAUUUUCCCCCCUUCUUAUCUAGUGGUCCACAUUGAAUGUGGGGCCGAUCUUGUAAAAGAGAGUUUUGACGUGGAACUUUCGUCACGAUCAAGAAGUUUCGAACGCGACAAAGUAGUGUUUUUUCUUUUGCCGAACAGUACAGUAGUGUUGAAAUCCUAUUUUUACCAAAUUAUUGGAAGUUCGUUCUAUUGAAAUACUUGUCCUAAAUCUAUAAUUUAAGUACGAUUCCGCAAGUCUUGUGUAUGCAAAGGAGCCUUUCCCCAUAUUCCUAUCUAACAAGUUCAAGAAUGAUUCAAGCCCAAUAAAAGAAUAAAGUGAAAAGAGGAGGGCCCCCCACCAAACAGACCCAACUUCCAAGGGCGUCGAAUGAUGACGGCUGUGGAAUAAUCUGCUCUAGGUUUGGAUAGAUCGGAGCAGGUUUGGUGAACUAGUCUUACUUACGGGCAAAAUGUCAAGCACCAUUCCAAUUUGAUGUGUUUAGGUUUCUUUUUUUUUUUUCAGAGUGUUUAGGUUGCUUUGGGCGGUGGUUUUUCUUGCUUACUAGCCAAAUUGCGCUAUAUCUGGUCAUUAGGGAAUGACAUGGUUGCUCGUGUUGCAUGGUUAGUUUUGCAAAUUGAUUGAUUUUGUCCGUUGCUAAUAAGGAGAUUCAUUGCAGUUAGUCACUAUUCUAAUGAUGGCCAUAGAAUAGUCUACUUUGGAUUGGAAUGGACCGGAGCUGGUUAAAUUUAGUCCAAUUGAGCGUUAAUCUCAUCCCUGUUUAUUUGUGGGUCUGGUAGAGUGGUCCUAUUGACUGGUGAACUCAAUUUUGAGUACUUAUGGUGUCUUGCAUUAAUAUUAAUUUUAUGUCUCACUGAACUCAGUGCAAAUUUUAUAUUGUAGAUUGUAUUUAUUUGAUCUCUUUUUUGCCAUGGAACUUGCAAUAUCAUCUCUUUCUCCUUUUGGUUUUCUUAAGGGAACAAAGGUCGAGAGUUUGUCACUGUGCAGCACUAUGGCGUUGACUUCCUAGCGGAACUUGCUGAAACCAUGCAAGAAUCUGAGGAUUGGGAUGAUUUGCAAGCUGUAGAAUUAGAAGCUCGUGGAGUUUUGAAUGAUAUGUUUGGCCAAGUUUGUGGAGUUUUGAUGGUGAAUGCAGUGUCAUACACGAUGUCAAUGUUAUAGAAGAUUCUCCACAACCUGAGAAAGGCCGAACUUUUCUUGAGGUGGAUUCCUCUACUGAUAGUGAAGACCAAGACAAUAUAUUUGGCAGUAAAAUGGGUAAAAAGUCCACAUGCUGUAUUCCUGACCAAAGCAGUGCCCCGAACAGUACAUGCACUCAACUCUAGGCUAGACGAUCUUCAGAAUCCAUGAAAUGCUUCUCCCAUGGAUGUACACAUUACUGCCAAACCACUUAAGUCAGUGUUCACUGUUCUUUUCUCUUAUAAUUUAUUCUCUCCUUGAUCAUUUCCAAUUUUUUGUGAUUCUACAAACAACAAAGGACCUACACAAUGUACAUGUAUAAAAGCAUUUAGUAAAUUGCUUAUGGGGCAUCUAUGAGAGUGCUAGUAUGAACAAAAUAAAGGAGUUAGGGAAGAGAAUAAGAACACAGGAUUUAUAGUGGUUCGGCUUAAUCCAAACCUACGUCCACUCUCCCACGCUAACAGCCUUCUUGGCUGGAUUCCACUAUGCAAUCAACAAGAGAUUAUAACUUCGAGUGCAAACACUUAGUAGUAGAUCACACUAUCUCACUAAGUCACUCUCUUGGUAUUUCUCUCACGAUUACAAACGUUUAAGCUCUCAAGAGACAAGUAUAUGAUCUAAAGUCGCUCAGACUUUGGAAUUAUAAAUUCUACGCUCCGUCUCUUACUUGCUCAUCAGUCCAUGAUCUCCUUAAAUACUCCUCCACUUCCAAACUACAUGUUGGACAGUAUCCCGGAGAAUCGUCUUCCAAUAUACCCAUUGGACAGCUCUGUAUCUUAGAAGAUUUUGGUAGCCGUUGAGUAACAAAGGUAAAAUCCCAAAUUGAUUCCGAUCGCCCAUACAAACGAAAUCUUGGUUUCCAUAAGUAAAGCUUCUUCGUAUAGAAAGAUCUUGUCUUCAACAUCCAAUUGUCAAUCAAAUAGAUUGAGUCAAUCAAAUCAAUCUUGAUGUGGAAUCCAAACCAGAUCACUAGCCGUUAUAUGAUUGGGCUUGAGUUACAAUUCAUCGAAUCUGGAUGUAAAGUCUGAGAGCAAUAGACUUUACAAUAUGAGUCUAUAGACUUUACAAUCUGGGUCUGAACAUAUCUGCUUCUGAACAGAUUUAGCUUUAAGGUCUGUACCCAGUUCAGCUUCAGCAUAUAGUCUGUCUUCUGGUUCAGCUUCAGCAUAGAAUCUGUCUUCCGGUUCAACAUUCACGUUCAGACUGGAAUUAGUCAGAGUUGACAGACUUCUGAUGUAGAAUAGACUUUGACACUAAAGUCUGGCGGUCUUCGGACUUUGAGUCUUGAGUCUGGCAAUCUUCAGACUUUGAGUCUUGAGUCUAGCAGUCUUCAGACUUUGACACAGAAGUCUGGAAAUCUUCAAAAUAUACUCUGGACAUAUGUUACGUUCAGUCUUCUGGCCGUCUUCUAACUUUGAUAAUAUCAUUUACAUGUUCUAUCAUCUGCAUGGUCUAUUACUCAACUAUCAAACAUAUUAGUAGCCUUUGAUUUAUUUUGUCAUCUUCAAAACAUCAUAAGGGAUUUCCCUAACAAUCUCAUCCAAUCACAUGUCCAAUAGACACUACUAACUUUUGUCAAUUACUUCCACAAUCUUCAAGAUCCAAAAUGACAUAUUGGAACUCUUUGGUCAAUGAAUAAGUUGAUUUCUGUUUUGGAUGAUGUACAAAAUACGUAUAUUUCUCAAAUAUUUGGAGAGUAUAGCAGAUCAUCGAAGUGUGGAACUUAGCAAUCCGGCAUCAUUGAAAGAAAGUUUUGCGUAAACGAAGGCUUGUGAUUUCUUUGUGUUUAUUUUUCAUUUUCCAUGGCAAUCCAUGUCAAAAACUAUUAUGGUGCUGAGGAGGCUUAUUUCUGUUGAAGGAUUGUAAAUAGCAAUGUCACUCAAGGUUCAAUCUCGUCAGUUUCAAAUAAAAGACAUUGCUCUUGGAUUUCAACUUCCAAACAAGGAACUCUAAGUUAUGAAGAAAUGCAGGCCUUGGAUGACAUAGAAUUGGCAAAUAUUAUCAUCUUUGGAAACAAGGAAUUUCAACCACUGCAGCAUCAGCCUUGUAAAGCUUCUAUAAGAUUGCUCUAUUCUCAUGCCUGCUGGAGGUGGCAAAAGUCUAUGUUACAAGGUUAGUGAAUGUUAACAUUGUCUCAAUGUGUAAGGAUUGUAUAUAGAAGAAAGUGGAGACAGUGUUUAAAGCACAAGCCCUGUGCACUUUGCUAAAUGGUUUCACCAACUAAAUGUAAAAGGGUUACAUGAUCUUCUAAUCUGCUUUGUUUAGCACUGCUGAGACGGUUUUGAACUUAAGUAAGAAAAUGUUUUUAAAAUGAAAAUCAAGCGAUAGGAAGUGAUUCAGGUACACAACCACAGGUUCCAAUGUAUGGCAUCAGAAAAAAUUAGAAAAGAAGGAAAUACAGUAUAUUCUCGUUCUACCUUCGCACAUCUCUAUCUGAUUUGCAAUUUCUAGAAUUUAAAGUUUGUACUAUGCUUCUAGGACCUUUUAAUCACUUACCGGAAAAUUCAUCUUGUUUAUGCAUGUAAGUGUUGUUGUCAUUCAUAAUUUUGGUCUAAUUCAAAUGGGUUACUAAGUCAAAAGGGAAUAAGUUUUCGAAGUACUUCCACCAAAUAUGGUUCUAGAUUUCUAUAUUUCCUCGCAAUUAUUGGCUAUGCCAUUAUUUCACAAGGGGUAAUGAUCUAUGACUUCUUUUCCCACAAUUGGUUUGAAAGGUAUGUACUUUAAUAUACAGUGGAUCUAGGUAGCAUGCAAAAUAUUUGAUUUACUGAAUUAAGGACGAACAAAUUAUUAUGGAUUUAUUAAGUUGAAUUUUUUAGAAGUGUUUUCUGUUCAGUCUUGAAGAAGUUGAUAUGUGUUUCUAGCUGAAAGUUAUUAUAAGACAAUUAGUGACUACUGGUCCUUCUUGAUAAGUUGAUGGUGAAAGAAAUAAUAAUUCCCUUGUCCCUUCUUUUCUUCAUGCGCUCUUCUGAUGUCUGUACCCUUCGUUUCAGCUGCCAGCGACUCAUAAACCAGGCAUCAUAGUUGUUAUAUCUCCCUUGCUAUCUCUCAUCCAAGAUCAUAUAAUUACUCUAACCCUCAAGUACAGAAUACCAUCUACUUUCUUGAACUCUCAACUAACUGCUGCCUAAGCGGCAGCUGUCCUCCAAGAUCUAAGGCAAGGUUUAAUCUCCACUUCUACUUUGCCUGCUUUUCAGAAAAGACAAACCAUCGUGCACGCUAUUGUAUGUAACUCCUGAAAGGAUUGUGGGAAACCCAUCAUUUCUCGAAAUAUUGAAAGGUAUUGCUUCUGAUGGACCGUGACUUUUUCGAAAAGUCUCCUUAUAAAUUUUUUAUAUUCGACCAUCAUGCAUUGUGGGCACAAGGAGCUGGUUUUGUUGUUGAUGAGGCACAUUGCGUGAGGUAUGCGUAAUCUUUGGCAUGCCUCCUAAAUGAAGAAAGGUCAUGCUAGAGUUACUUCAAAAGGAAUAAUUUUUUUUUUUUAUGUUGCUACUGCAAAACUAUUGUCCUUGUUCCUGAUAAAUAUAAGCAAGUUAACUUUUAUAUAUGCCAGCUUAAACUCUUUUUCGAAACUUUUUUGCAUUUUCAGUGUUUCUAGCCUAAUUAAAUUGUCAGUGUUACACCAGACCUUUUGAAGCCUAGACCCCUCUGAAGUUCUAAUAUAACAUAAUGCAGUGUUCCUUGUUUGAACUUUGGAAAGGUCUAGAUUCUGUCAUUUGGAAACACUUAGUGGCACAUCAUUCAUUAUAUUGAGUAAAGAGCAAGCAACUUAAAUAAGCUCCAAUGGAGAUUACUUCCUAAAGUAAUUGGAACCUGCAUAAGCUUGGAUAAGUAUCCCAUCUCCUGUCUAUGUUUGGUAUGAUACUCAGUCACUUAAGCUAGUUCUUGAGUCUCUAUUUUUCUAUUAACAAUUAUACUAUAUGUUAACAACUUGAGAAAGACAAAGGUUCACUUGUGGCCAUUGAUUGUGUUUCUUCCAAGGUCUUAACUAGAAUUGCUCUGCCACUGUGAUCUCAUGAAUGGAAUGUACUGCUGGUUUGAGCUUUUCUUGUAUAUUUGACUGAUUAAUGAGUAAGGCUCAUUGAUUGUCACGCUCGUGGUUGUCAUUGUUGUAGUCAAUGGGGACAUGAUUUUCAUCCAGAUUAUAGGGAACUGGGAUGUCUCGAGCAAAACUUUCCGUAUGUGCCAGUGAUGACCUUAACUGCAACUGCCACUCAGCCAGUUCGUGAGGUAUGAAGUUGCACAUUAACCUCCAGAUUAUGUUGAAAUGAUCAUUUGGGACUGACUGAAAUGUGCAUCCAUUGCAGAAUAUCCUCAAAGCUCUCAGGAUCCCCCAUGCUCUUGUUCUUGGGACAAGCUUUUGCAGACCAAAUCUAAAAUAUGAGGUCAUAGUUAUGGGGCCUCUCAUCCAAUCAAAUGUCCAAUGGACACUCAUAACUUUUGCCAAUUUCUUCCACAAUCUUCAAGACCCAAAAUGAGAUAUUAGAACUCUUUAGUGAAUAAAAAUGUUGAUUUCAGUUUUGGAUGAUGCACAAAUACCUAUUUUCUCAAAUACUUUGAGAGUAUAGGAAAUCAUUAAAGUGUUGAACUUAGCAAUCUAGCGUCAUUGAUGGGAAUGUUUUGCGUAAAUAAAGGCUUGUAAUUUUUUUGUGCACAUUUUUCAUUUUCCAUGACAAUUCAAAUCAGAAACUAUUAUGGUGCUGAAGGGGCUUAUUCUUGUUUAAGGACUGUAAGAGCACUAUCACUUAAGGUUCAAUAUGGUCAGUUUUGUCAGUUUCAAAUAAAAGAAAUUGCUCUUGGAUUUCGACUUCCAACCACAGGACUCUGAGUUAUGAGGAAUUGCAAGCCUUGGAUGACAUAGAAUUGACAAAUGUUGUCAUAUUUGGAAACAAGGCAUUUCGACCAAUGCAGCAUUAGGCUUGUAACACUUCUAUAGCCAAGUUAGAUUGCUUUAUUCUUAUGCCCAUCGGAGGUGGUAAACGUUUACAUUACUAGGUCAGUGCAUGUUAACAUUGUCUCAGCUGUAUAAUAAUUGUAUGUAGAAGAAAGUGGAGACAAUGUUUAGAGCACAACGGCCGUGAGCUUUGCUCAAUGGUUCCACCGACUAAAUGUAAUAGGGUGGGCCUACAUGUCAAAAUUUAAGCUUUAACAUGAUCUUCUAAUCUGCUUUGUAUAGCACUAUUAAGAAGGUUGUAAACUUGAGGAAGAAAAUGUUUUUCAAAUGAAUAUUAACCGAUAGGAAGUGAUUUUGGUACAUAACCAUCAGUUCCAAUGUAUGGCAUUGGAGAAAAUUUGAAAAGAAGAAAAUAUAGGACAUUCUCGUUUUGCCUCCACAAAUCUCUAUCUAGUUUGUAAUUUCUAGAAUUUAAAAAUUGUGCUAUGCUUCUAGGAUUUUCUAAUCACUUAUUGGAAAAUUGAUCUUGUUUAUGCAUGCAAUUGUUGUGCUUAGCUCGAUCUCACGCUCUGACUUGGAUUUUGAGCAUGAGUUUUCUAGAUUAGGUUAAAAUAAAAGUAUUGUAGUAAUAUGAGUCAAAUCGGAUAUGAGUUGGGUAGUGGUUGGGUUGGGGAUGGGUCAUUAGAUAUAUAUUGUAUGGGAAUGGGUUGAAACAGGAUCUAUUUGAGUUAGACUAUUUUCGAUUCAAUUCGAUCCAACAUAAGAGUUAGCAAAUUUGGGAGUAAAUUCACAUUAGCAGAUCAUCAAGCUAUUAUUUCAUGCAAGCUGUUAUUUCAUGCGAAGAAUCACAAACGCUUUCUAAGCAUAUACCACCACUAUAUAUAGAGAAAAAGGCAAAAGGAAGAAAGAAAGCUAUGGCAUGCCAUUUUAAUUAGAACAACCUUACUCUUUGCAACCCAAGGCCACCUAAAGAUUGGCGGAAUCAUUUGAACAGUCAACGACGACCACAUGAGAAGGUAAAACGGACCGGAUCCAUCUAAUUUAUCGUGAUCUUUCUUUAGUAUCCGUAAUUUUCCCAAUUAAUAAUAAUUUACUAAUUGACGUAUUUUUUCUUUAGUUACUUAAAUUUCGUGUAUCUUAUGAUUUGGAAUAUAUCACCAAAAAAUAAAAAACUGUCUAAGUUUAUGAUAAUUCUUUUCUCGGAUCGUUAGUAAAUUAUUUAAUAGAUUGUAAUUUUCCUACGGCGUACCUCGUUGUUCUUAUUGCAACAAUUUAUAUGUAAAAUAUCCUUGGAUAACUUUUCUUUGGAGAGUGUAAUUUUUUUUUUUUUCUGGAGGUCAUAAAUCCUCUAAGCCCGUGGUUCACAAUAUUCCAUAAAAAUAGUAGUCUACUUAUUAAUAGUGAACUUCUUGUGCGUACUUCAGUAAAAUAUUAAAUUGAUUGCAACUUUAUUUACACUUUGUAAAGUUUUGCUACCUAUAUGUCAAUAAUUUUCUUUACUUGCCAUAACGUUUCUCGAGCAAAUAUAUUUGAUCACAUUUGCAUCUAUAACUUUUAUUUACUGUCUGAAAAUUACGACAGAAAAUUGAAUUUACGAAACAGGUUGGACGGAUUACGUUUUUGCCCUCUUUAUCCAACUAUCCACAUUGAAUGCAGAAUUGAUCCUGUGAAAUAGAGUUUUAAAUUAUGAAAUUUCCCUUACAAUCCUGAUGUUUUGGGCACAAUAGAGUAGUUUUUUAUUUUUUUGCCGAACAAUAAAGUAAUGUUGGAAACUCUAUUUUUCCAAAAUUUUUGAAAAUCAUCCCAUUGAAAUAUGUAUAUUAAUAUAUAAAGGUAAAUAUGUAAAUUAAAGAAAAAUAUAUUACUUUGCCGAUUAUUUGUUUAGCAGAUAAAACAGCAACAGAAAAGAAAGUUGAGAUACGUCUCGCAAAUCUGAAACUUUUAGAACCACAUGCGAGUCUCGUGUUUGCAAGGUAGCCUUCACACCAAACGAACCCAAGGGCAUGUCAAAUGAAACCAGAAAAAAACUUAGAAGAGGGGGCAAAAAUAGAACUCAAACAAACUUCGGGGGCGAAAACGGAAUUGUCAAAGAAAGAGCUGAAAAAUAUGGCUCCAGCCUCUGCCACUUUCCGGCGUAUAAAAAAUGGAAAACGAAAAACACCAAUCCUGCCAUCGCUGGCAAGGUUCUCGAACGAGAGCACAUCGAGUACGCUCCAAUUCGAUUCGAGACUACGGAUCGAUUCGAUUCCGACUCGGGCAUCAUCGAUCGUUCAAAUCGCUUCGAACGGGUUGAGAUUCCAUGGAGGGAGCGGGCCUCGGAGGAGGAGAAAGCUUGGUUGCUGAGCUUUUUUAUGCUAAUUAGCGUUUGCGGAGAUGAUGGAGGUAGCUCUCGUCCACACGAUGAUGAUGGCGGUAGAAUAGUCUCGCUUUAAUUGCUCGUGUUGCACGGAUAAUUUGUGCAUUUGAUUGAACGUGCAUAUUCCUAAUUAAGGAGAUUCAUUGCGGUUAGUCUCUGUUGUGAUGAUGGCUAUGGAAUAGUAAGUCUACUUUGGAUUUGAAUGGGACCGGAGUUUAGUUCAUUGAGCGUUAAUCUCAUCCCCUGUUUCUUUGUGGGUUUGGCGGAGUAGUCCUAUUGACAAGCGAACCGUCUGGCUUACUUCUGAACUCACUGCAAAUUGCUUAUGGGUGUCUUGCAAUAAUACUAAUAUUGUGUCUCACUAAACUAAAUGCAGACUAUGUAUUGUAGAUUGUAUUUAUUUGAUCUCUUGUUUGCCACGGGUCUUGCAAAAUUAUCUCUUUCUUCUUUUGGUCCUCUUAAAGUGAUAAAGUUCAAGAGUUUAUCACUGUGGCAAUGUCUUCCUAGCAGAACUUGCCGAAACCAUGCAAGCAGAACUUGCCGAAACCAUGCAAGACUCCGAGGAUUGGGAUGAUUUGCAAGCUGUGGAAUCAGAAGCUUGUGGAGUUUUGACUGAUAUGUUUGGCCAAUAUAUCCGUAAUGAUAGUGAAUGCAAUGUUAUACAAGAUGUCGAUAUUAUGGAAGAUUCUCCACAGCCUUUGUGAAAAAUCAAACCUUCCUUGAGGUGGAUUCCUCUACUGACAGUGAAGACGAAGAUGAUGUUUUGGGCAGUAAAAUAGGUAGGAUAUCCUCAUGCUAUGUUCCUGACCAAAGCAGAACUCUCAAAUUAUGGCCAGAUGAUCUUUAGAAUCCACGGUAUGCUUCUUCCAUGGACAUAGACAAUGCUGCCAAACCACUUAAAUCAGUGUUUCACUGUUUUUUUCUCUUAUAAUUUUUUUUUCUGCUUGAUCGUUUCCAAUUUGCUUGUGAUUCUGCACACGGCUCAGGACCAAUGAAAUGUGCAUGUCCAAAAGCAUUUAGUAAAUUGCUUAUGGGCCUCUCAUCCAAUCAAAUGUCCAAUAGGGAGUCAUAACUUUUGCCAAUUACUUCCACACUCUUCAAGAUCCAAAAUGACAUAUUAGAGCAUUUUGGUUAAUAAAGAAGUUGAUUUCGGUUUGGAUGAUACGUCAAAAUCCUAUAUUUCUCAAAUACUUUUGAGAGUAUAGCAGAUCAUAAAAGUGUGGAUUAGCAAUCCUGCAUCAUUGAAAGGAAUGUUUUGCGUAAAUGAAAGCUUGUGAUUUAUGCUGAGCAUUGUGACUGUCAAAUUAAUGAUCUCCACUUCUGCCUCGCCUGCCUUUUCAGAAAAGAUAAACCAUCAUGCAAGCUAUUGUGUGUAACUCCUGAAAGGAUUGUGGGAAAUGCAUCAUUUCUUGAGAUAGUGACAUAGAAAGGCAUUGUUUCUGAUGCAUCAUAACUUCUAAAAGGUUCUUUGUAAAUAUUUUAAAUUUGACCAUCAUACAUUGCAGGCACUACUAGCUGGUUUUGUUAUUGAUGAGGCACAUUGCGUGAGGUAUGUGUAAUCUUAGACAUGCCAUGGUACAUGAAGAAAGAUCAUGGGUAGAAUCACUUCAUAAGGAAUAAUUAUUUGUGAUGUCACUGCAAAACUGUUGUCCUUGUUCUGGAUAAAUAUAAGCAAGUUAACUUUUAUAUAUGCCCACUUAAACUCUUUCUCCAAACUCUUCUGCAUUUUUCUGUGUUUCUCAGUGUUACACUAGACCUACUGAAGCUCAGAACCCUGUGAAGUUCUAGUAUAACAGAAUUCAGUGUUCCAUGAUAGAUGAAAAGAUUUAGGUUCCGUCGUUUGGGAACACUUAGCAGCACAUCGUUCAUUGUAUUGAGUAAAGAGGACACAACUUAAAUAAGCUCCAAAGGAAAUUACUUCCUAGACUUAUUGGAACCGGCGUAAGCUUGGAUAAGAAUCCAAUCUCCUCUCUAUGUUUGGCAUGAUACUCAGUCUCUUAAGGUGGUUCUUGUGUUUCUAUUUAUUCUAUCAACACUUAUACUUAACGUUAACAACUUGAGAAAGGCCAAGGUUCAACCAUGUGAUCAUUGAUUGUGUUUCAUACAAGGUCUUAAAUGGAUUUGCUCUGCCAGUUUGAUCUCAUGAAAGGAACGUACUGCUGGUUUGAGCUUUUCUUGGACAUUUGACUGGUUAACGUUGAAAGCUCAUUGGUUGUCACUUUCGUGGUUGUCAUUAUUGUAGUUUAUGGGGACAUUUCGUCCAGAUUAUAGGGGACUGGCAUGUCUCAAGCAGAACUUUCUGUAUGUCCCAGUGAUGGCUUUAACUGCAACUACCACUCAGUCAGUUCGUAAGGUACUAGAAUUACAUAACCGCCUGAUUAUGUUGAAAUAAUCUGUCUAUUCUGAUUAAAUUAUACAUCCAUUACAGGAAAUCCCAAAAGCUGUUGGGGUUCCCCAUGCUCUUGUUCUUGAGACAAGCUUUGACAGACUAAAUCUAAAAUAUGAGGUCAUAGCUUAGACCAAGGAACCACUGAAGCGGCAUGGAGAGCUGCUAAAGAAUCAUUUUGCUAAUUUUUGUGGCAUGGUGUAUGGCCUUUUGAAGAGUGAAUGUGUUGAUGUUAUAAAAUACUUGAAUGAGAAGUGCCAUAUAAAGACGGUGUACGAUCAUGCUGGAUUAGUAGCCCGUCAAAGAGUAGCUGUUAUAAAAAAUUGGCAUACUGGAGUGGUCCAGAUUGUAUGUGCUACCACUGCCUUUGGGAUGGGAAUAGACAAACCUGAUGCUGGAAGUUGAAAUGGACUUUGGCUUUGCCUAUUUAUUACAUUUUAGGAGUGGAUAAAACUUGCGUGGUGGAAUGGCCCAGAGAAGCAGAGGAAGAGGAGGCUUGCCAGAUACAAGCUUUAUUUGGUCGAGGGCAAGUUCAAGGCUUGUAUCAAACGAGGGUUCCGAUGGUUGAAGCGAACAUGCUUGAACAUCAUGCGUCAAUUUUAAUAUGUAGAAAUUACAGAAUAUCAUGCUCACCGUCAUCAAGAGAGAAAAGGGUGGGAUCAGUCGAGAGGUAACAGAGAGAUUUCUUUUGUUUAUCGGUUUUCAUCUUUAUAUGCAUCUAAUGGUAAUUAAGCAUUUAGAAGAGUGCCACAAUGUUUAAUCUUUCCAAUAUUACUUUUGUUUGAAUCAUUGUUUCAUUCAUCGAUCUCCAGCAUUCAAAACAUAGGAAAAUUAGAUGACUCAUAUUUGAUAUUCAUAUAUAUUUAUAUUUGUCAAAAGUUGUUUUCUUUUCUCUGAAUUUCCUUACUUUUGAUUUAUCUGCAACAUGAUUAUGCAUUCAUUGCAUUCCCAUGCAAAGUAACAAUUGUCUAACCUACUAAUUUAUUCUCUUUUCAAUAAGCUCUUUGCUCAAAAACAUGAUGCUGAUUGCAAUAUAAGAAGAUUGCUCUCAUUGGUAGGAUUUGACGUUUAGAACUUUUUUUAAGGCUAAAUGCUGCUUAAGCCUCCGUUUUUGGGGUUCUUUAACGCCCUAAUUUCCUCAAAUUUGUCUAUUUCAAUUCCUCUACGUUUUAUGAUUCAUCAUAUGGCAUAUAUUUUAACAUGCAGUUCGCAGGUGUUAAAUAAAUCGAAAGGCCUUCAAAAUUUCCAUUCUGAUUUGAGUGAUAGCUUUUGUAUUUCUCGUGCCAUCCCAUCAAGCCUGGAGUUAAAAAAAUAAAUAAAUAAAAAUUGAGGAGAACCAAAGAACCUUCUCUUGUCUUUUCGAAACUUUCAUUGUUAUUGUUUAUUAAUAAGACGUCAAUGUAAUAUGGGAUGGAACUAUCAUAAACAAGCUCAAACCAAAUUGUUAGCAUGUAACCAAAGUAGAAGAGAAAAAGGGGAAAGACCCGAGAACAGCACCAAAUGGUUCAAUCAGUUUAACACAUUCAUCUAAUCAUUUGAUCAACUCACGUUCCAACUUCAAAUCAAUUCGAUCGAUAAGGUCGUGACUAAUGUUGUAUAAGUAGUUAAACACAAAGCCAUUACCCUUUGAAUUAAAUGCCUAGGCACUCUGGUUGAGCAAUUAAAUAAUAAAUUAUAUAGUCAAUAAUUGACUUUAUUUGUGAAUCUUCUCAUGUUGUUUUUAAUUAAUAUCCUGAAAAUUAGAUUAUUUCAUAUCUGGUAUGUUUAACUAGUUUUUUGACUCUUUAACAUGACCUGCAUUUUAUAUGAGUUAGUACUUAGAGAUUCAACUUAGCUUGACAAGUUACUCGGCCUUGUCUUCAGCUCCGGAAAGUAUUGACUCAAAGUUCAGCGGAAAAUGAGCGAAUCAAACUCUAUGAUGUGAGUAGCUUUUAACGACUAAAGUUCCACCAUUGUAAUGUAGUACAAUAAAGAGGAACAUCUAAGAGUGGCUCCAAAGAAAUUGCUUCGAUUGAAACUUGAAUGCAUAACCUAUGACCACAAUUUGGUGUAGUAUAGUCCGAGUACUAAGCAAUUAGAUGACCCCUUUAGUGUUUCUGUCCAAACCAAAUGAGUAUAAAUAUUGGGAGUGGCUACUUUCACCCUUUCCAGAGAUUAUUCUUGACAUUUUUAUCCAUCUUCAACUGUAGCAACACCAAAGAAACUUUGAUUUCAGGUAUGGAAAUUGUACGGCUGUGUAUAUUCUGCUUUAUAGAUUCAUGCUUNNNNNNNNNNNNNNNNNNNNNNNNNNNNNNNNNNNNNNNNNNNNNNNNNNNNNNNNNNNNNNNNNNNNNNNNNNNNNNNNNNNNNNNNNNNNNNNNNNNNGUCCGAGAGAUGAUUGUACAUUGACAAACACUUUUAUUUUGUGCUCAAAAUUCUUCCAAAUGAGAAACUACUGUUUUGGGAAUUUUUCCACUGAAAAUCUUGCCUGCAAUUGAUAGAUUAUUUGCUGAUUCCAUGACAUUUGCUUUUUCCAUGAAGAAGUCUCUCACAUUGACAAAAUCGUAGCUUGAAGUGGAUAUCUAAAUAGUAAUCUUUUUGAUAAACCUCACUUCAUGCUUAACUUCACGUACAGAACCACCUGCACAUAUGCGGUCUUCUUGCGAGCAUUUUGAAAUUCUGUGUUUGCUAAAUAAUAGCACGAUUUCAAAGCUUGCAAAGGACAACUACACAUUAUAAGAGGUCCCUUUAUAUUAUGAAUCAUAAGAAGAACAUCAACAACAUGGAGCACAUUAUAAGCACCAAUGGCAAAGAACUUUGGAACGCCUUUCCAUAACGUCUCAUGACAUAUCUCAUUCCUGCCCACAUCUCCUUCCCGUGAUGUUUGGGGAUGCUAUCUGAAUUUUAUGAAAUAAGAGUUGAAUCUACACAAGAAGGAUAGGAUUUACUAAUUAUCAAUGAAUGAAGAUAACUAAGAUCAGAGCAUCACAAUAUACACCAUGAAAGAUAAGGUGCAAAUGCACAAAGCAUCAUCUGCCCCAAUUGCAGUUGGACAGCAAUGAACAAAAACCUCAUCAGCUGGCCAAUGAAAAAGAAAACAACAGGCUUUGGAGACGAAAGCAACUAGCAACACUUUUCUUGUUUGUGGUUAGGAACACAAAGAUGAAAGUGCACUUCAGCUUUGGAGACGAAAGCAACUAGCAACACUUUCCUUGUUAAUAAAAUUAUGCUGAGAAGAUGAGGUGCUCAGACUGCAGAACAGAAAGAUGAAUUUGUUACAUGGUUAUUUCGCAAUAUCCCAUCAACAAAAUCAGCGGUACAAUAAAAUUUGCUAGGAGGUGAAUUUCAACUUUACAAAGUCGACGUCGCAUGAGAACUGAGCUUAUUAAAUUGAAAAAAAAAAUCAGAAUCCUAUAUGACAACAUUCAAUGGAUAGUAUCACAUUGAUAAACUGAUAGAAAUGGAGGAGAUUGUCCUCAUGCAUACUUGCUUACUGAUUUUCAGGUGAAAUUCUAUAGCUCAUAUAGUAUAAGCACUGUCGCAACCAAUUUUCUGGGUGUAAACCACCUAGGGUUUGGCUAAUGGAUUAUUAAGCCUAAACUUAACUCGGGCUCUCCCAAGCCCAUACCAAUUCGUGAUUUUUGGUUCAAGUUCUUAGCAUGCAAAUUUUUUUCAGGGAUAUGUGCAACACAAGUCCUAAAACUUACAAGGAAAGUGCAAUUGAGUCCUAAAACUUACAGAAAGUGCAAUCAAGUCCUAAAACUUGUCAAAUUGGUUCAAUUAAGUCUUAAAGUUAACACCGUCAGAUUUACUAACGGAAAAUACUGACGUGGCGCUGGCGUCAUAUUUUAAAUAAUUUUAUAUUUUCCACGUGGCUUUUUUAAAAUUAAUUUUUAUUCAAAAUUUUUAAAAAUUAGAUUUAAAAAAUAAAAAUGAAAAACUAAAAUUCAUUUUAAAAAAANNNNNNNNNNNNNNNNNNNNNNNNNNNNNNNNNNNNNNNNNNNNNNNNNNNNNNNNNNNNNNNNNNNNNNNNNNNNNNNNNNNNNNNNNNNNNNNNNNNNNNNNNNNNNNNNNNNNNNNNNNNNNNNNNNNNNNNNNNNNNNNNNNNNNNNNNNGAGGACGCCCAGAUCUGGGCACGCCAGCCCUCACGGGGGGCCGACGACCCUCGCCGGCCCUCACCUGGGGUCGGCAAUGCUCGCCCAGAUUUGGGCGUUUCGAUUCAGCUCCGUCGCACUCCCGACGCUGUGCCCCGACACUGUCCAGAUCUGAGUGACUGGGUUCCGGAGGGCAGGGGUUCCGUCGCCGUCGCUACACCGCACUGCUACCGAGCUGUGCCGCCAUAGCCCCGACGCCGUCCCCAGCAAACUAGCCGUGACCCUUUGCAUUGCUGGGCUACCACCGUUCCCCAAUGUCCUACCGCUGACCCCCCCGACGCCAUCUCUGCACCGGACUACCGUCGUUGCCCAGCCGCCACCGAUGACUCCACUCGAUCCAGCGUCGGGGACGCCCAAAUCUGGGCCGGCGUGCCCAGAUCUGGGCGUCCUCGCCCGACCUGGCGGGGGUGGCCGGCCCUCGCCUGGGGCCGGCGAGGCCUCGCCCGAGCGAGGGCAGGCCACCCCGCCCAGGGCCGGCGACCGUCGCCGGCCACUCUGGCGAUGGGCGGCGACGGAAGCACCACCGGUGCCUUUUUAUUUUUUUGCACAAUUUUAUUUUUUAAAAUAAAUUUAUCUUUUUCUUUUCUGUUUUUAAAUCUAAUUUAAACAAGAAUAAAAAUAAUGUUAAAAGCCACGUGUAUAAUAAAAAAAUAUUUAAAAUGCCACGUCGGCGCCACGUCAACAUUUUCCGUUACUGAGUUUGACGGUGUUAACUUUAGAACUCAAUUGAACCAAUUUGAUAAGUUUUAGGACUCGAUUGUACUUUUUGUAAGUUUUAGGACUCAAUUGCACUUUCAUUGUAAGUUUUAGGACUUGUGUUACACAUAUCUUUUUUUUUAAUUAGGAGUCGCCACUAAUCUAUUUUUGGUGGGUCGAUUAAAAACCCAAGUAAAGUAAUGGGAGAUUUACUUUACUCCUACGAACCAAAGAUUAUGGGUACGGGGACUUGAUUUCUCUAAUGACCUUUUUGUACCAUUCUUUUUUAUUUUGAAAAAUGUUUGGCAAGCAACUUGAAUUGAUUUUAAUUCCUUAACAUGUGAGUGACCAUGCGGGUGCGCAAACCACAAAUUUAACACUCAAGAAAGCAAAUAAAUAAAUUGCAAAACUUACCUCAUAGCAACGAAAGCAUCUACAAUGUUAAAUCAGAAUUCACAUCGACGACCCUAAAUAUGAUUUCUAAUUAACACGCAAUUAUCCAAUUUUUGUUUUCGCUUUUCUUAAUGAGAAUCUAAUCUACAUGCAAUGCAAUGUUACUAAUCUAACAUGUAAUGAUAUGGCAUGGCAAUAUGACUUAAACUAUAUGACAUAAAUAAAAUGCAGUCUAUCCUAAAGAAUGAAAUUGAUUAAUUCUAAGGCAAUUUUUUUUGUAUUUUCCAUGAAAUUCGAAAUUAGAAAAAUGCAAAGAUUAUCUAGCUAGAGUAAGAUUCUAUUCAAUUUGUAUUAGGAAUCAGGUUAAGCCAAAUCCUAAUUUAAACUAGAAUCUUAUCUUAACCAAAUAAUCUCUAACCUAAAAUGCAAUCUAUCUAAAAGGAUCUAUCUAAAUAAAAUUAAACAUGCAAUCAACCUAAUAUGCAAUGACAUGCCAAGGAUGCCCUAAUUCUACAUGAUACAUGCAUGAUGAUUUUUUUGUAUUUUUCUUUGUAAAAUUCGAAAUUUAAAAUUACCAAAUAAUUAAACGUGCCAUUUAAAUUAAAGAAAACUAACAUCCUAAAUGAACGCAUUUUUUUGGAAUUUUUUUUAUUUAAAAAUUCGAAAUAAGAUUGCAAUGCUAAACAUGCAAGAUAACCCUAGACUAGGAAUAUUCUAAAACGGACCUAAUCCUAAUUCAAUUUUUUUUUGGAUUUUUUCUUUUACGAAAAUAAAAUUGACUCAAACACCAUGACAGCAAAUCAAGCAAGAUAAGAUUGAUAUCCAAAAAUUGGCGAACCAUAUCUCGCGCAUGAAAUCGGGUUGACCAAUUUUAAAAUUAAAUCGCGAAUUGAAUCUCGGGCGUGAGAUCGGAUUGUCGAUUUUUUGCAAGGGAUUGCAAGUCGGAUUUCGGGCGUGAAAAUCGGACUGUCAAUCCCUAAUUUGAGAGCUCCUCGAGUUGUGAAUAUCACGCUAGGGAUUUCAAUCAUGUGCAUUAAUAUAUCAAAUAAGGAAACGGAAUUUUCGGAAAUCAAAAUAGACAAAUUUUUUACCUAUUCCGAAUAUUGGCUCCCAAAUUCCAAUCCUCGAACGGUUACGGCUACUCGCGAGUGAUAUGGUAAUGCUCGGCGAGGCUCACAGCUCAGACUUGGAUGUCGGGACUGGAUUUUGGUGGUGUUGAAGCUCACUGAAUUGGACUUGAAUUGCCCCAACAAACUGUCGAGGAAAGCCAAGAGUUAGAUACCGUGUAAUCGUCUAAGAAAUUUCGCCAAGGCAGCAACUUGGUAAGGCUCCAAGAUCUGCGUUCGGGAGUCCACUGGUGGCUCAAUUGACGCUUGAAGGUCUGAGUGCUUGCUAGAGAAGCCGAGGGCACUGCUGGGAUCGAUAACAAACUGCUGUGACGCCGCUUGGAGUCCGCUGGUUUGACUUCGUCGGAUCAGCACUGGAACUUGCUGCGUUCUGGGCUCCGUUUGACCUAUAGUCAACGAACGUCUCCCCCUCAAUUGCAUGGAUGUAUCAAUUGUGCGGCCCUCAUCUUUGUUGACUAUUGACCUCUGAAUAUGAGGACUUUCUCUCGUGUAAUGGCUCCUUUUGUCUUCUUUACACGUGUUGAUCUUGUCGAAGAAGGAAAGGCAUGAUGAAGAUGGGAUUUCGUUGAUUCCUGGGGACAAGUGGUGCGGCACAGGUGAUGCGGGCAGUGAGAUCAGCAACUUAGCAUUAUCGCGGAGUGAACAGUAGCUUCGUCGUCAACGCGGCUAAACUAGAGCAGCAGCAUCGUCAAGGUUGAAGACAGCGAGCUCAGCAUGGCAAGGCUUGCGGCUCGUCCACAAGUUGUCACGGAUGAUGAGAGCGAGGGGCAGUGACAACGUGUUUUGGCCAAGAGAAUUCCUCUCUUUUCUCCCGUAUUCGAACCCUAGAGGAGUCCCCCAACGAAAGAGCUUUUUUCUCUCAAUGGCCGUGUAUUCAAUGUGUGGCCUCCUUUUUUUUCCCGCGAACAUUACGCUUUAUAUACCGGCCGAAUAUGAACUUCAAAAAGGGAAAUUUGAAUAUAGGAUCCACGUACUGACUUCCCUCUUUUGUGAGGGUUUAUAUUUCCUUUGUACGCAUUGCGGAUCCAUAUAUCCUCAUUGAAUAUAUAUUUUAAUAAUGAUAAUCCUUCUUGCCCUUUUUGAUGUUUUUGUCCGCACAUUUAUAAUCACAAGAUCAACAAAAACAAUUAUUUUCUUUCCAAAUACCAACUCACAAUUGAUCGAACAUUGCCAAAAGUUCGGGAUCGUAAUAAAAUUUUCUCGGAUUUUGAAUAUCUUAAAGAUGAGCUCGCAAUAUUUUUGUCGCACUUGCCCUAUCCGAAGAUAUUGAAAAAUCCCCCAACAUAUCCUUGGAAAAAUUUCAAAUCUCUAUUUGUCACGAGAUAAUUAUCGAUCAUAAAAAAAAGNNNNNNNNNNNNNNNNNNNNNNNNNNNNNNNNNNNNNNNNNNNNNNNNNNNNNNNNNNNNNNNNNNNNNNNNNNNNNNNNNNNNNNNNNNNNNNNNNNNNGUCUAGCCUAUCAAUUUAAAGCUUAAAACCACCAAUUCGAACUCAUCCGCCACCGGUCCAAUAAACAAAUGCAAAAAAUGCAAAUGCACCUAAAUCUAUAUGCUAUGCAAUUAAUUAUUUUUUCAAUGAUAAAAUUAAGCCCUAAUUUUUAAUGCAACAAAUGACUAAUCAAGUCGCCAAAAUUUAGGUGUCAACAAGCACACAUGUUAUUUUUUCAUUGUUAUGGUAUGACAAGUAGUGCAUACCUCCCUCUGCAGAGCCUCACUGAGUUCAGGUGUGAUAACAUUAAAAUGCAAUGGCAUCAAACACCUCUGCAUCAGGAUGACAUACAAAAGAAUCAGCCAGCUACACAUUUGAUUGACAGAGAGGUUGAACCUCGAGUGCAUACAAAAAGCAGACUCAACUGGAAAUACAACAUUUAAAUCAUUCCUAAACACACUCCAGUUGGUCCAUGAGCCUCUUCAACGUUGGCACAAAAGAUGGUCCUCAGCUGUUGCUGGUGCUUCCUUUGCAAAAUAUAUCUUCUUCAUUUUGAUCAGUCUCUGGCAUGGAUUUUGAAGUCCCUCAACCAAGUUAGCCAGACUCAGAUUAAUCAUGUGAUAAAACGAUUCCAUGACAACAAUAGGAUCAGAUGGGAUGCAGACUCAUUAGCAAGUUCUUGAGCUCCUUGCCCCCACUUGUUUCACAGAAAGGGCAAAAAAUUUGUCCCGAUUAUGCAAAAGAUCAUCGAUAAAGCUCAUCAAAUUUAAGUCCCAAAGUAAGCCUUGAUCAUCCUAUAGACCAACCAGACCUGUCGUAGAAGCAGUACCAAUUUACCUUGCUUGAUAAUCUUUCAAAAUAAUAAUUUGACUGCAGGUUAAGAAUAGGCAGUCUAGAAUCAUACAUGAGAGAUUAGCCAAAAAUACUCUCCAUUUUUUUAUUUAUUUAUCACCAACCAGAAAUACUUGAACUUUGAUUUUUAUUUUAGCUAAGUUCUUUAUACUUACUGGAAUUGAUACUUAUCUAGAAGGUUCAAGAGGAAAAUCAACGGAACAAUAAGAAACCUGAUAGGGUUCAUCACAGAAAAUCGAAAUGUGUUUAUCCCCAAUGGGAUAUCUGCCAUUAGUCAAAUUUGACACAUAGAAGAACUCACAAAGGAACUCAAAAUGGCCAAGGAUUUUUUCAAAGAAAAUAUGAAUUUUGAACAUAGGGAAAAUGGAUACUUGCCAUAGUUUACAAUAUUGAGUACUAGAAGAUCAUCGGCCUCUAGAUGAAAAAUUCAAAUCCCAAGUUUACAGAGAGGGAAACUGUUAAUCACUAGGUGAUUCUUGUCUAACUAUGUUGAUAUUCAUUCUUGCCUCACAAGUCGCUAAUCUGUUUGCAGUCUACAAAAGCUGCCAAUGGAAGGAUAAAUGAAAAACAUUGCUAUAACAUAUUCAACAGCAAGUAUAUGUUGGCAAAUCCAGAGUCUCCAAAAUCAAUCAAAUAGAUACCCGGUGCGGAGCAAAUCAUUCUUAAAAAAUAUAGCUUCAAGAAAAGUGUUACUCCAUUCUCUCACGUUGGCCAUUCAAGGAUGGAGAAUCUUACUAGAUAACCAGUGCCUUCUAUUGACAUUAGGGUCUAUAUUUUGAUCUUGGCUGAAGCAUCAUGUCAGCUUCUAUGACCAACUACCCUUGCUCCUUCAAUUAGGUAAUACUGGCAAUUGAGGGAAGUCAGAACCCUGUCAUGGAAAACCUUCUUGUCAAAAGAAGAUACUGAUGAAAAGUAGGUCAUGAUUAUUAGAAGAAAAAUGAUAGUUUAUUGCUUAUUUACCUCUGUCAAGGAAACAUGAUUCGUCUCACUGUUGUAAUACAGGUAUAAGAUUCAUCACAUCAUUAUCACUGUGGUAUAAUAUUUCAACAGAGAGAUCAACAGAGAGAUCGAGAUAGAUCUCUUCAUAACUUCCAGUGACGCAUGUUCUAGAUAAUUUUAGCAGCAUUUCCAAUGAGUUGCAACCUUGAACAUCCAAAAGAUCUAAAUCCAUCUUUUCAAGUCCCUGAAGCUGAGUAAGUUUUUCUCAGUCUUUAAUUACUAGAGAUUGUAACUUCUCACAUCCCGUCAAACUUGGCAAAGUCUCCAUUGUCAUGCAUCUUGUAAUAUCCAAUUUUUCCAAGAACUACACACCGUCAAAACCUUAAUUUUCGACUAGAUUGUUGCUCCUAAUGGCCUGUAAUUCCUCCAAACACCAUGAUUUUGGACAGAGAAGCCUUUUAAUGGAAUUGCAGUCAUGUAUAAAUAUGCCCUCCAAGAACUCCAAAUCAUCAUGGGUCUGAAUUUCAGCUAGGUUAUCGCAAUGCUUGGCGCAUAAUCAUUUCAGAUGGAUUAAUUGUGAAAGGGCCAAUCUUUCAAUCAAACUGCACUUUUUUUUUUUUUUAUCAAAACUCUUCCAAGUACUUGAAUCUGUUGAGCUUAAGCAAUAUCAGCUUAUCACACUCCUCAAUACAAAAUUUCAAGGGUCUUGAGGAAAUCUCAUGGAUGUCUUCAACUAGAUGGCAUGCCUUAAAAUUGAGUUUUUCUGGGUGGAUUAGGCUAGAAAGCUGUGGCAACCUGGGACUCUGACAAGAGAUCAACAGAUAUGUCAAGCUUGAAGAAAGCUUUGGCAGCAACCGGAGCCUGUCAUAGCCCAUUAGGCUAAGGCAUUGGAGAGAAGAAACAUUCCGAAUGCUUUCUGGUAGGGUAGAUAGCGGCGCACAAGUGAUAUAGAGAAUCUCAAGUGAAGACAAGUCACCGAUUUCACUUGGAAUUGCUUUUUCAGACAAGGCACAAUAGGAGAUUUAUAGUGCGCAGAUUUUUCAACACCUUCCAAUAGCACUAGGAAGCUUUUCAAUCCUAGGAUCACUAAUGCCCAAAUGUUGCAUAUUCAGCAAAUCUCAAAUUAAGCUAGGGAUUUCUCUGAGUGACUCACAACAGCAGGCGCUCAAUUUCUCCAGCUUCAUCAGAGAACCGAUAGACGUAGGAAUCUCAGUAAUAUCAGCAAAAUCUAACAUAAGUUCUUCUAAUUUGACAGAUUCACCUCUUUUCAGUUCUAACUCAUGUAACAAUCCGCUCUUGGUCCAGUCCGUUGCCACAUUCUUCAUCCAAGAUCCCAAAUUCUCUUGUGGCUACUAAGAUUGCCAUGCUCUCCCCAAUUUCAACUUGGUGAACCAACCAAACACUGAGACACAUUCUCCCAUCCCGUUUUGAUCUUAUCUUCUUCGCUUUCCCCUCCUCUGCAAUAAACACACUAAGUUAUAGCUACUACCAAUAGCUUCCUUCCUUCCAAACAACUCAAAUAGCCAUUUUCACGUGAACCACCGAUUCUUUCUAUCAUUUAACACAUCAUUUCAAGAGAAACCUCAAAUCAAGACGGUGUCANNNNNNNNNNNNNNNNNNNNNNNNNNNNNNNNNNNNNNNNNNNNNNNNNNNNNNNNNNNNNNNNNNNNNNNNNNNNNNNNNNNNNNNNNNNNNNNNNNNNNNNNNNNNNNNNNNNNNNNNNNNNNNNNNNNNNNNNNUUGAUAGAGAAAUAGAGCCCACAUAAACUCCAUCCACACUAGAGACUUAGACAAACUUUUGAUAGAGAAUUGCAUAAAACAACUCUAUACUUCACUUUAGAGAGAGAGAGAGAGACCUGGUUUUAGAGGUGGAAACGCUAAAAACAACUGUGGAGGUGCGACUCCGAGCGACAUGAGCUCCAUGCGUCCACCUAAGAGAAUCUCGAAGGAGAAAGUAAUGCUGCUCUUCAAGAACAAACUAGUCUCUCUACUUGAUUUUAGGUAUGAAAAUGUACAUGGCUGUGUCUCUUCUGCUUUUAGAUUCAUGCUUAAACAAAUCAAGUUUGAGAUUAUACUGCCAAAGUGAUUGCAAAAUGCCUACAUAUGAAUAUUCCGACAUAACUAGACCAGAGAGAUGAUUUUACACUAAUGAAUGCCAUUCUUUUGUGUUCAAAAUUCUUCCAAAUGGGAAACUCCUGUCUUCUUGGACAGCUGUUCAUUGAAACUCUUGGCUGCAAUUUACAGAUUAUUUGCUGAUCUCUUGGCAUUUGCUUUUUCCACGAAAAAAGUCUCCCAGUCACAAAACUGUAGCUUAAAGUGGACAUCUAAAUGGUAAUCUUGUCAGCAACUCUCAUUUUAAGCUUGACUCCACAUAUAGAACCAUCUACACAUGCGGUCUUCCUCCAAGUGAUUUGUGAUGCAGCCGUUGCUACCUCCAAGCGAUUUGUGAUGCAGCCUUUGCUAAAGAGUAGCACAAUUUCAAAGCUUGCAAAGGACUAAUACACCACAUGAGAAGAGGUCGCCUUAUAUCAAGAAUCCUUUGAAGAGUAAUAACAACACAGAGCCAAUGACAAACGCCAAUAGCAAAAAACUCCAGAAUGCCUUUCUAUACUGACAUAGCUCAUUCUUGCUCAUAUCUCCAACCCAUGGUGUCUGGGGACUUUCUCCAAGUUUCAUCAAAUGCAGCUUUAGUCUGCACAAGGAAGAUAGCAAUAACUAAUUAUCAAUAAAUCCAAGAUCGUAGCAUCAGAAUUUACCCCAUGAGAGAUAAGGUACAAAUGCGUAAAUAUCAAUACCAGAGUUGGACCACAAUGAACAAAGACUUUAUUAGAUGGCCGAUGAAAAAGAAACCAACAGGCAUAAAAGGAGUAAGCAAUUAGCAACACUUUUCCUUUUUGUGUUUAGGAACAGAAUUGAAAUUAAUAAAAUUAUGCUGAAAGGAUUAGUGCCUAAACUACAGAACAGAAAAAUUUAUUUGCUACUGGGUUAUAUUGCAAGAUCCAAUUAGCAAAAUCAGCAAUACAGGAUUAGUUUGUGAUGAGGUUAAUUUCAACUUUACAGAUCCAAUGUUGCAUACAUGAAAACUGAUCUUAUCAAAUCAGAAACCUAUAUGACAACAUUCAAAGGAUAUCAUCACACAAAUGAACUGAUAAAAAUGGAGGAGCCUAGCAGUGCAUACCUCCCUCUACAAAGCCUUAUCAAUUCGGGAGUGAUACCAUUAGAAUGUAACCGCAUCGGACAACUCUGCAUUAGGGUAACAUGCAAAAAAUCAGCAGCUUAGUAUUUGAUUAAAGGAGAGCUAGAACCUGAUGAGCAUACAAAAAGCAUAUUUAAUUGAAAAAAAAUACAUUUACAAUCAUUCAGGGAUGUGAUGUUAAGAUCAGAUCAAGUGUUUGAAUAUUCAUAAGCAUCAAAACUUCCUUGGAACACUCCACUCAGCCCCAGAGUAUCUUCAAGGUUGGCACGCAAGAUGGUCCUCAGUUGUUGCGAUAGCUUCCUCUGCAAAAUCCCUUUUCUUUAUUUUGAUCAGCCUCAGGUAUGGAAUUUGAAGUUCCUCAGCACAGUUAGCCAUGCCCAAAUCAGUCAUGUCAUAAAGCAAUUCCAUGACAACAAUAGGAUCAAACGGGAUGCAAACUAAUUAGCAAAUUCUUGAGCUACUCAUCCCAGCUUGUUUCACAGACAGGCAAAAAAUUAUCCACUAAUGCAAAAGGUCAUCGAUACAAUUAAUUGGAUUGAAGUCCCAAAGUAAGCCUAGAUCGUUACAUAGACCAACCAAACCUGUCAUAGAAGCGGCACCAGUUUACCUUGCUUGAUAAUCUUUAAAAACAACAGUUUGACUACUAAUAAUGUUAAGGUGGUCUACAUUCAUAUAUGACAGACUAGCCAAAACUACUUUUAACAUUUUUUUUGUAACCAAAUAGAAACACUUGAACCUUGAAUUUUAUUUUAGCUCAGUUCAUCAUAUUCCGAGAAGUGAUGCUCUUCUUAGAAGGUUAAUGAGGGACAUCAAGGAAACAAUAAGAAACUUGACGGGUUUCGUUCAUUAUGGAAAAUCGAAAGGCGGUUGUCCCAAACAGGAUAUCUAUCAAAUUUGACAUACAAUAGAACUUACAAUGUAACUCAAAAUGGCCAUAGAUUUUUUCAAAGAAAAUAUAAACAUUGGACACUGGGAAAUUCUGGGUAUAGUAUACAGUAAUGAGUAGCAGAAAUUCAUCAAACUCCAUGCCUUCUAUUGACAUUAGGGUCUGCAUCUUGAUCUUGGCUAAAGCAUCAUGUCAGCUUCUACGGCCAACUCCCCCACUCCUUCAAUUAUGUAAGACUAGCAAUUUAGGAAAGUACAGAACCCUAUCAUGAAAAAUCUUCUUGUCAAAAGAAGACAGUAAUGAAAAGUAGGUCAUGAAUCUCAAAUGAAAAAUGAUAAUUCAUUGCUUAUUUACCUCUGUUCAGGAAGCAUCACUCCAUGAGUCAAAAGACAACUCUUGUUCAUAAUUUCUAAAGACGUUUGAUCUAGAUAAUUUCGGUAUUGCUUCCAAUGAGUCACAACCAGAAAUAUCUAAAUCAAUUAAAUUCAACUUUUUAAGUCCUUGAAGCUGAGUAAGUUUCUUGCAGUCUCGAACUCUUAGAGAUCGUAACUUCUCACAUCCUGUCAAAUCUGGCAAACUCUCCAUUGAUUUGCAUCCUGUAAAAUCCAACUCUUCUAAGAACUCUGCACCAUCAAGACCUUGAAUUUUAACCAGAUUCUCGCACUCAACAGCCACUAAUUUCUUCAAAUACCGUGAUCUUGGACAGAGAAGAUAUCUAAUGGAAUUGCAGUCAUAUAAAAAUAUGACCUCCAAGCACACCAAAUCAUCAUGGCUGUGAAUUUGAACUAGGCUAUUGCAAUGCUCAACGCGAAAUAUUUUCAGAUGAAACAAUCGUGAAAGGGUCAAGUAUUUAAUGGAACUGCACUUUUCUAUUGAAAGCUCUUCCAAGUACGUGGGUCUGUCGAGGCAAAGUGAUGUCAGCUUAUCCCUCUCCUCAAAACAGAGUUUCACUGGUAUUGAGGAAAGCUCGUAGAUGUCUUCAAGUAAAUGGAGUACAUCAAGAGAGAGUUCUUCUAGGCGGAUGAGGCUAAAAAGUUGUGGCAGUCCAAGACUCUGACAAGUGACCCAAAGAUGUGUUAAGCCCAAAGGAAGCUUUGGCAGCGACUGGAGCUCCUCACAGCCCUUUAGGUCAAGGCAUUGGAGAGAAGAAGGAAGCUCUGGCAGCGACCGGAGCUUCUUACAGCCCCUUAGGUAAAGGCUUUGGAGAAAAGAAGGAAGCGCUGGCAGCAACCGGAGCUCCUUACACUUCCAUAGGUCAAGGCUUUGGAGAGAAGAAAGAUUCCGGGUGCUUUCUAGCAGGUCAGAUAUCGGUGUUGCAAAGAGAUUGAGAAUCUCAAGGGAAGGCAAGUCACCGAUUUCACUUGGAAUUGCCCCUUUCAAACUAUUGCACUUUAUGAGAUUUAGAAACUGCCGAUUUUUCAACCCUCCAAUAGCACUGGGAAGCUUUUCGAUCGCAGUUUUUCGCAAGUUAAGGUAAUGCAAAUUCUGUAAAUCCCCAAUUGAGCUGGGGAUUUCUCUCAAUGAGUUACACCACUCGGCACUCAGUGUCUUCAAUUUCCUCAAAGAACCAAUAGACGAAGGAAUUGCUAUAAUACCAGAGUAACCUAAAAGAAGUUCUUCUAAAUCUUUUAAUCCACCCACCUCCUCUGGUAGCUCCUUGAGACCUCUACAGUAACUCAAGUCCAAGGUAACGAGGCUUGUGAGUUCGCCAAUAGAAGGGUGGAGACGCUCCAAUCCAUAACAAAAGCUCAAUAUGAGAAUUUUCAACUGCGUGAAAGCUGAGAGUUCAGGAGUACAUCUUAAAUUAGAACAACCUAGAACGCUGAGAACUUUAAGCUGCUUCGACGCCUAAUACAAAAGGAGAAUAAUCCGUCAAAUGAGGAGUUGAUUGGCUAAACAAAAAACAAACCUCAAGAUCGCAGAGAGGAUGUAUUCUUUUCCCAAUCUUACCCUGAAUGAAUUCCAUCCUUCCCAAUUCUCUGUGAUUCCUCGCCCACAUAAGUACAGCACCGAUAAUUUUGGCAAAUGCAAGUUGAUCAUCGAAAGAGACCCAUCGUUUCCAAAAACGCUCCACUCAAACCAUCUCACUUCAGAAAACUUGGAAUCUCCGCUAGAAGCUGCCCCCAAAAAGUCGUGGAACCAAGGGCGUCUCUGCAAGUUUUUUCACUUUUUAGUUUUUGCUUUUUUUAAAUCUUGAAUUUGCACGAUUACCUUUUUAUCCUUCCCCUAUACAUGUAUGGAUAUGUAAACUCACAUUUAUUUCUUCUUUUUUUUACAACCUUUUGAAAGUUAAACAAAUGACGCAAAGAUAAAGAAAAAAAUUAUUAUUGCUUUAAAACAACUAAGGCAAAUGCACCUCAAUGUUUUAUCUCUAGCUUCUUCUUCUUUUUCAAAAUUUUGUAGCGCAUGGAUUUUCACUUUCAUUUAAGAAGAAAAACAUAAAACUAGUUUACAACGUACAAAUGUUUACUUAUAAAAUUUUUAAUGACUUAUAAUUUUAAAAGAAUUUGUUAAAGAGUGUCAACGGGCCACCUGUAAGUAGCUAAGGAAGCACCCUAUUUUCAUUUCAUUAGUUAAAUGUAAUAAUGUGGAAGAGAAAAAAGGGGGAAUUUUUAAUAUAUUCAGAUAUAUAGAAAAGUUUACAUGGAGGGAAAUUAAAAGAAAUCAAAUAUGAUAUGCAUUAUGAAAAUAGAUAUAGAAAAUUAAAGGAAAUAUCCUUAUCUCUAGAAGGUUUCUAAAUAUCUUUAACAUCAUUAACUAUUUGUGUGGAGUGUUUACUCAUUUUUUUGACAAUCGAAACGUUUUUGUUUUUAUUUUUUGGGUAAAGUUUGUUUAAAAAGUGACGUGGCAACAUUGGUUAGUAGUUUUGACCAGGAUUGAAAAAAAUAAGUCGCUUUCAGAAUAACUAGAAAAUGAACCGAUUAACUAAAAAAUGUCGUGGUAACAUUGUUUAAUCAUCAUACGUUGGUUUCCAUAAGAAUAGCAUCAUUUCUUUUUCCAUUUAUAAAUAAAAAAAACAUAUUGUUUAACUUUCCUACUAAAACAGAUCAUUUAAUUAGUUGCAGACGGUGAAAGAAAUUUCCUUAUGGCUUUAUUUGACUUUUAUAAUAAUACCUAUAUUUUCCCCCAAAAGUUUAAUUGGUUAGAAAUUCACUUUUAUGGUUAGACGCAUUUGUCGUUAUAUCUGCUUUAAAUAUUAACCAGUGAAAUGCAAUGGGCAUAAAUUCUCUUAAGUCUAUUCGUCUGAAAAGUCGCUAAAUUGUUGUAAUCAUAUCCCAUACUAUUUUUAAUAAUUUUCUCUUGUACAUCAAUCUAUACUAUGUAUUACAUUAAAAAAAUCUACUGUAUGAAAAGGGAUUUCAAACCUCAAACUUUCAUCAAAAGUUUCCACAAAAUUUGCAUAUAUUUCACCAAAAUUAACUAAAGAAAUAGGAUAUAACAAAAUAGACAUAAUCAUAUUUGAAAUAGUCAAGACAAUUGGAAAUCAGUCCCACAAGUAUUUCAAUUUCCAAAGUUAAAUCAAAAUCUUUGGAAUGGUACAAUCAUUUCAUUUUUUUCGACGCAAUUUAUCAUCUUUUAGCAUUUUUGUCCAUUCAAAACAGGAUUGACUUUUCUUUUUCAUUGUUCCAAAUACCUGUACGGUGUGUUUUUUUUUUUGCUAAUGCUAAGAAGUUAUUGGAUCAACAAAAGAGUGUGAUAUUAAAUCAUAGAAACAAACUAUUUGAAAUUAUAUCAAGAAUAUAAGGCUGCUUUGUUUGCCCAACAUCCCUUGGUCAAUUUCUAGGGUUAAUUCCUUGCCAUUGAUCAGCCAUGAAACUGUAAAGCUUUUCAAAUGGACAAUAUAUAAUAAAAUGACAUGAACAUUGAUAAUUUAAGUUAAAUAUAAAACAUAGUUGAAAAAAUUGGCUUCAUGCUGAAAAUCAUAUAUAAUGAGUACAAGGUUAUGGAUAUAAUAAUAAGCAUGACAUUUCCUCCGAUUAGUCAAGUUUUCUUUUUUUAUCUUAAAAAUAGUCAAGUUAGUCUAGCGAAUUCUGGCACAAAAGAGGCAGUGCCCAAAAAAUAUAAAUAAUAUAAAAAAACUUAUAGCAGAUAGAGAUAUUUGUUAUACGCCUGACCUAAUCCAUGAAAUAAGCAAGGUCAAUGGGAUAAAACCUUAAAAAACAUUAAGAUUUGCUUGUAUAUAUAUUUUUAAGGGAUUUUUGCUCUCUAUUAAGAGGAGAUAACAAUGAAAAGAGAUAGAUAUAAAUAACUAGUUGAGGGACCGGUAUCUUCAAAAUCAAAACAGAGAAAAAAAUAUAUCAAACAUCCGAUUUCUAAAUCACAAGAGCACCACAAUACAUUCGGCCGUACUAGAAAGCAAACAUAUGUGAUAAGUGUGAAAUUUUUUUCCAAUCUUAUUGCUUUGAAUUAUUUAUCAGUUAUUAUACUAUCUCCAUCUUUUUUCUUAAGCAGGAAAUCUUCAUUUAUUUGAUCUAUGAUGUUUAUACUUCGUCUUCAUUCAUAAUUAUAGUCCUUCUAAUUAUCAAUAUUUUCAACUAGAUAUGACAAUUGCAUGCUUUAAGUAAAUGAGAUUUAUAGUCUAAAUUUGUAGUUAAAGGAUCUUGACUUGAUUGCAAAACAAAUUUUUACAAAUGUAAUUUACAUCGAUGAAAUUGAAUCAAUGAUAUAACUUUUUCAUCCUUAAGAUACUUAUGAUUUAUUUAGUGUCACAAUUAAUCUACGAUGUACAUAAAUGGAUGUUUAAAUAGAUUUUUUUCCUAGAAAGUAAGAGCAUCUUUUCAUGCUCAAUGAAAUAUUAGAAUAGAUCAGAAUAAAUAUAUUAAAUAAGAGGGAGAGGGGAAAAAAAAAGAGUGCCAUAUUUUACCUCUGGAUGUCUUAGUACUUUUGGGACUCCCUCAUAGUUGUCAUUCCAUGGUCCACUACAUUUCUCAAGUGGUUGUCCUUGGCAAAAAAUGCUCCUUCCAAGAUCUCUUAGUUGAUCAUGCACCAUAAAUACACCAUCAUCUCCAAUUUUAAUUAAGCACCUCAAUUUCAACUCUUCAAUUCCUUGAUUUGGAUAAAACCCAGAGUCCUCCCACAUGUGCAUGGCGAAUUGUGCAGCUUCACCAUUGUCAUGUAUGCCAAGAAAGAAACAAACAAUAUCGAGAAAAAUCUGCUUAUGUCCUUCUUCUAAUGCAUCAUAACUUAUUUGCAAUAUCUUUUGGACAUUUCUAUCUAGUUGGUUUUUUACUUUCUUCUGCACAUCUUCCCAUACUUUUCGAUCUUUCCGAUACAAGUAUGAACCUACAACCCGAAGUGCCAAGGGAAGCCCACCCAUGGUGCAUAUGAUAUCACGAGAUAUGCCGUCAAAGUCCCCCGGAGAAUGGUCCAUACGAAAUGCAUGUCUAUUAAACAAAAGCAAAGCUUGCACCUUAUCCAAUUCAUGCAAUUCAUACUUGUAGUCUACCUCAAAUUCAGAUUGAUCAAGAACAGCCUUGUUUCUAGUGGUAACAAUGAUCAAACUUCCUGCCAUAAACCAAUUAUGUUUCCUAACCAAUGCAUCUAGUUGAUUCUUGUCAUCUAUAUCAUCCAAAAGAAUAAGAACCUCUUUUUGUCUGAAUCUAGAUUUGAUUAUAUUAAUUCCAUCAUCAAUUCUAGAAACUUUGUUUUUUUCAUUUAGUAAAUCUGAUAUAAGUUGACUCUGUAAAUACGUAAUACCGUGGCGCCUGGAAGUUUCUCGAACAUCUGGAAGGAAACUGACAUGCACAAAUUUAUUCAAGAGUUGAUUAUAGAUGCACUUGGCAAGAGUUGUCUUGCCUAUCCCGCCCAUGCCAUAAAUUCCAAUCAUUCGAGCAUUGAUGGAAGGCUUGUCGGUCCAAUUCAUCAUUCCUUUCAUACAAUCAUCAAGUCCAACUGGUUGCUCGGGCACGUCCAGCUGAAAAUCUUUUUGUAACUUACUUAUAACAAUUUCAACCACACGUUCUAUUAAUUUCCCCUCAUGCCUGUCAAACAACAAAAAUAGUGAGAAGUUAUGAACCUAGACAUAGUCUAUGCGAAGUAUUCUAUUCUUACCAACUGAGCUAACCCUUGUUGGCUAUAUAGGAGGUCAAUUUUAUCUAGUGGUGAUCAAAAUUUGAAGACCAAGCAUUGGAGUCAUUUGGAGGUCUAUUGUUUAGUGAUUGAUAUUAUUGGCUGGAGGUAUUGUUGUUUCUUUGUUUUUUUUUUUUUGGCUCUAUACCAGAGAAAAGUUUAAUUUCUUGGGCACUUUGGUUUCAGUUGUCGUUGGUUUAGUUUUCAGGGACAUCUUGGGGCGUACUGGUGUUUGUUGUCUUCUCGAGGCAUUACGGCUGUUUAUUUUGGCGAUCUUUUCUGAGCUUGCAAUAAAAGUAAUUCAUCUGCAUUUCCUCAAUUCUGCCAAAAGAAGAAAACCUACUUAUCAAAAAAGAAAAGUUCAGUAAAGUACCCGUCCGCAAUUUUUUUAGAUUCCCAUCCCUGUAAGUAGCUGACUUCAUUAAGUGCUCGUUGCCCUUCCUGGAUAUCCUUCUCAUCAAAAUGCUCCCGACUUGAAUGGAAGGCAUUUCCAAAAUUUCCUUUUAGAUGCCGCACAUCCGAUGGGGCAACUUUGUAAAAUAUAGGCAACACUAUGUGUGACACGCUCUUCUUAUGGUCCAUGAUAUGAACGAGCUCGCGAAGGCACCAUUUGCUUGAAGCAUAAUUUUCGGAGAUGACGGGAAUCGAAAUCUUAGACUGUGCAAUGGCAUCAAGAAUCUCUGAACCAAAUUCCUCACCAAUCGGGAUGUUGUUCUCGUCCCUAAACACGCGAAAUGGUAUAGUCCCUGCCUUGAUCAGACUGUGAUAGAGGUGAUCGGUGAAUGUCUUGCGGGUAUCCGAGCCUCUAAAGCUCAAGAACACUUCGUAUUGACCGCUACCUACACCUGUGGCUUCUGUAGGGAUGAAUGAAGAAGUGGAUGCUCCUUCAGUGCUCUCUUCCUCUGCCCUCUUUCUCUUUCCCUGACUCUGCCCUCUGUCCAUGGCAAUCUGAGGGGGAAAGUUGAAAAGAAAGAUACUUUUUUUGCUGCUUAAAAGGAUUGUUGAACAACGAAAGUCGCUUUUAGGAUGCUUUUCUACAAAUGCUUGUUGGCUUCAAAUAACGGGUUUGUUAAUUACCUAGGUAAUAAAGACACGACCUUCAGUUAAGUAAGCUCAUGUCGUUUCACUGCAGAAGAUUAGGUGGCCCAAAAGAGGCCCCCAAAAAUCCCACAUCAUUUACUUGUUUAGAAACACAAAUUCAAAAUUACACAAAUUGCAUUGCAAUUAAUCAACUUCCUUAAAGCACAUUUGAACAAUUACAGAACUUCACGCAUGUGGAUGAUAUUUAAAGGCGGAUUCUUUCAGUUCAAGGUACGAUAUUGAAAUUAUGCAUGGAACUCCAUGGAAGCAUCUUCCUCUGAAUAUAAGCUCACACGAUGCCUACUCCUUGUCAUAAUCUUCAACCUUACUCUUAUUAUUUUUAUCCUAAUAUAUAAACAACCCUAACUAUCUCCACCACCUCAUUUUCACAGCCCCUUCCGUCUAAUCCCAUGUCCAUUGGCCAAACUAAUGAAGUGUCAUGUAAUUGUUGCCCAAUAAACCACAUCCUCUAGAAGUGUGCACUUUCCUAAUUGAUGGAAAUUUCCAUCAAUCACAUUUUAAUUUGGCGGGUUUCAAGUUUUAGGCAUUGCUCAUAUGUAAAAUUAACUAAAUCUAAAAUAUUAAUCAAGGAAAAAAUUUCAAUUGGUCAAUUGUUUUGAUUACGAAGGAAGUUGAUGAAAAUGAUUCUAAAUGAAAGGGAAAUGCUUCCUUUUGGGCCCACAUUUUAUUUCUUUCUAAAAGUGCAUAGACAUGAGAGGAAAUGCAAAAAUUGCACUUUUCUUCCAAUUGGCCUUACUUCUAUUUAAGGAUGAAUAGAAUGAACGAUAAUUAAGUCCAUCAAUGAAAUUAAGUUCCAUUUACAUCAUUUCCACCCAACAAGUAUCCAAGCAUAUUUCGAGGACUUUUAACUUAUUUCUCCAAGAAAACUCGAGCUUCUCUCUUCUCCCUUCCAAUGGCUUGGAACGAGGUACUCUCCCUCUUGCUUAACUUCAAUCAAUCUUAGACCCUCCCUCCCUCCCUCCCUCCCUCCCCCCUAUGUUCUUUUCUCUUUUUGUUUGAAUGUUGCUUCUCUAUUCGUUUCGUGCUUCACUUCUUUGAUGUUUUCGUCCAAUUUAGUGAUUUCAUAUUUUAAUUUUAUUUAAAAUUGCCAUAUUCUUAAUGAGGUUGGAAAUGCAAGGUAGAGAUGAACAAAUGUUGUUGUCAUUUCUCUCUUAUUUAUUUCGUGUUGGCCUCCCAUGCCAAUAAUUUUAUAAGAGAUGAAUCUAUGAUAUGAUGUUAUCAAGCUAUUCACUUCCAACUUUCAAUUUAAAUUAUUGAUUGAUAAAUUGUCUGCAAAAUAGAGUUAUAAUUUGUUAAAUGACACCAAAUGAGCAUAACACGUUAGUAUUAAGUUAUGAUAUAUGAAAUACUUGUACACUGUCCUUGAGUUCUUUUCCAGGUCAUUUUUUUAUUACAAUUCUGUUGGCAUAUCAUUCAACUCUUGAAAAGUCAGUAAAACAAUGAUAAAAGAAGCAUGCGAAAUAUUCAAAAAAUAAAAGAUAAUUUAAGAAAAAACAUAGAAAAGAAGGAAAUGAAGUGUCUAGGCUUACUUUUUGAAGGAAGCAGUGAAUUUUUGGAGGUAAUGUCCAAAUGGCUUUUGAAUUAUGAAUUCACAACACAUAGAAACUUUCAUGAACAUGAAUUGAAAGUUAAAAAGGGAAUGAAAGAUGUAUGGCAAUUUGAGGGCGAAAGUUGGAGCAAAAGAUGCUUUUUUGCUGCAUAGAAAGGAUCGAUGAACUAAUCUCCAAGAACAAUAAUGAACAUAAAUCCAUUACCACACAAGGAAAAACGAACAUGAAAUCUUUAAUUAAGUGGUAGUUGAUUGACUAGGAGCAGUUGCAGAUGCUUUUAGCCCUUGCCUUAUCUUCUUUUGGACCUCAAACUCUUCAAGUGAAAACUUGUUGGCUUGAUCCACCCAGGAGUACCGUGUACAUUAAUUUUUCAAUUGGGCUAUAAAGAACUAGAAUCUGUGUACAAGUAUACUGCAUUCAACUAAAAAUAUAAGCAUAGGUUUGGUUUUUAUUUGGUUAUUGAAACUCGGAAUUUGAUAAAUCAUUUAAAGAUAAUAAUUGAUUUGAAACAGAAUUAGAAAUGUCUGAAAGACUUCAAGAAAGAACCAAGCUAGUAAUUGUGGAUGUGAUUUUAUAUUUUAAUUUUGUUUAAAAUUGUCAUAUUCUUAAUGAGGUUGGAGAUGUGAGGUAGAGAUAAACAAAUGCUCAUGGUUUGGCACCACAUGCUACAAUUCCAUGUAAAAUGAAUUUAUUUUGAAUUAGUAUGCUAUCACUGAGCCUUUCAAUUCAAAUUUUCAAAUCUAAAAAGUUGAUUGAUAUCUUGUCUAUAAAAUAGAGCUAUUAGAUGGCACCAAACAGAGGAGCGGAUGCUCCCUUGGUGCUCUCUUUUUAUGCACUCUUUUUUCUUCUUAUUGACAUUAUUGAACAUGGUUAUUUAUCUUUUAUCUAUUUCACGCUUGCACCACAAUGAAUUUAUUUUGAAAAAUCACUCAGCCUUUCAUUUCAAAUUUUCAAAUCUAUAAAGUCGAUUGAUAUCUUGUCUAUAAAAUAGAGCUAUAAUUUGUUAGAUGCCACCAAACGGAGGAGCAUAGUGCUCUCUUUUUAUGCACUCUUUUUUCUUCUUAUUGAGAUUAUUGAAUACAAGCAUAAAGACACAAGAAGCACCGCAAAGGAACGACCUGAAAUGGAAGUAGAAUAGGAUAAUUGGCUAAAUUUGUGAUAAUUCAGGUUAAAUUGAUUAAUCACAUUUUGAAGAACGAAUUUAUUGUUUGUAAAGAAAGAGGUGUAAGAAAUGAGUGAUAUAAAGCUAGGUGACUCUCCUAAUAUGCGUGUAUGGCCCAAUUUAUUCGAUUGUUUUCAUGAGUGUUGUCAUAAGAUCGAUCUCUAUUUUUUUCUUACUAUUGGAUAUCAUGUAAAAGAUCUUAAGAAGUAUCAUACUAUGGACUUUGGUAUGUUUUAUAUUGCAGUGAUUGAAAUUAUCAUGAGUUGUGAGCAGGUAAAAAGUAGCGAUAUAGUUAAAAUGCUCAAACUCUCACCGUACUUUUUAAUUCCUUGUUUACUUUUCUUUUUUUUCAAGUAAAGACUCGGUCAAUUUUUGAAGCUUUGAAGUGAGAAAAUGAUUUUCUUUUUCUUUUUUCUUGCUAAAGAAGGGAGAAAAUGAAUUAGAGGUGAAAGCGAAUACACUUUCUAGGAUUAAUGGUCCAACAAUUCGAGUAAAACAGGAUAUUACUCAUUUGGAAUGUUCUAGAGGGAGGUAAAUUUGUUGAAUGAAGUCUCCUUAAGAGAAGACUUGCUCUUAGGAUGAAUAAUUUCAGGAUAAGUGGGUAUUAAACAAAGAAUUAGGAACUUAUUAUGUAAUGAUUGGUUCUCCUCUUUUAUAACCGAGAACCAAACUAGUUGACCCAGGAACCAGCCUAAUUUUAUUUUUCUGAUUUAGUUUUCCAUAAAUUGAUCUAGGACCUUCAAACAUAGAGAAACCUCACAAUGCAAAAGAAAAAUAGAAUAGUCUCUGAAUUCAACCGAAAUGUGGCAAAUUUGCGCGCAACAGAGUCCAGUGCACUUGCAGACCUACUCGCUCUAGUUCAACAAAAGAUUAAUACUGAAUUACGAUGUGAGUAAGAAUCACACAGCAAGGCCAUCAUAGGAUUAGACACAUCUAAAGUCGAAAACAAAAGGCUUUCCUUUUUUCACUGAAGUCAAAUCUAAGCCGGGGACAUACCUCGUUCAAUAGGCAACAGCGACUCCAAAAGAGAGAAUAGAAGACCCUCCUCUGCUAUUCAGUAACCACCCCCGCAUCCCCAAUAGACAAAAAGGGCCCAGAGCGCACUUUGUUCAACCGAUUAUUCCAAUAAUAAAGUGACAAAAUCAAAAUAAACGAGAUGCUAAUAAGAGAUCAAAAAGUGAUUAUCACAAGUGAGCUGAGGUGUGAAGCGAGGCACAAGAUCAGAGAGAGAGGAACUGUAAACAAGCCUAGGCGAGAACUUUCAAGAGGGAUAAAGAACAGAGAAAGCGAGUGAGGACUAAUCAGUAGACAAUAGUCUCAAAUUGUUUGCAAGAGAGAGGCCGCAUGCAAAUGAUAAAGUGAGAGAGAGAGAAAGAGAGAGAGAGAGAGAGAGAGAGAGAGGACCAAUUAGUAGUAGGCGAUAGUCUCGAAUUAUUAUCUAUGGACCUAUAUCUUCAUAUGGCUGAUUGUCUUGUAGCAAUAAAAUUGUUUUCAGGUGGCAAGCCAAGUCAAGCCACACAAUUUGGACCACAGUACGGAUGACCACUUCUAUUCAUAUCUACUUAGAAACUACUUUGUUAAACUGAUAAUCGUGGCUCUAACCGACAUGUGAAUCUUCCAUUAUAUUAUUUUCAAAGACGUUCUUACUCCUGUAAAUGCUACAUUCUCCUCCCACCCUAAACAUGAAUAGAUCAUACUGUCAAAUCCAUCGUAAGUCAGUAAUUUUCUACGCUAUAUAUAUGUAAAAGUCAUGUCUUUGCUCUAAGCAAUAGUCUCAAAUUGUUUGCAAGUACGUUGAUGAGUUUCUCUAAUUCAAUCUACAAAGAUAAAGUCCACCUAAAAAUUGUCCACAUAUUAAAUAUGUGCAAGUACGUUGAAAGCAGCAGCUUUGCUCACUUUCAAGUUUUCCAUUUUAACCAGCACAAAAAAUGGUAAUAUUGUGAAUUUUUCAUAAUUUCCGAAGCCAUUUGAAUUAUGAAUUUGGUGAAUUUAAAGUUAAAAAGAAAAUGAAAGAUGCUUUUAUGCUGCAUAAAAGUAUCGAUGAACUAAUCUCUACGAACAAGAAUGAACAUGAAUGUUACCACGCAAGAAAAAACCAACAUGAAAUCUUUAAUUAAUUGGUAAUUGAUUGACUACGAGCAGUUGCAGAUGUUUUUAGACCUCGUCUUGUCUUCUUUUGGACCUCACACUAUUCAAGUCAAACUUGUUGGCUUGAUUAACUCACGAGUGAUGUGUUCAUUAAUUUUUCAAUUGGGCUAUAAAGAACUAUAAUCUGUGCACGAGUAUAUUAUAUUCAAUUAAAAUUAUAAGCAUAUGUUUGGUUUUUUUUUUUUUUUUGGUUAUUGAAAAUCAGAAUUUGAUAAAUCAUUCAAAAGACAAUAAUUGAGUUGGAACAAAAUUAGAAAUGCGUGGAAGACAUUGAGAAAGAACCAAGCUAGUAAUUGUGGAUGUGAUUUUAUAUUUUAAUUAUGUUUAAAAUGGUCAUAUUCUUAAUGAAGUUGGAAAGGAGAGGUAGAGACAAACAAAAAUGCUCGUGGAUCUUUUAUCUAUUUCAUGCCGGCACCGCAUUCUCCAGUUCUAUGUAAAAUGAUUUUAUAGUGGCAUGUUAUCACCGAGCCUUUUGUUUCAAAUUUUCAAAUCCGAUAUCUUGUCUAUGGAAUUAGAGCUAUAGCGCUCUUUUCUUUCUCCAUGUUAGUCUGAAUGAUUAGAAAUUAGGUACGGAUUCGAUGGAAGAAGGAGAAGAAGAGAAGGAAGUAAGAGGAAGCUGCUGCGGAAAAUUCAGAGUCGACCACCUUGAGAAUGGCGUUGAGCGCUUGUCCCCAUUUUUGUGGAAUGCCCAUCUUGAGAAUAUCACCGCAGAGAGGUGUAAGAAAUGAGUGAUAUAAAGCUAAGCGAAUCUCCUAAUAUGCGCAUAUGGCUCGAUUUAUUUGAUUGAUUUCAUUUGUGUCAAAAGAUCAACUAGAUUUUUUUUUUCUAGGAUUAAUGGUCCAACAAUUCGAGGAAAAUAGAAUAUUACUCAUUUGGAAUACUAUAUAGGGAGGUAAAAUUGUUGAAUGAAAUCUCUUUAAAAAAGACUUACUCUUAGGAUGAUCGGUUUCAAGAUGACUAGAUUCUUAAUUAAGAAUCACGAACUUAUUCUUUAAUAAUAAGUUCUCCAUUAUUGUAACCGAGAACCAAACUAGUUGACCCCAGAACCACCCAACUAUUUUUUUUCUAUAAAUUGAUCGAGGACCUUUAAACACAGAGAAGCCUCACAAUGAAUAAAAAAAAAAUUGGUCUCUGGAUUCGAGCGAAACAUGGCAAUUUUGCACGCAAUAGAGUCUAGCGCAUUUCCAAACCUACUCGUUCUAGUUCAACAAAUGCUCAAUACUGAAUCACAAUGCAACUAACAAUGAGGCAAUAAGGCCAUCAUAGGAUUAGCCACAUCUAAAGUGGAAAACAAAGGCUUUCUGUUUUCAUCGAAGUCAAAUCGGAGCUGGGGACAUUCCUCGUUAGGAGGUAACAACGACUCCAAAAGAAAGAAUAAAAGGCCCUCCUCUGCAAUUCAGCAGCCACCACCACAUCCCCAAUAGACCAAAAGCACCCAGAACAUACUAGUUCGGCCUAUCAUUUCAAUAAUAAAGUGACGAAUCAAUAGAAACGACAUGCUAAUAAGGGAUGAAAAAGUGAUUACCUUUCGUGAGUUGAGAUGCAGAGGGAGGCGUGAGAUCGGCGAGAGAAGACCCUAAACAAGUCUGGGCAAGAACUUCUAAGAGGGAAAGAACAGACAGAGAGUGAGGACUAAUCAGUAGAUGAUAAUCUCGAAUUGUUCUGCAAGAGAGUGCAAGAGAGAGGCCAAAUGUGAAAGAUAAAAGUAAGAAAUGAGAGAGGGAGAGAGAGAGAGAGAGGACCAAUGAGUAGUAGACGAUAGGCUGAUUGACUGGUAGCAAUUAAAUUGUUUUCAAAUGGCAAGCCAAGUCAAGUCACGCAAUUUGGACCCGAGUACGGAAUGCCCACUUCUGUUCAUAUCUACUUAUAAAACAUUUUGUUAAACAGAUAAAUGUGGCUCUAAUCGGCUUGUGAAUUUUAUGUCAAAGUCGUUCUUACUCUGUAAAUGCUACAUUUCCCUUCCACCCUAAAUAUGCAUAAAUCAUAUCGUCAAAUCUAUCAUAGGUCAGUAAUUUUCUACACUAUAUAUACGUAAAAGUCUUUGUUGAAAGCAGUAAAAUCGCAUGAAAACCACACUUUAUGACAAGUUUCUCUAAUUCAAUCCACUAAGAUAAAGUCCACCUAAAAAUUGUCCACAAAUAUGUGUAAGCUCAUUGAAACCAGCAGCUUCGCUCACUUUCAAAUUUCCAUUGUAACCAGCACAAAAAAAUAGUGCAAUUGUGAAUUUUUCAUAAUUUCCGGAAAACAUUUGAAUUUUUUGUCAUUUUCUAGAAAUUACAAAAAUUGCCAAUAUAAGGGAAAAUGGUUUUAUGGACAUUUAAAAAUUCUCUAGUUGACCUGAUCGGUUCAGAUAAAUUUUUGUUGUUGACAAUUCUGAUCCACACCCUUUGAAAGGUUUUGUGCGACUCUUGAAGAGAAUAGACCAGCACGAUCGAUAUUUGGAAAAAAUCUAGUUUUUAAAUGUAUUCAAGGAAAAAAAAAAGAAUUAUUUCUGCAAAAAUUGAGUAUUUUGGAUGUUUCAGGCUUUAAGUACUGUUGGCUCCGACCAAAAAAACAAGUAAUUUUGGACAUUUAGGUGACAUAGGACACGGACGCAAAUCGGUUUAGAGGUAUUCUCGUAAUUUUAUCGACGGGUUGUCCUAUCAAUUGCAAUAGACCGGAGGACGAAGGUCGGACUUACCUCCAGAAGGGGGUAUUCAGAGAUGAAAUCACUGUGAUAUGCGUCAGUGUUUGAGAAGAAGCCGCCUUUGAAGCAGAUCGAGUUGUGUCUGAGUUCCGAAAGGCAGCACAAUCCCGAGGAUCACCUUCACGCCUCGACCUGGACCGGCUUCGUUUGGAGAUACGCCGAGGUAAAUUUGCAGAUCAUCUCAGGUCAGAACAUCACGAGAAAGGACGAGUAGUGGCUACAAAAUCACCAACAACAUGCAAGGAACUUACUAUCUCUCGAUUAAAUUGCAGCUCUUCUCUGGUAUAUCUGGAGAUCCCAGAAACAACCCUCGUGUUCCCAGCAAAGACCGCGCCACCAAACCCAGGAACCCUAAUCGCCUCAGCGGAGUCCACGAUCGGAAAUUAUAGCGAGCGGAACACUAAAAAGUUGGAAACUCGACGCGAUUCGAGUCGAUUUUACCUGUUAAUGGAUGCCCGCCGAAAACCCCGUCCCUCAAGACAACUAUCGAUGGGGUUCUUUGAAGCCGGUGGUUCGGAAGGAGCGAUUGCAGGUGCUCUUCGCGACGGCCUCAAGCGUACUGCUCGGUGGAUUCGCGAGAUAGAAGAUCUCUUGCUUCCUCCGCCGAUUCAAGCUGAAGCUCUCGCUCUGGUAAGAGGAUUCGAUGUGCUUCAGAUCUAGAAGUAGAGACAACUUGUGGUGGAUAGCGUUUCUUGGACGAGGCAAUUAUUUACUUCUUUUGAUUCCUGCCUUUUUGACCAAGACUACCAGAACAAUCCUUUCCUCGAAAUUGGCAAGACGACCCCCUAUAGACUUCACUUAUUACUUCUUUUUGUUAUUGGAUUCUGUGGCCAAGCAAAUCAUAGUGAAAAUUAACUUUUUUACACGAUGCUAGUCCCCAACAGCCACGGAAUCAUCUCCUUUUCUUUCUUUUUUAUUUUUUCUUUUUUUGUCAAACGAAAUUAUCUCCUUUACUUGGGAACUUUUGCAAGGUGUUCAUAUUGAAAAUUGCUUAUUCUCUUGCCUCGAAAAGUGAGUGCAAUGUGCUAGGGACACACACAAUCUUACCAUGGAUUUGUGUGUCCUCAAUGAGAAAAUUUACUAUUUUUACAAACGAACCCCCACCUUGUGUUAGUUCUCUUUGUAGUGGAAUCACAUGGCCGCACAAAUCAAAGUGAAGAUGGACAACAUUUUGCUUUCCCUUCCUAUUGAAAUAAAAGCCUCUCACCGUUGGAGGCAUUGAAAUAGUCAUUAUCGACAAAAAAUUAGGUCUAAACAUUUUCGUGAGUCAUAAAGGUAUCUUUUGCUCAUUCGUUAUUGUUAGCGGUUUUAGUGGAAAUGUUUGUCAAAUUCAUUUUUCACAAGACAAACACACCCUUAAUGUCAAACAGCUUCAAUGUUUAAAACUAGGAGAGGGAAAUUUGAAACAGACGUUUUACUUUGGUUUAUGGCAAGUAAAAUGUGAGGUAAUAAUGUAUACCUAUCUCUAGGGGACAUCAUAAUUACAAACACUUAGGUUAUGUUCACGGCGAGACAAGAGACCGGUCUUUAUUGUGGAAAUGUUGCAUAAGAUUAAUUUAUAAGUGACGCAACGGACAAUGCUAAUCAUAAUUUGGAGCUUUUGGACGAAAGUGUGGCUACUUGUGUUUUCUAGUAAGACUUGAUAUAGGGUUCUCAUAGUUUUUCAUAGAUAUUUUAAGAAAUUUGAUGCUUGUUGUAAAUUUGAUAUGCAUUGAACUUUUCAUUUUGAUUAUUAACUCCAAGUCUUUUUUCCCUUGAAAUGAAAAGGAGUGACCUAAUAUAAGUUUUUUUCUUUUUUCCCUUGAAAGAAUAUGCGAUGCAUUCAAUUGUAAGUCAUGAUACAUCAAUGUGAACACGAGAAUAUGCGACGCAUUCAAUUGCUAGCCUCAUGAUACAUGAAUGUGAACACAAGAAUAUGCGAUGCAUUCAAUUGCUAGCCUCACGAAAGGUUUGAAGAGGGCUGACAUUGAUUUGUCAAGCUAUGGGUUGCUUGGAAUAUACAUCAAUAUCCUAAUAAAAUUUGUCAAAUUUUCAUCUUUGUCCUAAUUCAUAAUAUGAGUUUUCUUCUCUCAUGCUUGCUCCGCUCAUGGUGAGUUUAUUGAAUCCACGUUAGUCCAAUUAUUUUCAUUGAUCCAGGGGAACAAUAGUACGAGAGUGCUAUUAAAAGGAGUAACAUGAAAAACUAACAAGAUUUUUGCCUUCUGCUGAGGAUCAAACUUGAACAUAUAAAGGACCGUUAGACUGAUCUGGAAAAAUCUGAUUUUAUCGGCUUUUAUUGCAUAGAAACUACAUAAAUCAAAGGUACGUCGGUGCUCUACCAAGUGUCUUCCGGAGCAAUACUAGGAUAAAUGAAUACUAUUGGCUCUUUGACCCUUCCCUCUUUCAUCCAUUGACUGGGAUAAGACAUCAGUGGCCCAAAACACAAAAGAACAAAAAGGAAUAAAUUCAGUGACACCCGUACCAACAAAUAUAAGACUUCAAAACGAGUUUAAAAAUCCUAGGUUCUGCUGCACAAUAAACAAAAGCAAAGGAUCAACACAUGAAGAGAAAAAAGAUCCUUUACCUUCACCAGCCAAAAGAUUGCAAGGUCAGCAGCAAAUGCAGGAAUGAGAUGAGAUCCAGAAGAAAACCAUAUGAAACCGUUUAUUACUUACAAGCAUAUGACAUCCUGGAAACUAUAUGCAUGCCAUUAGCGGGAAGAGCUGAAAGAUUGUCUUUAGCACAGAUUAACUAUAGUCACACGUCAUCUUCUAACAUGUAAACACAAUGAUUUCAUUCGGCAAAAUUGGCCACCCAUGUCAUGAAGUGUGUGGUAUCCUCAAAUUGGAGAGUUGCAAGCUGACAAAGCCAUUUAAAGGAUUGCAGCCUUCAGCCACUAAUCAUAUGUGAAAGACAGCCAAAUGUCAUGUGAAUCAGCAACUACUGUCCUAUUCGGCAAUACUAACAUUUCAGCCUUCCCAUUGUUCACAUGAAGAGCACAGACAAUCAUAAUGAAAUGAGAGAAAGCAGUGUACGAUGAUAUACUCUUUAGUCAGUCAUCAUACGGGUCAAGCAGAACCAUUUAAGGCUCCACUGCCUUCAAAAUCAGAUCACCAAGUUUUGUAUCUUCAAGCCAACUUUGAAUGGUAGUUGCAGAUCACUUCUUUUAGGAACACUCUUGGGGAAAUCGAGCAUUUGAUGAUGUUAACCUACAUUCUGACAAAUACAGGUCAUUGUCUUCAUUUUCAGAGUCUUCAGAAACCCAACCAUCAUGAUUCACUUCACCAUUGGAUUGCACAGCUGCCACAUCACUAUUAUCCUCUUUUGCAAGGAAAUGGAGAUCCACAAACAUUGAAGACCCAUUCUGUGAGAGAGUAGUUUCUAAAUCUGGAUCGGCAUGGUCAGUAGCUGAAAUGGAAUGGAAGUCCUGAUCUCCAACCAUUGAAAAGGGGAGAGACUCUGAACUUCUAAUAACUCUGUACAGGAUUUUUGCUUGACUACUUGGAAUUUUCACUUAAGACAUGGGAACUNNNNNNNNNNNNNNNNNNNNNNNNNNNNNNNNNNNNNNNNNNNNNNNNNNNNNNNNNNNNNNNNNNNNNNNNNNNNNNNNNNNNNNNNNNNNNNNNNNNNUAUAAUCGUCACUAAACCUUGAAAUGAUACAGAUUUUUCUUUUCAAACUCUUAAAGGUGUUUUCAUAUGCGAAGACAAGAUAAAGAUAUGUGCAUUUUCAAACAGCGAUAUGAUAUCAAAGGGAAAAUAUGCAAGCAAAUCACUGGACUUUAAUCUUGAAGAAGAAAAAGUUAUUUCUGCAAUUAAAUGAGUGCACUUCCUGGUCAAUUCUGCAGAAUAUUUCCCACCAUUUUGUGUGAUAUGCUUCUGAAUCUCCUUUUGUGCAUUUAAGAUAAUGAAGGACAUCAAAAUUGAAGAACUGAAGGACAACCAACAGCAGCAGCUAUAUCAAAUAAUCAGUAUGUGCAGGAAUUCCUGUGACACAUACAUUGUCGAUCCAGAAAAUGGAAGAACUCUGUAAGACUCCUGAGGUACAACACGGUGCACAACACAACAUUGGUAUAACCAAUUAAUGGCGACAACAGGUUUCUUCAGAACAUUUAAAGCCCACUGCAUGAUGACAACAUUAAUUGAUAAAUACAAUUUAUCUUUCAAGAUGAAAUUCAUAAAAGACUUUGCACACGGAAUAUUCAAAAAAAUAUGGAGGAAACUCUUCUUUAGUUCAGCCAACUCAAUGAGAGUACUACCCACAAUACUUCCCAUACUUAGUGAAAAAGCAUAAUGAAUCUCAUUUAAGGUGAUUUAACCUUAACAAGAUACAACAAAUUCGCAACUCUUAAACUAAAUUCAAUCUAUUAACUCCAAGACUUAAACCUUGCAUUUUGCAGCCAAAAUAUUAUUUGCAAUUACGAAGCUAACAUUGCUGAAGUUUUGGUCUUAGAACUCCCCCCGUUGAACUAACCAAUUUCUCAAUCUCAGCCAGCAGAUUCACGUAAAUGGUGAAACAAUAAGAGAGAUGACAAGCUGCCACCAUAUUUGUUCAGACAAAAGCAUGUCUGCAGGCAAAAGAUUCAAGCGGUCACAUAGAAGGAUACAUGGAUAAGGAUAAGUGACGUGCCACACUGAAUUUGAGUGACAAGUUACGACAAAGAUUACAUGCUAAAAAAUCAUACAAGGCCAGGCUUAUCUAGGAACAGGCAUACCUCCUCAUCCAUCUCAAAUCCAGAUGCAAGGACUUCGACACCAUCCAUCGCAAAACAAACAAAUAUACCCUUUUUGAGGUAGAGCUCUCCGUUCUUUCGUGCACGAAACCACCACACACUGCGGACCUGCAAGAAAUAUCCCCCAUCAAAAGUCAACAUUUUUUUCCCAGGCAGAAAGAACUCCUCUCGACUUGCUUGACCAGCACAUUGACCCCAAUGCCUCCGCUUUCGUUUCUCCACUACAAGUCCUGGUUUAGCAUUUAGCAGCCUCGAGGAAAAACCAGAAGAUAAGACUAGGACGAGAACAAGAUCUUUACCGACUAGCUUACAACCCUUUCGCCUGAAGAUCCUCGAGCUUCUCAAGACGUAAAACAACCUCAAACCCAAUUCUCAAAAUGAACCCAAAAGCCGUUAGCGCCGCCCAAUCCCAACGUACUCACGUGAUCGGGGAGAAGAAACAGCGUGAAAAUCGCGGGGCCCACUCCUGGAAGGGUCGCAGCGGAGGAAGGCCUCAGCUCCGUUCAGCUUGAGCACAUCGAACAGCUCGGGAGGCACUCAAGUUACUCGGCACGAACACGGUCGGCCCCCUGAAACGGCUUUGUCUUCACCAUUUCCUAUCGUCCUUCUCCGGCGGCGACUUCCUCGACAGAUGAUCGGUCUCGUUGCUAAGGAUUUCUGCGAAAUCCAAAUGCAUGUGCGUGAAAGAGAGAGAGAGAGAGCGACGAUGAAGCGCAAAGGGAAACGGAAGUUGGAAGAGGAUGAAGGAGGAGCGACUUGGGGAAAAAUUGAGUGGAGUGAGCUUUUUCUGAAUUCUUCCCCAAAUUGGGAUGGAUUAGGGUAUGAGAAAGCGCGGGAAUGGGGUUUUUCUUGGGCUCUUUUCGGAUUUUCCUUUUAAUUUCCCUUUUUUGUGCUAUUAAUUUUGUGGAUAAUUUUUCAAAAACCCCCCCAACUUCCACACCGUUGCAUGACUGCUCCCUAACUUUGAAAAAGUUGCACACAAUGCCAACGCCGGGUGAUACAAGCCAUGAAAAGAAAAUAAAAGCAAAGAAUUCAAAAUGAUCGUUUUAAAAAUUGCAAAAAGUUGUCCAUGCUAACAUUAGCCGCGUCACGGCAAAUGAUCGACAUUCAUGUCAGCAAUUUUCAAUCAAAAUUAAUCGAAAAAAUUAUAUUAAUUAAUUGUCAAAAUUUUUAUAAAUAAAUUGACAAAAUUAAAAAGUUUAUGAUCAAAUUGACAUUCGUUAAGGAUUAUUUUGUUAAUUUUCCCUAAGAAAUUAGUCACAUGUCUACAUCAAAACUUCACAUGAAGUCUUUAUUGUGGACCCAUAAGUGCCAAAAAAUUACAUUGGAUUAUGGAUAACACUUUUUAUCAUGUUUCAAGAGCAACCAAAAAUUGGGGCUUCUUGGCGAUAAAUCUUUUUGAAGAUUUUUUUUUUUUUGGUCGAUAUCUUUUUAUAGAUCAACUCUACAUUAUAUGACCAACCAAAAGGAUUUUAGAGACACUUUCAAAGCAAAUCCUAAUAUUAAUUAUAAUAAUAAACGUGAGUCAAAACUUUCAUUUUGUACAUUUAAAUCCCAAAAUUUGUAACUCCAACAUAUGUGGGUCCUUUUGUUAAUUCUGUCAAUGAACAAGUGGCAUUUUUCUACCCACGGGGCAUUUUCUGUCUACUAAAACCUAAUAGGACUAAUGAGAAGACUAAAGUGGAUGAAUACAAUAAGUUGAGGGCUUAGGUGCACGAAAUGAAAGUUUUAAGACCCAAAUGUACCUUCGCGACAUCUUUUAGGUUGACUUACAAAUUCAUCAUGCUAACAAAACUUAUGAUCAAUCAUUCCAUAUACUUGACUUUGGAAAUAUGCUUGCUACGUUUGCACAUAUAAUCUUGGGACAAAUAUAAUAACUGCAAAAAUCCAAUGAAUCAAUCCAUGACAUCUCAGGUCGGACAUGAGUAUUGCGAUAUUGGACAAAGCAUUCAAAGCCCCGUGGAACUUGCAAUCUUACAAGAUGAAAAAGGAAGCCUGGUAGUAGGAGUAGAUGUACAAUUAGAUCCAAUCUAUACUUUGGGACUUCGGACACUAUAAAGGAGGUGGGACCCCUAAAUUCCAACACACCUCGUACAAAGAAGAUUUUGAAUAAGCCAUCAAGCUGCAUAUAAACAAUUUCCAUAUAGGUAUAUUGGUUUAUAUGAUAUGCAUUCAUUUAAUUAACCUUGCAGCUAUAUCCAUGUUGAGUUUGUGAUGCUACUCUUCUUGAAGUGCCCUAUGAUAAGUCUACUAUUCAUCAUAAAUGUCUUUGAUCUCAGUUUCUAAACAAGUUUGUAUUAAGGAUUCUCAAGCAGGACUGCUAGACUAAUUCACAGGUAUGCCCAUGGUUAGCCUUAAUAUAGGAGUCGGCCAAACACAUCUCUAAUCCAAUAAAAUCAAUUGGACUCAGCAUGGUCAAACAAUCAAACACAUAAAAGUUUCGGGAAAUCUCGAUCUGUUUGCCCUGCCGCUCCCAACUUAUGCACCUAGUAAGGGACUUCAUUAUAGAAUGACCAAGAGUUCCUCGUCCAUCAUGUGACAAAACUUAUCGGUAAUUGCCGCUCUAUAUUGAUGACAUAGAAGACGAUCUCCAAAAUAAACUCAAAAAAGGCAACUAAUUUUAAGGCAAAUAGGAAUUUACAGCUCUUGCCCCAAAAAAUCAUUGCUGGAGAUAUGAGGCAUCCCGCAAUGCCGAUUAACUACAAAGGCAAUGACAACCAGUCAAUCAAAUGAAUUCAAUUAGCUAUCGAAAAGUUCAACAAAAGGAAAUGAACUUAUGUCAUAAGGGACAUCUUAAAGGUAUAUGCUUUUUAAUUCUCGCUACGUAGCAUUAACUAGACUGUUCAAAACUCGGAUGUGCAAUUGGUUGAAGGUUUAUUUUAGGGGGAAGAGAGGGAUUGGUUUUGGUAGAUACGAGUCUUUCCUCUCUGGACUUCUUUGAAUGGAAAGGCAUUUCAUUCAAAUCCACCUCUGAUUUUCUCUUAAUCUUCUUCUACGGCAAUAUCGCCUUUCCUUGUCUCGCAUCUUUCGAGAAAGGUGCUUGAAGUUAUCUUGGUUUCCUCUUGCUUAAUUCUAUCUGAUCUAUAAUAGUUUAUUAGGAUUCUUUUAGCACCAGAUGAUGGUGAUGAUAAUGAUUGAUUACAGCUACUUUUAUACAACGCGAGGAAGCUUUUCUUUUCCAUCCAUUCCUUUGUUUGCCGUUUUUGAUGCGGAGCUCCACAUGUGAUCAUGGCUUGCAAUUAAAUAUGCUCAGAUUGGAGAGAUGGAGCGGCUGGGAUUCUGGUCCCAGAAUCAGGUCAACAUGGUAAGGAUCGAAAGCCUUUUUGCAUAAAGAAAUUAUGGACAAUGAGUCAGCCCUCACUCCCCACCUUUCUUGUAGAUCCAUCACAUCUUUACUAAAUUAGGGCAACGUUGUUGUAAUUAUAGGUGCAAUAAUUUUGAAGAGACGCUCAAAAAAAAAAAAAAAACGCCAGGUCUCCAUGGAACGAAGAGUUAUUUUCUUGCAUCAGCUUUAGUCUUGAGGCCCGCACUGCGUGCAUGCGUGAUCACAAAUGGAUAACGUAUGAAGAGAAAAAAGAAUUCUUUUUUAUUGAGUGGAUGUGGAGGGCGUGCUAAUGGAUUACAAGAUGUGGAGGAUUACACACGGGUGUAAUUUGGUGAUUAGUUGGUAAGGAGAUGGUGUGUGAUUUUAACUUUGGACGGGAGGGCAAUUUUGGAAAAAAGAGAGCGACAAAAUGAUGUUUUGGUGAAAACAAAGAGGUGCAAAUGCUGUGAUAUUCGAACCAGGACCACGAGCGAUAAAGAUUGAAUGGUAAUGAACUUAUUUUGUUGUUUGGGGAUAGAUCUUCAUACACCCAUCAAAAGGGUGUUUCAAGUUGGUUUUGGAACGGGUUGAAAAUGGUCCGGCCCAAAUAAACUCAUUUUAAUCCGUUUUAAUCCAUUCACAUACAAUAUGUAUAUAGUGACUCAUAUCUUACAUGUUUCGUGUUGCUAAAACAUCUCUUUAUUUGACCUAAAUCUAGGAAAAUUCACAUCUAAAAUUGAGGUGGGUCGGGUCAUAAACCCAUUUAAUACUUCAUCAUUUAUUAUGUACGUUUACAGUAUAUUUUGAUGGGUUUAGAUAUUCAAGAGGGAUAAAAAGACAAAAACACGCCCGGAUCGGAUCCGGACUCAGCACUGUUUUCGCAGCACCGGUUGCAACGGCCAAAUGGCCCCUUUCCUCGCCCGACCCACGAUCCAUCCCCCACGUUUCUCGUCCGUGGCACGUGACUCGCAGGUGCAGAGAGAGAGAGAGAUUCGAAAGCUUCCGGUUUUCAUGUGACCCCACCUCGAACACCCACAUCCGCCAGCUUCAGCGCUUGGAGUUUAAAGGAAAAAACGACGACGCGGCACGAACCGUUCGACCUCAGCAGUUCUUGGCAGAGGAGAAUGCCGUUUCGCUCUUCCAUCCCCCGUUUUUAUAUUUUUUUUAUCUUUUCUUUAUUUCCUUUUUUUCUUUUUCUCGAAUAUGAUUAAAGGCCAAAUCCCCAUUUUUCCCCCUCCUCCCCUUUUCUGGAUUUUCAUACAUUCUUUUUUCUCCUCCGAUUGGGAUUUUUAUGCAGGACGAAAUUUCCAUUUUUUUUUUUCUUUUUUGCUAAUGAAAGAGAUCUUGAAAAGGGAAAGUCUGUCAAAUUGAAGCCGUGUAUAUCCGGGUACCCUUCUUUGUUUCCAUUUUCAGUUAUUGGCAAUAAAAUUAUUUUGGAAUAGUAGAGAAACAUCAAUUUUUGCAAAAAAUAGGAUUGAAUUUCUCGUGAUAGAUUAGAUGCAUUGUAUAAAAAGAAGUAAUGCAAAUGCUUUGGCCACUCACUAGGAUUUUGACUUAUGUUUUAUCCGGUUCAUGACGUUAAAGGGUUAUUUUCGGAUAUUUUUCUGAAAUUGGAUUAUCAUCGAAAAAGAAGUACGAGUAAAUUAUAAGACCGGAUCAAUAGGAUUUAUGCAAAGUCUUUUUUUGGGUCAAAAAAAUUAAAUUACAGCUGCCCCCUGUGGCGGUGGAGCGUGCGGAAAACGCGCCUGUUCGAACCAGUGAGGUCAAAACUCGCCAUCCCCUUGCCUCAGUUCUCAUCCCACCAAAAAUUACAAAACUCGCAUCUUUCCUCUUCCUCCUCAAAAGCCUCUCUCUCUCUCUCUCUCUCUUUGUGAAAAACGCUUUCACCACCAUUCGCUCUGAAAAUUUAGAACAGCAGUUCAUCGUCUCCAUCGAGCAUCGAGCGAGCGUUGACCACCAUGGGGAAAAGAAGUGGAAAAACCCUAAUCUCCCACACCCUAGCAGUUUAUCACGAUUCUUUAAGCACCGGAUGAUGAUGAUGAUUGAUUACAGUUACUUUUAUACAACGCGAGUGAGCUUUUCUUUUCCAUCCUUUCCUUUGUUUGCCGUUUUCAAUGCGGACUUAAAUAUGCUCAGAUUGGAGAGAUGAAACAGCUGGGAUUUUGGUCUCAGAAUCAUGUCAACAUGGUAAGGAUCGAAAGGUUUUUCGCAUAAACAAAUUUAGGAACCCUAGCAGUUGCUGCUAUUGGGCUAUGAAUAGGUCUGCUAGCAGAAGUUGAACCAUGAAUGCCUAAAUGAAUAGAAAAUCUCUCUAGCGGGGUUGUGGCUGAGCAACUGAAAGACCCUCAACCGGAACUGACUCCUCUGUUUUAGGCGCCAACAUCUUUGUCCGCCUCAUUUUCUCUUGAUCCUCCUAUAAACAGAUGAUACGAAUGGCAUAAGCUACCGUUUAGUCGCAUAUAUCUGCUAACGCGUCGCAGUGGGAAGAAAAUUCGCAUGUAGGAGUAAAGAAGAAAGAUGCUACUUUACAUUCUCAUGAAAAGCGAAACUGCAGAUACUUCUACCACUUUAAGGUCUCCAAAUUCAUAAAUUACACCACUCAAGGCACAUACAUUAAUUAUACUAUCAAUGUCUAAUCUAUUCUAUAAAGCAGACAACCAAUUUAAUUUCUUUGCCGGGAAUCACCGUUUCCUUCAUCCAAUGAAGAAACAUAAAAGCCAUAUUAAAUAGCAAUUACCCAUAAAAAAAAAAGGUCAAAGUUAUAGGUGGAAUAAGCAAAGACAAUAUAAUAAUCACUUUGAAGAAAAGCUAUGUUGAGUCAUGAGGCGGGCAGGUAAAACGCACUAAAAAAAAUGGUGUUCUCCCUUUUCACCAAGCACAACAAAUUCUUUUUCAGUUCAUGGAAAAGGAAGUUGCUGGAAGAACGUAGAAAUAAUCAUACCCCGUGUCUGCUGUAAAGUGCCCUUCGCUUCUCUUUGGCCCUACAAAUUGCCAUAAAACCAUCUGGCCACAACUCUGCAAGCUGUACCAAGUCUCCAAAAAGUCAACACAUUACAUUGACAAAAGCCUCGUGAUAGACGAUCUUGUGGAAUAGGAUUUGAUUCUGCAAGAGGUUCAGUACGAACGAAGAAAUUUCGAACAAAAAAUUAGUGGAUGCAAGUAAAAAUCAAUUGAGGUGAUAAAUAAAUAGAGAUCACAUCAAACCAUUUGCUAUGUAGAGAUGACGGGCUCCACGGAAACGUUCUUUAUUUUAAUAUGCUGAUACCUACGUGCAUCACAACCUCAAUUCCCCCUAUAUCUUUUUCUUCUCAAGUAGGAAAGAAUACCCUCUAGUUAUUUUACAUCUCGAUGAUCCUGAGGUCCGGAUGAGAACGGAGAUCGAAAGAUAAUGAAUAAAUAGAGACAUAUAAAAUAACAAGUCACACCAACCAAUUCAGUGAGUUCUACACGUUUCAUUAUGCAUGCUAUCAUGAUUAUCAUCAAAAUGUUUACUUGAACGACUUCACAGAGACCCAAAGUUGACAACUGCAGCCAUUUCAAAAAGCAGGUUGCACUGUCCACUCUUUACAUUAGUUGUUAAUUCAGAACAAGGGGAAAUGUUUGGUGCUUGCAUAAUUUCAUAUAAUUGCAUAAAUAAAUCAUAAACUAACACAUGUGAAACCCACAUCAGGAAAACCAUCACCAUGUUUGACCACUAUAUGAACAUGUGCUUGCAAUCGUGACCAUAAAAUAUAAUAGAAUAUCAGCACUGUAAAAGCAGUUGAUCCCACAUCCAACUAUUGGGAGAAUUACCAAAAAAGUCAUAAAUUUAUUGUAAUUGUGCCAAUUCAGUCAUAAAUCUUUUUUUUUUGGCCAAUUUAGUCAUAAAUCUUUUAAAAUUGUGCUAAUUCAGUCCAUUCGGCCAAAAUUGGCCGGCCGGAGCUGACGUGGACGCCGGCGGGGGACAGUCGGCCGGCGAGACAAAUUUUUAAUAUUUUUUUCGAAUUUUUUAAUUUUCUUUUUUCACCUUCUUCUUCCUUUAGCUGGCCGGCACCAGCUAGAGGCGAGGGCCGACAAGGGCAAGGCCCCGCCAAAUCUGGCAAGGUCAGCCUCGCCGGCCACUGGCGGGGGCGAGACCUCGCCAAAUCUGGCGAGUCGGCCCUCGCCAAGGCUAGGCAAGGCCUUCCCAUCCCAUUCAAUGGAACAAGGAAUCUCUACAACACAAUUCAAGUACUAAAUUAGCUUUAAAAAAAAACCUAUUGUGGGUCCAAGCCAAUAUUUCACAGUUUUAUGAUAUGCAAGAAUAGUUCGAUUUCUCUGGGAACAGGAAGCCAUGCAGAGAAGAUCCCAUAAUUAGGCAAAAGGUGAUAGUGCGAUGUCGAUAAUCCAUCCAAUCAAUGCUUUUCCUUGUCACAUAAAUGUCCAGAGCGAGAUAUAUGCAUGAAUUAUCAAAUUCUUUAACAAAGGGUCAUAUCACCGAAUUGUUCUUCCAACUAAAUUAGUCCAACCAAUUUAUGGUGGCUUCCCUCGAAACUUACUAACCAAAGUAAGAUAGCUAUGACUACAUAGACAUUCUAUCGAUUCAUCUGCGAUCGACCCAUUUUUGACUUCCUUCCAACAUCACCAACAAAUUCAGUAGACCAAGCAUUAUGUAAAUGACUUAUGCAUUUGUCAACACUUAUCAACUAAAAAAGAAUGUCUUUGGUUACGAAUUAACAGUCUCAUGAGGCAAUAGCUCAAUUUAUCGAGUGAAGUAAUCUCGACAAAGCGAAGGAAGAUUUGAUACCGUUAUCAUUUUGAUCAAUCAAAACAUAUUUUCUCAACAAAAUUGAGCGAUUAUUCCUUAGAUUUGACGAGGUUUGAAUGUUAUGUUAGGGAGGGAGGGAGGGAGAGAUAAACUAACCUUUUCCGUAGUAACUAGAAGAGAAGAGCGAAGUAGCGCUAGGAGAAGCUCUAAAUAUAAGAAAUUGUGAAAAAAAGUACUUUUUUUGCAACAUAAACAGAGUCUUAGUUAAUAGUAAAUUCAUUUUGUGUAUAUUUAGUAAAAUAUUAAAUUGAUCAUAACAUUCUUUAUAUUUUGUAAAGUUUUGCACCAAUGUUUUAAUAAUUUUCUUUACUUGUGAUAACUUUUCUCAAGCAAAACAAAUUCGACGGAUUAUGUUUUUGCCCUCUUUAUCAAACUAUCAACCUUGAAUGUAAGACCGAUAUCAUAAAAGAGAGCUUUGACUACAAUCAUAAUGUUUUGUGCACAAUAGAGUAAUAGUAAAGUAUUUGGAAACGCUAUUUUUCCAAUUUUUAUUUUUUAAAUCCUUCCAUUGAAAUAUGAAUAUAUAUAUAUAAAGGUAAAAUCGUAAAUUAAAGAAAAAAGGUAUUACUUUGUCAUUUUUUUUUUUUUUGCGGAUAAACAGCAACAGAAAAGAAAUUUGAGAUACGCAUCGUAAAUCUAAAACUUUUAGUACGACGUGGAAGUCUCGUGUUUGCAAGGGGAGCCUUCAGACCAAACUUUCUUCUGGUGUCAAAUGAAACCAGAAAAAAGUCGUAGGGCGGGCCGAAAAUAGAACUCAAACAAACUUCAGGGGCGAAAACGAAAUUGUCAAAAAAAGAACUGAAAAAUAUGGCUCCAAAUCUCUUCCAUUCUCCGGCGUACAAAAUUGGAAAACGAAAAACAUCAAUCCCGCCGUCGCUGGGAAGGUUCUCAAACAAGAGCACUUCGAGCUCGCUCGAAUAUCCGAUUCGAGACUGGAGAUCGAUUUGAUUCCGACUCGGGCAUCAUCAAUCGAUCGAAUCGCUCGAACAGGUUGAGAUUCCAUGGAGGGAGCGAGGCUCGGAAGUAGAGAAAGCUCGGUUGCUGGGCUGGGCUCUUGAGUUCGGAUUUGACGAGCAGUCCGCCAAAAAGUGCUCGGACCAUCUCGUUUCGCGCUCUACGGUAACUCGAAUCGUUAUUUCGUCGCACGUUCUUAUGCUAAUUAGCGGUUGCGGAGAACGAUGAUGAUGAUGAUGGCUGUGGAAUCGUCUUGCUUUAGGUUUGAAUGCAUCGGAGCGGGUUUAGCGAAGUAGCAGUCCUAGUGACGAGCGAAAUGUCCGGCACUGGUCCAGCUUGAUAUGCUUAGGUUACUUCGGAUGGACAGCGGUUUUUUCUUGAUUAUUGGCCCAAAUUGCGUGAUAUCUGGUCAUCAUGGAAUGAUUUUAAUAGCUUGUGUUGCGGGGAUAGUUUGUGCAUUUGAUUGAACGUGCAUUCCUAGUUAAGGAGAUUCAUUGCGGUUAGUCUCGAUUCUGAUGAUGUCUAUGGAAUAACGGUCUACUUUGGAUUUGAAUGGGACCGGAGUUUAGGUCAUUGAGCGUUAGUCUCAUCCCCUGUUUCUUUGUGGGUGUGGCGGAGUAGUCCUCUUGACAAGUGAACUGUCUGGCUUGUAUCACUGCAAAUUACUUGUGGUGUCUUGCAGCAAUAUCAAUAUCGUGUCUCUUUGAACUAAGUGCAAAUUACGUAUUGGAAAUUGUAUUUAUUUGAUCUCUUGUUUGCCAUGGAUCUUGCAAAAUCGUCUCUUUAUUCUUUUGCUUUCCUCAAGGUGACGAAGGUCGAGAGUUGAUCACCGUGGAGCACUGUGGCGAUGACAUCCUAGCAAAACUUGUUGAAACCAUGCAAGAUUCUUAGGAUUGGGAUGAUUUGCAAGCUGCGGAAUCAGAAGCUCGUGGAGUUUUGACCAAUAUGUUUGGCCAAAAUAUCUGUAAUGACGAUGAAUGCAAUGUUAUACACGAUGUCAAUAUUAUAGAAGAUUCUCCACAACGUGUGAAAAAUCAUACUUUCCUUGAGGUGAGGAUUCCUCUACUGACAGUGAAGACAAAGAUGAUGUAUUGGGCAGUACAACGGGAAGGAAAUCCUCAUGUAUAUUCCUGGCCAAAGCAGUACUCUAAGCAAUACAUCCACUCAAAUUCUGGGCAGACAAUCUUUAGAAUUCAUGGUAUGCUUCUCCCAUGGACAUAGACAAUACUGCCAAACCACUUAAAUCUGUGUGACUGUACUUUUCUCUUAUAAUUUAUUCUCUGCUUGAUCAUUUCCAAUUUGCUUGUGAUUCUGCACACAGCAAAGGACCUACACAAUGUUCAUGUCCAAAAGAAUUUAAUAAAUUGCUUAUGGGGUCUCUCAUCCAAUCAAAUGUCCAGUGGACGGUCAUAACUUGUGCCACUCACUUCCACACUCUUCAAGAUCCAAAAUGACAUAUUAGAACUCUUUGGUCAAUAAAGAAGUUGAUUUCAGUUUUGGAUGAUGUACAAAUACAUAUAUUUCUCAAAUGCUAUGAGAGUACAGCAGAUCAUCAAAGUGUGGAACAUCAAAGUGUGAAACUUAGUAGUCCAGCAUCUUUGAUAGGAAUGUCUUGUGUAAAUGAAGCCUUAUGAUUUCUUUGAGCACAUUUCUCAUUUUCCAUGACAAUCCAUGUCAGAAACUAUUAUGGUACUGAAGAGGCUUAUUUCUGUUGAAGGACUGUAAGAGCACUGUGACUCAAGGCUCAAUAUCAUUAGUUUCAAAUAAAAGACAUUGCUCUCCGAUUUCGACAUCCAAACAAGGGACUCUGAGUUAUGCAGAAUUCCAAGCCUUGGAUGACAUAGAAUUGGCAAAUGUUGUCAUAUUCGGAAACAAGGCAUUUCGACCAAUGCAGCAUGAGGCUUGUAAAGCUUCUGUAGCCAAGCAAGUUUGCUUUAUUCUCAUGCCCACUGGAUGUGGUAAAAGUUUAUGUUACCAGGUUGGUGAAUUUUAACAUUGUCUCAACUGGGUGAUGAUUGUAUGUAGAAGUGUGUGGAGACAAUGUUACAGUACAAGCCCUGUGCACUUUGCUCAGUAGUUCCACCAAUUAAAUCUUUAAGGGUAGACCUGUAUGUCAACGUUUAAGCUUUAACAUGAUCUUCUGAUCUGCUUUGUUUAGCAUUUUUAAGAAGGUUGUGAACUUAAGGUUGUAGAAGUGUGUGGAGACAACAUUAGAGCACAAGCCCUGUGCACGUUGCUCAGUGGUUCCACCAAUUAAAUCUUUAAGGGUAGACCUGUAUGUGAACAUUUAAGCUUUAGCAUGAUCUUCUGAUCUGCUUUGUUUAGCAUUUUUAAGAAGGUUGUGAACUUAAGGAAGGAAAUGUUUUUCAAAUGAAAAUUAAGCUAUAGGAAGUGAUUCAGGUACAUAAGCAUGGGUUCCAAUGUAUGGCAUCGGACAAAAGUAGAAAAGGAGGAAAUACGGUACAUUCUUGUUCUGCCUUUGCACUUCUUUGUUUGGUCUGUAAUUUUUAGGAUUUGAAGUUUGUGCUACACUUCUAGGACUUUCUAAUCACUUACAGGAAAAUUCAUCUUGUUUAUGCAUGUUAAGUGUUGCUGUCAGUCAUAAUUCAGGUCCAAUUCAAAAGGGUUAUUAAGUCAAUUUGAAAUAAGUUUUCAAAGUACUUCCACCAAAUAUGGGUUCUAGAUUUUUAUAUUUCCUUUGCAGUUAUUUGCUAUGCCACUAUCUCAACAAAGGGUGAUGAUCUAUGACUUCUUUUUCCCAUAAUUGGUUUGAAAUUAAUGUGCUUUAAUAUACAAUGGAUCUUGGUUGCAAGCAAAAUUAAUGAUGGCUGAAUUAAGGAGGAAGAUAUAAAUCUGGAUUUAUUAAGUUGAAUUUUUUAGAAGUGUUUUCUGUUUAGUCUUGAAAUAGUUGAUAUAUGUACUGAAAGUAAUUAUAAAACAAGUAGUGACAACUGGUCCUUCUUGAUCAGUUGAAGGUGAAAGAAAUAAUAAUUCCAUUGUCCCUUCCUUUCUUCAUUUGCUCUUCUGAUGUUUUUACACUUCGUUUCAGCUGCCAGCAACUCUAAAACCAGGUGUCACAGUUGUUAUAUCUCCCUUGCUAUCUCUCAUAUAGGAUCAAAUAUUUACUGUAACCCUCAAGUAAAGCAUACAAUCUACUUUCUUGAACUCUCAACAGACUGCUGUCCAAUUGGCGGUUGUCCUCCGAGAACUAAGGCAAGGUUUAGCUCUAUUGGACUUCUAAAACUUUUAUGCCGAGUGUAGUGACUGUCAAAUUAUUAACCUCCACUUCUGCUUUGCCUGCCCUUUCAGAAAAAAUAAACAUCGUGCAAGCUAUUGCAUGUAACUCCUGAAAGGAUUGGGGGAAAUAUUAUCAUUUCUCGAGAUAUUGAAAUGCUUGCACAGAAAGGUAUUGUUUCUGAUGCACUGUAACCUUUUUCCAAAAAGGUUCUUUAUAAUUUCUGAUAUUCGAUGAUAUUUUAUUGCAGGCACAACUAGCUGGUUUUGUUGUUGAUGAGGGACAUUGCGUGAGGUAUGCAUAAUCUUUGGCAUGCCUUGUACAUGAAGAAAGAUCAUGCUAGAGUUACUAUUGUCCUUAUUCCAGAUUAAUAUAAGCAAGUUUCCUUUUAUAUAAGCUAACUUAAACUCUUUUUCCAAACUUUUUUGCAUUUUUUGUGUUUCUAGCCUUAUUAAAUUGUCAGUGUUACCCUAGACCUUCUGAAGCCCCUGUGAAGUUCUAAUAUAACAGAAUGCAAUGUUCCUUGUUUGAGCUUUGGAAAAGAUCUAGGUUCCGUCGUUUGGGAAAACUUAGUGGCACAUCAUUCAUUAUAUUGAGUAAGAGCACUCAACUUAAAUAAGCUGCAAUGGAAAUGACUUCCUAAAGUAAUUGGAAGUGGCAUAAGCUUGGAUAAGGAUGCCAUCUGCUGUCUAUGUUUGGCCUGAUACUCCAUCUCUUAAGCUGGUUCUUGUGUAUCUAUUUAUUCUAUUAAUGGUUACACUAUAUACUGACAACUUGAGAAAGGCAAAGGUCCACCCACGUGAUCAUUGAUUGUGUUUCUUACAAGGUAUUAACUGGAUUUGCUUGGCCGGUUUAAUCUCAUGAAAGGAAGAUGCCAUCUGCUAUCUAUGUUUGGCAUAAUACUCAGUCUCUUAAGCUUGUUCUUGUGUAUCUAUUUAUUCUAUUAAUGGUUAUGCUAUAUACUGACAACAUGAGAAAGGCAAGGGUCCACCCACGUGAUCAUUGAUUGUGAAUCUUAAAAGGUAUUAACUGGAUUUGCUCUGCCAAUUUAAUCUCAUAAAAGGAACGUGCUGCUGGUUUGAGCUUUUAUUGGACAUUUGGCUGAUUGACGACAAGAGCUCAUUGGUUGUCACUUUCGUGGGGUUCCCCAUGUUCUCAUAUAUUAGAUCUAGUCUGUCAAAGCUUGUGGACCCAAGGUUUGACAGACUAGAUCUAAAAUACAAGGUCAUAGCUAAGACCGAGGAACCACUGAAGCAGCUUGGACUUGGAGGGCUGCUAAAAAAUUGUUUUGCUAAUUUUUGUCGCAUAGUAUAUUGCUUUUCGGAGAGUGAAUGUGUUGAUGUCGCAAAACACUUGAAUGAGAAGUGCCGUAUAAAAAUGGCGUACUAUCAUGCUGGAUUAGUAGCUCGUCACUGUUAAAAAGAAAUGGCAUACUGGAGAGGUCCAGCUUGUAUGUGCUACCAUCCUUUGGGAUGGGAAUAGACAAAUUUGAUGUUGUAGGUCGAAAUGGACUCUGGCCUUUGCCUAUUUCUUACGUUUAGAAGUCGAUAAAUGUGGUGGAAUGACCCGGAGAAGCUGAGAAGUGGAGGGUGGCCAGAUACAAGCUUUAUUUGGUCGAGGGCAAGUUCAAGGCUUCUUUCAAACAAGGGUUUCGGUGGCUGAAGCGCAAAUGCUCGAGCUUUAUGCGUCGAUUUUUAUUAUAUAGAAAUUAUGGAAUAUCAUGCUCAUUGUCAUCAAGAGAGAAAAGGAUGAAAUCGGCCAGGAGGAAACAAAGAGGUUUGUUUUGUUUAUCGGCUAAUCAUCUUAAUAUGUAUCUAAUGGUAAUUAAGUAUUCAGAAGAGUGCCACAAUGUUCAAUCUUUCCAGUAUGCUGUUUGUUCGAAUCCUUGUUCAUUCAUCGAUCUCCAGCAUUUGAAACAUAGGAAAAAGAGACGACUCGUAUGUGAUAUUCACAUAUAUUUAUAUUUGCUGAAAGUUUUUUUUUUUUCACCUAAUUUCCUUACGUUCUGAUUUUUCUGCAACAUGAUUCUGCAUGCAUGCAUGCAUUCUCGUGCGAAGUAAAAGUUGUCUGACCUGCUAAUUUCUCUUCUCAACAACACGAUGAUGAUUGCAAAAUAAGAUGACUGCUUUCAUUUGUAGGAUUUGACAUUUACAUCUACUUUCGCGUCGAUUUCGUUGUUUAGAACUUUCAUUUUUGGCCAAACGUUGUUUUAAGUCUCCAUUUUGGGGUUCAUUAACCCUGUAAUUCCUUAAUUUGUCUAUUUCGAUUCCUCUGCAUUAUAUAAUUCAUCAUAUGGCAAACUGCCAAAGCUAUACAUUCUAACAUGCAGCUAGCAGGUGUUAAAUAAGCUGAAAGGCCUUCUAUACUUCCAUUCUGAUUUGAGGACAGCUUUCAUAUUUCAAGUACCGUCUUGUCGAGUUUGGAGUUACAAAUAUGAGGAAAUCAAAGAGCCUGAAGCGAGUCCUUUGGGAACUUACAUAGCUAUUGUUUGAAUGGCUGUUAUUCAUAGGAUCUUGAUGUAAAAUGUGAUUAGAACUUUACAAGCUCGAAGCAAGUUGUUAGCAUGAAACGAAAGUAGAAGAGAAAAAGGGGGGAAAACCCAUGAACCAAACCACAUCAGCUCAAUCGGUUCAGAAUGUUCAUCCAAUCAUCCAGUCUAUUCACGCGUUCCAACUUCAAAUCAAUUCGGCUGAUGGGGCUGUGAAUGAUGUUCCAUACGUCGUCAAACACAAAGCUACUGCCCUUUGGAUAAAUUGCCUAGACACCGAUUAAGCAGCUAAGUAAAUAAAGUGUAGAGCUGAUAUAUUGACUUUACUCACGACUUUUCUCGUGUAAUGUUCGACCGAUAUUCUGAAAUUAAAUUAUUUCAUGUUAAGUAUGUUUAACAAGUAUUUCAAACAUGACCCACAUUACAUAUGUGCCAGUACUUAUAGAUUCAAAUGCGGCUUAACAAGCUACUUGGCCUUGUCUUGAGCUCUGGAAAAAUCCAGUCAAAGUUCAAGGGGACAAGCAGCAAAUCAAACCAUGAAUACCUUGCAAGUAGCUUUCAACUACUAAAAUUCCACCAUUGUAGUUUAGUACAGGGUACAGGAAUAUCUGAGAGUGGCCUCGAAGAAAUUGCUUCAGUUGAAACUUGAAUGUGUGAACGGUGACCGCCAUUUGGUGGAGUAUCGUCUCAUUAUAAACCAAUUGGAUAACCCGUAGAAGUUUUUUGUUCAAAGAAAAUAAGUAAAUUUUGGGAAGUGCUCUUUUCACCCUUCCAAAAAUUUUGUCCCCGUUAUGUUAUUACUUAUUAGUCUUCAACUGCAGCCAAUGCAAGAGAAAAACAGGUUUUAGGUGUGAAAAUAUAUACGGUUGGGUCUCUUCAGGUUUUAGAUUCAUGCUUAAAUAAAUCGAGUUUGAGAUUAUACAAUAAAAGUGAUUGCAAAAUGCGGACAUAUGAAUUUUCUGAUGUAGCACCAGAACAGAUAGAUGAUUUUUACACUACUGAACGCCUCUCUUUUGUGUUCAAAAUUCAACCAAAUGAGAAACUACUGUCUUCUUGUAAACCUUUUCACUGAAACUCUUGGCUGCAAUGACAGAUUUUUUGCUGAUUCCAUGGCAUUCACUUUUUCUAGUCGCAAAAUUGUAGCUUGAAGUGGACAGCUAACUGGUAAUCUCGUUGACGAAUCUCAUUUUAUGCUUAACUUGCACAAAGAAAACCACCUGCACGUGCGGUCUUCCUGCAAGCGAUUUGUGCUUGCAAAGGAUAAAUACCCCACAUGAGAAGAGGCUGCUUCAUAUCCAGAAUCCUUUGAAGAGUAUUAGCAACACGGAGCACAUGAUAAACGCCACUAGGUUCAGAAUACAUUUUCAUAAUGACAUAGCUCAUUCCUGCCGCAUCUCCCUCGUGUGGUGUUUGGGGACUUUCUUCAAGUUCCAUGAAAUGCAGCUUGAAUCUACAUGAUGAGGAUAGGACUGAGUCAUUAUCAAUAAAUAAAGAAAUGCGAGAUUGCAGCAUCACAAUUUACCACAGGAAAGAUAAGGUACAAAUGCGUAAACGUCAUUUACACCAAUCACUGUUCAACCACAGUGAACAGAGACUUCAUUAGCUAGCAAAUGAAAAAGAAAAAAAAUCAGCUUAAAAGAAGUAAACAAUUAGCAACAACAAUUUUACCGUUUGUGUUCAGGAACAAAAUUGAUGUUAAUAAAAUUAUGCUGAAAAGGUGAAAUGCCUGAACUACAGAACAGAAAGACAUACUUG